AAGAACUAUGGAAAGAGACAUUGCAUAAGUUAAGAAAAGCACCUCAUGAGGAUGUUUUUGGAAAGUUGAAGAUCAGCUAUGAUGCCUUAAAUUUCAAGCAAAAACAAAUUUUCCUCGAUAUUGCAUGCUUUUUCAUCGGUGAAGAUAAGGCAAAUGCAAUCUACCUAUGGAAAGGUUGUGAGGUUUUCCCAGAUACAGGAAUUGCUGCCCUCAUUGGCAUGUCUUUGGUGAAGAUCGUGGAGAAUGAUAAGUUUUGGAUGCACAAUCAACUUAGAGAUCUAGGAAGAGAAAUUGUUCUCCAAGAGAAUCCAAUAAAUCUUGAGGAGCGGAGUAGGAUAUGGAUUAGGGAGGAGGGCCUUCAUGCAAUAAGACCAAAGGAGGUAAAGCACUUCUAGAGAGAUCUAACUAGUUUUUGCCAUAGAUUCCACUACAUUGUACCUUAUUGGGUUUUUGUUUACUUUCCUUUUUAUAAUCCUUUGGCUUUAUGAGAUAGAAUACUAACAUCACUCAUUCCCCAUUCUCAUUUGCAGAUAAACAAAAAGGUUCAAGCACUAUCCCUUUAUUCAUCUAGACAAAGUAUGCUUGAUGACUUUGUUCAAAUUAAAAGGAUUGGAAGGUUUGAACAUCUAAGGUUCCUUAAAUUAUCAAAAUUAACCCUCAUUAGAGAUGCAACAUUUCGUCUUCCCAAAUCAAUAUUGAUUUCUUUGAAUUAUCCUCUGCAAAAACGGACCAACAUGUACCUAAAGAAUUUAGUUGUUCUUGAAUUUGUCGACGUUAUUUUCGCAGAUGAUCUGGGAUUACAAAACUCACUUAAGGUGCGCAAUAUUCUUAUUCCUAUUUUUUUUUUCUUGGAAAGUAAUAUUUGAUUGUUCAUCUAUUGAGUAUUGCAUUCAUUUUGACAGAUGGCAACAAAAUUGAAAGUUCUUUCUUUUGAAAAUUGUUGGAACAUAAUCAGAACACUCGAUUUCUCUGGAUGCCCGAAUUUAGAGAAGCUUAAUUUCAAAUGGUGUAAAGAUUUGAGGAAAAUCAGUGGCUCUAUUGGGAAGUUGAAGCGUCUAAUUGACUUGAGGAUUUAUAGCUACAAUUCUCUCAAACAUUUGCCUGAAGAAAUUGGGGACCUAGUGAAUCUACAAUAUUUUGUUGUAGAUUGUUAUAAAAUUAAGAGACUCCCGAAUUUCAUAGGGAAGUUGAAAUCAUUAUGUGAGUUGCACUUUAAAGGUUGCAUUUCUCAUAAUUUAGAUUCUGCAAAUUCAUGGAAUUUACCUUGUGUUAUUGAAAUGCUCCAGAAUCACUCUUUAAAAGAUCGACUUCCUUCUGGCAUUGGAAGUUUGCCCCUUCUAAGAAUCCUAAAUCUAUCAGGAACUUGUGUCAGUGAAGUUCCAAAGACCAUCAACAUGCUUCCUUGCCUACAAAGAAUCGAGUUGAUGGGAUGCAAUAAUAUUCAAGAGUUGCCAACCCUCCCAACAAGUUUAACCCAUCUAGAAGUGUCAUCUAAAUUGUUGCGGGUAGUCUCGGAUCUUUCAAACUUGACUAAUUUGGUUGAGUUGUAUCUAUCAGGAACUCAUGUCAGUGAAGUUCCAAAGACCAUCGGCACGCUUCCUCGCCUACAAAGAAUUAAGUCGAUACGAUGCGAUACUAUUCAAGAGUUGCCGACCCUCCCAACAAGUUUAACCCUUCUAGAAGUGUCAUCUAAAUCGUUGCCGGUAGUCUUGGAUCUUUCGAACUUGACUAAUUUGAUUGAGUUGCAUCUAGUUGAUUAUGGAAAAGUAAGAGAUAAACUUUGUACCGAUGAGUUACGAUGGAUUGGGAAGUUAUCCAAACUGACAAAAUUGACCGUCGGACUUCACAAUGCCCCUGUUCCUAUUGAGAUGGCUUCCCUUCCUGUGCUAAACAAACUUUUGUUGUUUGGAUUCAACCAACAAACCUUUCCACAACUACCCCUAUCUCUGGAAAGGUUAAGGCUUGGAAAUUUCAAUUCAGCUGUGUCACUCUCUCCGAACCUAAGAAAUUUGUUAUGUUUAGAACUAUAUAAUUCUCCAAUGCAAGAAAUACAACUUGAUGGGUUUCGACUUCCACAGCUAAAGGAGUUGCGUGUGGAAGGCUGGCAACACCUUGAAAGGUUGAGGCUAUCAAGAAUGAGGAAGCUGAACGAUGUCAACGUGAAUUUGUGUAUGAAGUUAGUUGAGAUCCAAUUUUCUUGGGUGUUUGAAUCACUAGAGGCAUUGGAUAUUGGAGAUGGCGAGUCCUUGGAAAGGAUAGUUUAUGAGUCUGAUAAUGAAUUUAUUAGUUGUGAAGGGAGGCUAAUUUUUCCAUCGACAGUCUUAAAUAAGUUGCAUACUCUCUCCCUGUGGUGUUGCCCUAAGAUACUCGACGUUCAAGUUGUGGGUACGUUGGAAUCGUGGGAACGCUUAGCCAUUGAGAGUUGUCCUUACUUGCAACGUCUCGGUGGUUUGUCAAACUUAAAGAAGCUAAAGUCUUUAUCAAUCAGGAGCUGUGAGAGGCUACGGGAUGUUGAGGGCAUCGACGAGUUGGAGUUUUUGAACCAUUUAUCACUUUAUAGUUGCACAUCGUUGGAAAGGUUGAUUGACGUGUCAACCACCAAACUGCCAAAUGAUUGCCAUGUACAGAUCCAAAAGUGCGGGAGAUUACCUGGGUUUAAGAAAGGAUUCAGCGGCUCCGUCCAGUCCUUCAAGCAUUAUAAGGCGAGCCUGGAUCAUUCUCUCUAUUUAUUUUUUAUAUUUUCUUGACGCAACCGUCCAUGAACACCAAUUCAACUCUAAGGUAGAUUUGUAAUAAUGGUGAGAAAUUAAAAAAUAAACAAAAAUCAACUAAUAUUUGAUGUCACUUAUUUUAAAACCCACUCGAUAUAAUUUGUUUUAGUUUUAGCUCAUGUUUUCUCAUUUUCUUUUCUUUUCUUUUUUCACAUGAGAAAGUUCUAUAUGUGAAGCAAAUCUAUGGGACAAGGUCAGCUUUUAUCAAAAGUCAUUGGAAAAAUUGCAAUUUUUAGCAAAAAAAUAUAUAAAUUAACUCAGAGUUUUUCAUUAAAAUGUUAUUUUCACUUAAUAUGAAAUGAGUUGUUCAUUUAGCGAAUUUUUAUGUAAUACACUCCACUUUAUUGUCAUUUCUUGUUUAAUACUAUUCAGUAUGGAGAUGAGUUUAGUGAUUUGCAAUUUUCACAGUGAAAAUAGAACACUAAAAGAAUCCUAUACUCAUUCCACAGUUUCAAUAAGAAUUUGCUGAGGGAAUUCUUUCAAGAACACAACUUAAAUGGUCCACUGAUCCACAAAUCGACUGACUUAUGUUAUUGAUGGAGUUGAGUGUGAAUUCAAUUGGCAUGUGGAUGGGGUCGGCCAAAUAAGAUGCGUGUUCCAAAAGCAUCUAGAAAUAUUUAUUAAGAUUUAUCAUUCUAAAGAAAACAAUGAAAAUCUAAUUUUUGAAAGUCUGCAUCCCCCCCCCCCCCCCGGGGUUUUUGACCGUGUUUGUUUAUGGCCACUUUAAACAUCGUUCAGACAUUUAUUUUUUCAGUUGUGAGGCAUUUCAUUUCAUUUCAUUGACCUGCUUCCACUACACUAGAUAGAGAAGGGGAAAAUGAGGAGAAAAUGCUUCAUCUACUUAAUUUCUAACUAGCCCCGGUCUUCUUCUUUUUUUGGGUAAGAACAUAUUGUUAUUUCUAUCUUAGAAGCUUAUAUCUAAGGCAGAUAAUGGGUCAGACCAAUAAAAUGUCUUACUAAUGUCAUGGACAUAGGUAGCGUACGAGUCAAAGACAGGGCAGAUGGCUACAAUGUAAAAUUGUUUAAAUUUGGUGAAAUGGAAAAUCGAACUCGUUUGAUGUGCAUUAUCCACAUACACAAUUUCGUUCUAAUCCUACAUGAUUUACAACAUUUUCUUGUGCCAUAUUGUUUCCUCUUCUAUAUUGAUCCUUUCUCUUAUUUCAAUCUCAACAAAUAUAGCCCAAACUUGUAUGUAUGACUUUCAUCAGUAUCUUUUGAGGAUUUUAAAGCAACUCCUAUCUUUUUUAUUGCAUUAUUUUAAUCAUGCCCUUCCUUUUUCGAAAGCUUUCUCCUAAAAUUGGUUAUGAUUUUAUUUUUCAGGAAUCGGACUUUGAUUCGACAACAUGUUUCGGACACUUGUGAAGUUUUGAAGGCAAUCCACACGAUAAUUGUUAUAUUGCAGGGACAAAACUAGCAUAAUAUCUUAUCAGGGUCAAUGCACUGAAGAGUCCAAAGGUUUCUGAGAAUGAUUUCCAACCAGGACAUCAGCUUAGGAUGCAGGUGUGACCUCAUCAUUUUCAAGCUAGAAAGAUGAUUUACCCUUGUGGCAGAAUUAAGAGAGUUGUUGUUCUUCACAUCAACAUUUCUUUGAAUCCUUAAAGGAUUCCUUGCUUGAAUUAGUUAUUUCAAAUUUGUCCCAUCUCUUUUUGAUUGGUCUUAGACAACUCAUUCAAAUUGCCCAUCUUGCAUGAAGAACUGCAAACGUUUAGUACAAGCAGAUUAAGCAUAUGCAGAAUAAUGUUGUGUGAAAGGCCUCAUCCAAUAUAUGAAAUCUACUUGUUAGAGCUGGCAAUCUCUCCAAGACGGGAUAUGACAUAACAUAAACAUCAUCAUACAUAGAACAAAAAUGGUGUGGCAUUGAUACAUCAUGCUCUCUCAUUUCAGGUGACCCAACAUGAAUAUGUCAGGCCACGGCACAUUGUGAGCCCUACUUCCAGGCUUGUAUCUUCUAGCAGCUAAUUCAGUCAUAUGUGUUGGAGAAAUCUCUCUAGAGUGUUUUGAAGCUGACAAAACGUUUCUAUCAGUCUAGUCUGGAAGCUGUGCAGAUCCUUGUACUUAGAGUCUGAAGACUUUUAGAUCACCAGACUCAGCACACAAGACUCAAGACUCAAGACUAUUCUCAUUGACAGUUUCUAAUCUAGAGACGAAGGCGAUCCAAAGCUAAAGUGUUUGGUUAAGGAUUUGGUCUUGUCGAUUGGAGAAGAUCUCCUGGCUGGAUUUGAUACAACGGAUUAAUUAUUCGAAAUCAAGAUCGUUUGAAGAUCCGAUAAUUGACGAAAUAUUCUUGGAAGGUUCUAUUCUUGGAAACCAAGAUCCUGAUUGUAUGGGCGAACGUGAUUGAUGGGCUAUCGACGUGUUCCUUUAAUAGCUCGAAUGACCUUCUUAAUUGAUUCUGUCCAACGGGAAGAUUGGAAGAAUUCCUUUGGUAAGUGCCAACGGGUAUGAUGGCAUAAAUGAGUAUAAAAAGAAGACGUUCCAGUUAUUCUAGUAAGUGCUCGAUAGAGAAAUUCCAGAGUCUAAAGCUCCUUGAUUAUUAGUCGAUUCAUAUUGAGCGAAACUGUACUCACAAAGAGAGUCUAUACUUAGUGAUACCUUGAGAGAGUGUAAUAGAUCUUCUACACCAAGAAAUCAAGGAAGAACAGUGCUGUAAUAUCUUUUUGUUCAUAGUGGAAUCCAGCCAGUGGGCUGUCAGUGCAGAAGAGUGGACGUAGGCUUGAAAUAAGCCGAACCACUAUAAACCUCGUGUUCAAUUUUCUCUUCCCUACUCUCAAUCUUACGUUGAUCGUUGUUUGUUUAUUGACGAAGAAAAAUUGUCUCAUUUCUAUCAAUUGUCUAGCAUUGUGCAAUUAUCAUUAGAAAUUACUCGUUAUACCUAUUCACCCUCCCCUCUAGGUACUUAUACUAGUCAUAUCAAUUGGUAUCAGAGCUCGUGUACUCACUUUAUUUGAAGUGUUUUACUUCAGAGUAAAAGAUCCAUUGCUAGUAUGCUAGCUCCAGGGCUGGUCAAAGGUCAAAGCAAUACCAGACCUCCUUCCUUUGAUGGAAAGGACUACAACAUCUAGAAAAACAAAAUGAAAGCAUUUCUUCGAUCAAAGGAUCCUCUGGAAUGGGACGUUGUAAAAAAAGGAAUCACUCCUAAAGUUGCAUCCGUCUCAGAAAGAGGGAAAGAAACUGUUGAGACCAGCAGAAUGUCUCAGGAAGAGAUAAUCAAGAGACAAACUCUUGAUGCAAAAGCUAUAUAUUCUUUAUAUUGUGCCUUGUCACCCAGUGAAUAUAACAGAAUAUUAUCUUGUGUUACAGCAAAAGAAGUCUGGGAUAGGUUACAUAUCACCUAUGAAGGAACUGAUCGAGUAAAAGAGACCAGAAUCAACAUCCUUCUCGGUCAAUAUGAAGCCUUCAAAAUGAGACCUGGAGAAUCUAUAACUGACAUGUUUAGCCGUUUUAUAGAAAUUGUAAAUGGUCUUGAAAAUCAAGGACAAGCAAUUUCUGAUCCCAUGAAGGUAAACAAGCUACUGGUUUUAAGAUCUUCUUUCAAGAAGGAAUAUGUUCUGGAAUCAGCAAAGACUCUACUCAGUCUUUUAUGGGUCGAAGGCAUGGAAAUAUCUAUCUUUUGGAUAUGAAACCGGAUGAAUCGCAAUGCUUAAUUUCAAUUCAAGACGAAGCAAGCUUGUGGCACAGAAAGCUUGGUCACAUAAAUAUGAAGUAGAUAGCCAAAAUCUCAUCAAAGCAGCUUGUUCGUGGUCUACCCAAUUUAUCAUACCGAAAGUCUGAUCUAUGCACUCCAUGUAUAUUGGGAAAGCAGGUAAGAAAUUCAUUUAAGCCAAUAAAUCAUGUCUCUACUAAUCAUGUACUGCAGCUGUUGCAUAUGGAUCUCUUCGGACCAACCAGAACCCAGAGCAUUGGAGGUAAGAAAUAUUGCCUAGUAAUCGUGGGCGAUUACUCCCGAUUUACUUGGGUAUAUUUCCUUGCAAGUAAGUCUGAAACCUUCUCGUAUUUUGAAAAAUUUGCUAAAAAGGUUCAAAAUGAAAAAUGAUAUGUUAUUUCAAGUAUAAGAAUAGACCAUGGAGGUGAAUUUGAAAAUCAAGAUUUUACAAAAUUUUGUGAUGAAUCUAGCCUCAAGCAUGUGUUCUCCUCUCCAUACACUCCUCAGCAAAAUGAAGUUGUGGAAAGAAAGAAUAGAUCUCUUCAAGAAAUGGCUAGAACUCUUUUAAUUGAAAGUAAGAUUUCUUCACAAUUUUGGGCUGAAGCUAUUUCAACAGUGUGCUAUAUCAUAAAUAGAGUCUUUUUAAGACCUAUUUUGGAGAAAACCCCUUAUGAGUUAUUCAAAGGUAAGAAGCCUAUUGUUUCGUACUUUCAUGUGUUCGGUUGCAAAUGCUUUAUAUUGAAAAAUGCAAAAGAUCGAGUUGGUAAGUUUGAAGAAAGAUAAGAUGAAUGCAUCUUCCUUGGAUAUUCUACAUCAAGCAAAGCUUACAGAGUCUAUAACAAGAAGAGUCAAUCAGUGAGCUCCAAACUCUUCAAAGCUUGCAUCUCAAGAAGCAUCUCAGACUCUGGAAGACCAACAUCAAGUUGUUCGUGAAGAUUCAAGUAAAGAAAGAGAUCAUCAAUCAGACAAAUCAACCAGUAAUUGGAAGCAUAAGUCUAGUCAUUCCAAAGAUCUCAUUAUUGGCGAAAUUAAUGAAGGAAUUCGCACCAGAUCCAAAAGGCGUGAAGAGUCUAGUGCUGUGGCACUUGUUUCCGAAAUAGAACCCAAAAGCAUAGAAGAAGCUUUAUCAGAUGAAAGCUGGAUUGAAGCUAUGCAAGAAGAGCUCAGGCAAUUCAGUAUCAAUGAUGUCUGGGAAUUGACUCCUAAACCAAAAGGUAAAUCUGUUAUUGGAGCUAAAUGGGUUUUCAGGAACAAGAUGAAUGAGAAAGGAAAAGUCGUAAGAAACAAAGAAAGACUCGUGGCCAAGGGAUAUACGCAAGAAGAAGGGAUAGACUAUGAUGAGACCUACGCUCCAGUAGCAAGGUUAGAAGCUAUUCGAUUCUUGCUUUUUUGCUUGUUAUGAAAAUUUCAGAUUAUUCCAAAUGGACGUCAAAAGUGCUUUCCUGAAUGGAUUUAUCCAUGAGGAAGUUUAUGUGGAACAACCACUAGGGUUUGAAGACCCAAAGAAACCAGACUCAGUCUUCAAACUGAAAAAAGCCUUGUAUGGUUUAAAGCAAGCACCUCGAGCUUGGUACGACAGACUAAGUAAGUUUUUAAUACAUAAUGGUUUUGUCAAAGGUAAAGUAGAUACUGCUCUAUUUAUCAAAAAGGAAAACAAAAGCUUUCUACUUGUUCAAAUAUAUGUUGAUGAUAUUAUUUUUGGAUCUUCUAAUGAAAGUCCGUGUAAGAAAUUCUCUAAGUCUAUGCAGGAUGAGUUUGAAAUGAGUAUGAUGGGAGAGUUAACCUUCUUUCUUGGACUUCAAGUAAAACAAUUGAAGGAAGGAACUUUCAUUCAUCAAGAAAAAUAUGCUAAUGAUCUUGUUAAAAGGUUUGGACUAGAAAAGUGCAAAAAAAACCGAUGUCAAGUUCUUUGAAGAUAGACAAAGAUGAAGAAGGGAAGAAAGUUGAUCAAAAGCUGUACAGGAGUAUCAUCGGUUCACUUCUUUAUCUUACUGCCUCUAGACCUGACAUUUUGUUGAGUGUGUGCAUCUGUGCUAGGUUUCAAUCAGACCCUAGAGAAUCUCAUCUCAGUGCUGCGAAACGGAUUAUUAAAUACAUUGCUUCAUCUUCAAGUAUCGGUCUUUGGUAUCCUAAGAAGGGAGACUUUAAUCUUCUUGGAUAUUCAGACGCAAAUGUAGCCGGUUGCAGAGUUGAUAGAAAGAGCAUCUCGGGAACUUGUCAAUUGCUUGGGAACAAGACAGUGUCUUGGUUUUCAAGGAAACAAAACACUGUGGCUCUCUCUACAACAGAAGCAGAGUAUGUAGCUCUUGGAAGUUGUUGUUUGCAAAUUCUGUGGAUAAAACAACAGCUACAAGACUUUGGAAUUGAAGACUCAUGCACUGAGAUUAGAUGUGACAGCACCAGCGCAAUCAAUCUUACUAAAAAUCCAAUCCUUCACUCAAGGGCAAAGCAUAUAGAGAUUCGUCAUCACUUCAUUAGAGAUCAUAUUCAAAAUGGAGAAAUCUCGAUUCAAUUUGUUGAGUCAAAGAGCCAACUAGUGGAUAUAUUCACAAAGCCUUUGGAGAAGAAUCAAUUCGAUAUCAUCCGUUCCAGACUCAACAUUUUGAAGCUUGAGGAAAUCAAAGUCUAGAGACUCUCAGACUCUCAGACUCGAUCAUUCACGGCCAUAGACUGUAAGUUGUUUUAAAAUUCAAUCUCGAAAAGGUACGAUCUUUCAUUCAGUUAUAUUUGAUUUAUCUUUAAUUUCCGAGAAAAACGGAAUCUUGUCUUUUCAAAAAGAUAACCUCUAUUAAAAAGGCAGUUAUCGUUUUUAAAAAUGGACGACUGUUCACUUUCCUUUAUGUCGAUUGGUUUUUUCCUUUCUUUAACUGGGUUAUAUACAGUAAGUUGUCUUCUUCGCUUCACUCUAAAACCCUAAAAAGACAUUCUCCUCCCAAUCCUGUCUCGAUUUCGUGUUCAUCUUUGAGAAAGUUGUCAUAUUUUCUUGGGAAAGCGAGUCAAGGAAUCUUUCAAUGACAAGAAACGAUGUCUUCUUGUAGAAGGUCUUCAAGAAUCGCAAGCAGGGGACCACAGAGAAUGAGGGAGGGUCCUACCCAUUUCGAUCUCACCAAGGAAGAAGAGUUACCGAGACAGCAACAGAGCCCGAUUCACUCUCAGCCACGUCAAUCUCUAUUAUCUACCCCACAAAGUGUGAAUCAACUACCACAGGAAGAAAUAAUCGAGGAAGCAGAGCCUGUAAGAGUCCAAAAACCCUAUUUUAUUUAUAAGCUCUAUCGUGCUUUGAAAAGCAUAGGUACACCACUGAACUAUGUGGAUGCCUUCCUUAAAGACAAAGGGUAUAAAAAUGAGUAUAUCUUUUUGUGACGGAUGGAGGAUUUGGGAAUUGCUUCCAAAGGAAAGGCUGAGGAAGCACUUGUGAACAUUCUUAGUGACCCUCGUGUAGGGGGAUUUAAUCUGACUGACGGGAAUGACGAUGAUAAACUAUUUAGAGAAUUCCAACCCAAGAUGGGUGUUGCUGCGAAAGUGAAAGGAAAAAGAACGGAGUUGUUCAAAUCAAAGGAACAGGAGGAUCUGUUCUUCAAAUUGUUGAAACGGGGGGUAAUAAACCCUAGGAGCGUUGAUUUUGACUUUCUGGAUGCCAUCAAUGUGAACUUAAAGGAGAAGUUCAAUCUGCUUCAACUAGAACAAUUUUGCUCUGACACCACAGACGGCUAUGCACAAUUAACAACAUAUUUCUAUUCGAAUCUCAACUUUUUAGAUGCGAAUAGAAUAUCCUUCAGUGUUCGAGACCAAUACUAUGAGGUAGAUGUGGACAUGUUGGCAGACAUAAUUGGAGUUGAAAGAGGACGAUAUCAACCGAUCAAGGUUUCAAUCGCUCGUACCACACUGGAACUUGUCAAAGACAAGAGUACAGAAGGAAGAGUUACCUACACAAGAAUGCAUGCCAUCAACAUCUUACUGUACAAAAUCGUGAUCAACUGUCUCAGGCCAAAAUCAACAUCCAAGACAGACGUGUCUAAUUCUGAGGCGAAAUUGAUGUACGCGAUCAAUUCAGGGAAGAAGUUCUCUCUUCCUCACACCAUUCUCUUCCACAUGUACAGAGCAAUGGUGAAGGAUAAGGGCCAGUUGCCUUACUCAGGUCUUGUGACUAAGAUCUUCAGACACUUGAAUAUUGAACCUCCACAUACUCUUUGCGUUCGACCAUGCGACAAAAUGGUGGUGGGUUUGAAAAGACUCAGUCGUUCUGUAUCCGAAUCAAUGGAAUGACAGAAGAAAAGAAAAGAAGCAAAGGAACAAGAACAUAGAAAAGCAGAGGAGAGAGAAGAUAAAGAAAAAGAAGAAGAGGAGAAAGAAGUUGAAGAAGAAGAAGAAGCAGUCAAAGAAAAGUCUGCAGAUGAAGCUGGAGAAAAAGGCAAUCAAGAUUCUACUGAGCAUGACCAUCACUAUUCCCCAAAUGAGGCCUUAGAAACAGGGGGAGAUGAUGAGCAAGGAAGGACUACACCAUAUCCUGAUCACAGUGAAGGUGUGAGUCGCUCGCAAGCAAAUCCAGAAGAUAUUCAGGCUUCUCAAAUGCCUGAGGAAGGACAUGACACCUCAACGCUAAAUUUGCGCGAUUACACUAAAGUUCCAUCGUCUGCCUUCACUCCAUCUGAUAGAGCAAAUGCAAGCACGCAGACGGACAAUACCGCAGAUUUUCGUCGUAUCCUUGAUCUUCUUCUAGCAAUGCAGGGUCAAAUAUAUGCUUUGGAAUGUGAACUUCAAGUCCUAAAGAAUUCUGGACAAGCGUCUUAUGUUACCCUGUCGAUCAAAUACAAGACCUCGCUCGUCAAAUUCAAGCAAAUGCCAAAGGAGUAGAGAUGACUCGUCUAAGGGAAGACUUGAAGAGGCUGGAAGGCAUCGUACAGUCGAUGGGAGAUUUCCAGAUUGUGCGCGUUCCCAAGCAGACUUGACUCUUUCUCACCUUUUUAAUGAUGACAAAAAGGGGGAGAAUUGCCAGCUUUGAACUGAACUAAACUUUGAUUUUGAAUCUAUCUUUAAUUUUAGUUUGUUUGGAUAUUUAUUUUUGAGUAUGACUUGAGUGUGGUGGACUUGGUGAAUUUGACUGACUUGAGUGUGUGGAUUUGAAAUUGACUGUUGCAUUAUUUAUAUCAAGUGUUAUUGUAUGGCUUUACUCAUGAAAGACUAACUUAUUUUCUGUGGAUGCAGAGUCUAGUUGAGUUAUUAAUCUUUAUGAGAUAUCCAUACUGCUUGAGUAAUGCUUUUGCAAGUCAAAGUUGUUCAAAUCUACAGGAAAGUUUUGUCACCAUAAAAAAUGGGGAGAUUGUUGGAGAAAUCUCUCUAGAGUGUUUUGAAGCUGACAAAACGUUUCUAUCAGUCUAGUCUGGAAGCUAUGCAGAUCCUUGUACUUAGAGUCUGAAGACUUUCAGAUCACCAGACUCAGCACACAAGACUCAAGACUCAAGACUAUUCUCAUUGACAGUUUCUAAUCUAGCGACGAAGGCGAUCCAAAGCUAAAGUGUUUGGUUAAGGAUUUGGUCUUGUCGAUUGGAGAAGAUCUCCUGGCUGGAUUUGAUACAACGGAUUAAUUAUUCGAAAUCAAGAUCGUUUGAAGAUCCGAUAAUUGACGAAAUAUUCUUGGAAGGUUCUAUUCUUGGAAACCAAGAUCCUGAUUGUAUGGGCGAACGUGAUUGAUGGGCUAUCGACGUGUUCCUUUAAUAGCUCAAAUGACCUUCUUAAUUGAUUCUGUCCAACGGGAAGAUUGGAAGAAUUCCUUUGGUAAGUGCCAACGGGUAUGAUGGCAUAAAUGAGUAUAAAAAGAAGACGUUCCAGUUAUUCUAGUAAGUGCUCGAUAGAGAAAUUCCAGAGUCUAAAGCUCCUUGAUUAUUAGUCGAUUCAUAUUGAGCGAAACUGUACUCACAAAGAGAGUCUAUACUUAGUGAUACCUUGAGAGAGUGUAAUAGAUCUUCUACACCAAGAAAUCAAGGAAGAACAGUGCUGUAAUAUCUUUUUGUUCAUAGUGGAAUCCAGCCAGUGGGCUGUCAGUGCAGAAGAGUGGACGUAGGCUUGAAAUAAGCCGAACCACUAUAAAUCUCGUGUUCAAUUUUCUCUUCCCCACUCUCAGUCUUACUUUAAUCGUUGUUUGUUUAUUGACAAAGAAAAAUUGUCUCAUUUCUAUCAAUUGUCUAGCAUUGUGCGAUUAUCAUUAGAAAUUACUCGUUAUACCUAUUCACCCCCCCUCUAGGUACCUAUACUAGUCAUAUCAAUAUGUAACCAGGGACAAAGAUGUCACUAUCCUCUUUAGAACAUAUUAUGGUGAAUUUAAUAUAAGCUUUCGUGGCAAAUAAUAAUGGAAGACUUAGAAUUGAGAUACAAUUGCAAGUGAAAGUUUACAAUUUCAAUAGUAGAUAUGUAUAUCUAUUUUCUUGUACAUAAUAUACAUUGCCGAAAUAAUUAAUCACGGUAGACAGUAGUUGCUAUGUAUUGUUGGUUGAAAUGUUCACGCAAGAUUGGCUGUGAUGUUAUUUCUUCAAAAAUCACGUUUUGAUUAGAUUUGGACAUGUUUUGGAGGCUUGUACAAUUUUGAAGACGACUCCGAUAAUGAUUUUUACCAUGCAGGGACGGAUUGGCAUAUUAGUUUAGUGGGGUCAAUGUAUUUGUUGUUGCGCGUGCGCGGAAUAUAGACGGACCAAGCGAAUCGGAUAAAAUGGUCGGAAUGAAGGAAAGGAAAUCAGACACCGGAUUUACGUGGUUCGGCCCGAGUAUCGGAACCUACGUCCACGGGGAGAGCAGCACAGAAUUCCACUAUAGAAACAAGCGAUACACCGGAGAUUACAAUGACUCGAGUACUCAAACACACUCAGUGUUUCCCAGCCCCCAAAUUACACCCAGAUAACUUACACAGUGUUUAGCCCUUCACAAUUGCUAGUGAAAUCUCACUCAAGAAAUUAAACAAAUUCUACUCACAAGAAUUUAACUGACUAAAAGCACUCGGAUGUAAUUUCAACGAGAAAAUUUCUCUCUGCCGAGAGCUUCUGAAGCCUCACGACUUCUCUCUUCAGCUCUCUCUCUCUCGCCCUCUCUCUCUCUCUCUCUCUCUCGGCCACCAAAAUAACUCAGCUCGGCGCCAUCUUCUCCUUCACUCCUCUGCCUUUUAAGGACGAAGUAAGACAGAAAAUGUGAAACUCAUUCGGCGCUCGCAAUCACCACUGACGCCCACCAAAAUUCAUGGGCACGCAUGCAUGCAUGGGACGCAUUUAAUAAGGCAGAAAACUUGCACCCAUAAUUCAAGCGUGAAAGAAGGAUGGCCGCCGUCUUCCAAGACCAUCUCCACGAUGUUCAACUCCUUCAAGUAAUAUUUUUUUAUCAUUUCUUUCCUUUGGUUGUCUGCAGCUUGAAUAAAAUAAGAAAGGAAAGAAGCAAGGAGUUAAAGAAAGAAGACAAAACAAGCCCACAAUUGGCUUUAGUCUUCCGUGUCCAUCCACCAUGCAUGCACGUCCAUGUGCAUGCAAUUAAAGAGUUAGAAUAAAAUAAUGAUCUUCCCCUCUCGCUGCUGCACGCUCUCUUCAUUCUUCACGCUUGCGCUCAUAGAUCCGCAUGCGAUCUUCUGACAAUUUCGGCCAAUUCACAUGCGCUACUUUGACUCACACGUGGUUGAGUUCACGCAUUCUCGUUCAACGGGCUCAAAUCGAGACAUAUUUUCAACAAUCUCCACAUUGGCUCGACGUUUGAGCCAAAUCAUAAUCGCUUCAGUGGACACCUCGCUACUACUCUCCCACAGCCCCAACGGGCUCAACUGCCACAGAGUGCUUCCAAUUUCAAGAUGCGCUUGAACUUUCUCAUAAUCAUGGACCUCAUCAAGACACCAAUUCCACCUGCAUAAUUAGCUACUCCACAAGGAUUUUCUGACAUAACCUCCUAUAUCACAGAUAAAGCAAAACCAUCAUUGCUUCCAUAUCUGACAGUAGGUCGAACACGCACCUUGUCAAAUUUAGUAGCUACAGCAACUGUUGGCUCUAUUGGCUCCACCUCGCUACAAGCAUCAUCUAUGUCGAUUAUUACGCUAGUACUCGCUACCUCAGGAGUUUCUGGUUGCAACUCCACCUUGAGCUGAACACCGUUCAGAUCCGUAUUAACACUGCCAAAAACACUCCUAUCCAAAAGUACUAGAGACUUGUCAAAGGUAACUUCUCUACUGUCAACAGGUGAAUUUAUAUCCGGGCACCACAACUGAUCGCCCCACUCACCUCGUGCAUAGCCAUGGAAUAUGCACAUUGCCCUCCCAUCGAGCUUACCAUCACUCACUCAAAAAUAACACGGGCAACCAAACAUUCUAAAAAUAGAAUUACCAGCAACGUUACCUGACCACACUUCUUCAGGAAUCCGCCAUUCAAUAGCAGUUGAUGGGGAUCUAUUCAUCAGGUAGCUUACCGUACUAAGCACAUCAGCUAGGAUUCUCCUAGCAACACCAGCACUAGAGAUCAUUUUACGGGCCGUCUCUAGUAAUGUUCUGCUUAUCAAUUAUGCAAAUUGUUGUGAUUUAUUGGCACUAGUGCGAUGUUUCACUAUGCCCUCUUCCAUGCAGAAUUUAUUUACCAGCUCCGAGCAGAACUCCAUGCUAUUGUUAGUCCGCACAUGCUUGAUCGACUUACCAGUCUCCGUCUCGAUCAAAGCUCUCAACCGCGUGAUCCUAACACUAGCAUCAAACUUGUGCAUCGGCACAAGCACCCAGGUCUUCCUCGAGCAGUCAAAAGACUCUCGAACAGAAGCAUCCAACGUCUCCAGGGCAAAACCUGUCACUGUCUCACCUUGAAGUUUAUACAGGCCUCCGUGCUUGAUUCCUUUCAUUAUCACCAGGGCACCUCGAACAAUCUUUAGAACUCCACCUUCUGAAGAAUACCUGCAACCAGUUGAAUCUAGGGCACCCAAGGAAAUUAAGUUCUUUUGCAAUUCUGGAACAUGUCUUACUCCAGUCAAUGUCCUCACAAUACCAUCAUGCAUUCUGAUUUUAAUAUCACCAACACCCACAACAUCGCACUCAGCGUUGUUCCCUAACUGAACUUUACCAAUACCCAUGCACUGAUAAGUGAUAAACCAAUUCCUAUUUGGUGUAACGUGAAAUGAACAACCAUAAUCCAUUAUCCAUCCGUGAAAUGAAAAAUCCUCAGUGACAGACAAGACAAUCAACACCAUCAGAAUCAUUCUCAGCUACAGCUGCAACAUUUUAUGUAGACUCAACUCUAAUUCCUUUACCCUUUUCAUUUUUCAGCUUAAAACAGUCUCUUCUACGAUGCCCACUAUUGCCACAAUUCCAACAGACAAUCCUACCAGUCCUAGACUGACUUCGUCUGUUCAUGUUCCUGCUAACACGUGUGCUAGUUCUUCCUUUACCUUCACCUACUAAAGCAGUAGACACGGGUUCACCAAAUUCUUUCCUACGAAUGUCUUCACUCAGAAUCAAAUCACGAACGUCAUCAAAUGUCAAACUUCUUGACCCAGAGGAAAGACCAAAUGUACAAAAGAUCUCAUCACCAAAAACUUACACUCCAAAUGUAAGAACAAAAGGAGUGGAAGGGUGAUGAGAUGUAAAAGCCGCAAAGUGCAGCACAUACACUACAACACCAAAACCAAAAAGAAGCACGACAUGGAUAACCGGCUACCAAACACACCACAGGUGAGGAAGAGGUCAUUGUCGGAUCGAAGUACCUACGAGUCCCUAGUGAAAAUAAUUGGGUUUAGGCCUCAACUUCUCUGCAACCUUCUGUUUCUUAAAUCAUUUUCGAUGUUCCUGAAGGUAAUAGCCUUGUCUCGAACCACUUUGAAGAGGUGGUUCUUCAUAGCUAGGAUAGUCAGGAGCUGGUCUCUAAAGAUGAUGCUAUUCUUGUUUUUCCAAAUGAUAUAACAAAGUGCGCCCAAAGAAAAAUGGGCAAUUCACUUGUAGAAAUUUUUACCCAUCAAAUAGGUAGCGGCCCGGCGGAAGUUCUCCCUCUAAGUUCUGUUGCGCCAAUGUAAAUUGCAUCUGAAAGCCCAAAAGAAUAAAAUGACUAGAGUUUAUUCCUUCCCGUUGGGGAAAUAAAAAAUAUAAGGGGAAUCAGCUGCGCAAGACGUGCGGGCACCGGCCGGCAGGUGAAUGUAAGAAAACGAAUGGAAGUUAAGAUCACACCUUUAAAAAAAAAAAAAAACAGACAUAUAUGUAACGACCACAACGGGCUGGGCCGGAAGGAUGAAGAAAGUCCAGUAGGGAGAAUCCUGAAGGCUUUGCUGAAAUCUAUCACCUUAUCCUCAAAGUGACGAACCAAUAGCAUAUUUCCUAGAAAAAAAUAAAGAAAUAAAAUAAAUCGACUGAAAAUCGAUGUGAAGCCAGCGAGAGAAGCGCUAGCUCUGCGAGACGAAGAAGCCAUGGCGUCUCUCCUGGGAACUUCUUCCACAGCAAUCUUGGCCUCACGGCGCCUCUCCCCACUUUCAGGUGCAAUUUCCUGCACAUGUUUCAAGCGUUUGGGGGAUAAUCCGGACGACCCAUUUCGGUUCGGGUCUUUAAAUUGCUCGAAUUCGACUAUUUCGAGCUCGGGGUUUAUGAGGUUUUUAAUGGGGUCUGUGGAAUUUGCCUUUGUUGUUGAAUUUUCUUGUUUGCAGUGCAGAAUCAUGGCAAGAAAUGUUAUGAAGGGAUUGGGUUUCAGACCAAGAAAGGAAGGUCGCCGUGGCAUCUUGCCGUCACCAAUGUCGCGACCGAUAUCAAUUCUGUCGAGCAGGUAUCGAUUCUUUCCUUUGCCUUUUAUUUUAUUAGCUCUAUGCAUUUCUGGGAAGUUGCAGCAAGAGACUGGUGUGGAUUGAUGCUUCAAAUUUGUUAAUUGCUGAGUUUUUUUUAGUGAAAGUAGACUGAAAAUUGGGCUGCUUCCAUUGCAUUUAAUGAUAAAGUGAGGAUUUCUUAGGCUGAGGCAUUACGCUAAUUGAAGUCGAAUGGGAAAAAGAAAAUGCUUUGCAGUUGAUGGUUUUUUUAGGGUGGUCUUGUUGAGUGAAGUGAGAAUUUUUUGGGGGAGAAUUAGCAUGGAUUGCUUGUGUAGGAUUUUGUGAGCUGGAUUGGAUGGAUUUUUUUCAUUUUUCAGGCUCAGAGGCUUGCCUCUAAGGAGAGUUAGAGGCCGGUCUAUCCUUUUGCCGCUAUAGUUGGGCAAGAUGAGAUGAAGCUGUGCCUCUUACUAAAUGUCAUUGAUCCGAAGAUUGGUGGUGUUAUGAUUAUGGGAGAUAGGGGCACCGGGAAAUCCACUACCGUCCGGUCAUUGGUCGAUUUCCUCCCUGAGAUUUCGGUGAAACCGCAAGGUUCUAUGGACUUCCAGCAACCGGGUUACGGCAAUUCUGAACGCAAAUUUAUCCACAAGCUUAUUCCACCCAGUUUCUGAAGCCAAAUGCGCUGGAAUACUCACGGAGGCAUAUCGAAGAGAUAAACGGAGCAAUUAAGAAGAAAUCCUUCGCUGUGCCUAACCUACAAAAUCAUGGACGAUGCAUACUGCCAAUCUACAUAGAGCACAAAGAGGUCUUCCAAAAUCAAACGGACCUACUGCGACGGGAGGGUGGGAGACGCAAAAUGCACGCGAAACAGCGAGAGACAAGGCACAACAAAGGCAAGAGUCUGAAGGAACUCCUCAUCGGAAAAGUUCACAUCUCAUCAGGUUUCUCCAUCGGAAAAACUAAGUGCGCUCGUGCAAAGCCCCUCCACUCGACAGUACCUUCCUUGCGAUCGCGACAGGAAGCGAGCUCGAGCGUGGGAGAGGGAGGUGUUGGAAGAUAUGCUCGAAUCUGAUCUUGGGAGAUAUGCUCGGAAUCUCGAUUGAUCUUAAUUGUACAUAAAUUAGUUAGGAUCUUUAGAUUGAGAUUGGAUUCAAUUUCAUAAAUAUUUGUUUGCCUUUUAUUAUUUCAUCUAUGUACUAUAAUUACAGAAGAAAUGUACAUCAGAAUACAUACGAAAUAUACAAGAAUUCCAGAUCUCUAUAGUCUUCUUCACUUUCUUACAUGGUAUUAGAGCUUCGGCUUCUGACUGUUCUUCACUUCCGCUCCUUAUUGCCCACCAAAGGAGAUUUGAAUCACACAACAGAUCUACCAUCUUGGUAUAGGAAUCACUCGAAGAAGAAGAAGACAAGAGCUACUGGUUUCUUACCUCCAAUGGCCGACGACCAAUCCAACCCAGAAGCCUCACCACCGACGCAGAUCCAAAAUUUACCUACAACAACACAACAACAAACAAUCCAGGCACACCCUGUUCAAUGGAGACCUACACAAGCUCAGUUUGGUCUAGGGCAACCCUUUGCGGGUCAACCGUUCUAAUGGGUACCUUACCCAUUUUAUCUCGGGACAUACCUGAAUACAUCAUCGCCCAUUUAUGUAGGACACCAUGGAGCCCACUUCCAAUCCGAGGCAAGCUUGACCCCAGAACUAGAGCAGGUAAGCGGAUCUAGAGAACCGGGUAUGGGAACAAAUCCCUACCUGGGGUUUUCAAAUGCAGAUUACCAAUCGGGUCAAUGGACAAAUACCUACCCAAACCUUGCGCUCGGAUUCAUGCCAUUCCCCGUCGCUGCCGUUACCGGGCAUACGGACCCUAAUGAUCCCCUGCAUGUCUCAACAGCCGAUGGCCAUGAGCUGAAACUGAUCAACCUUCAGUUAACCGGACCAAAGAAUUACACCAGAUCGUCCCGAGACUUCCGGCGCGCCCUUGUGACGAAGGACAAUGAUGGAUUCCUCGACGGGGCGGUUUCGAUUCCUGCCGAUGAGCGACUAGCCCGAUUUUGGAGGAAAUGCAAUCAACUCGUGAGGACGUGGAUCGGCAACUGCAUCUCCCCAGAGGUCGCGGUUGGUCUCCCACCAACAGAAGACUCGAAAGCCAUGUGGGAAAACAUCAAACAGAUGUACGGCAAAUUAGAUCGAGCAUGAAUUUUUUCCCUUUUGCAGGAACUUAGUGAGUUAAAACAGGGGAACAUGAUCAUCACGGCCUGUUACAACAAACUGUCGUCCUUGUGGAACGAUCUCGAAGCAACAGAAGAGAAGCCCGAGGGACCAGAGGAGACACUUGCACAAUACCGGUCGAUCAAAGAAAGGGAAAAGGCGACCCGAUUCCUUUUAAUCUUAAACGAUUCUUACCUGACGUUUCGCUCGCAGAUUUUGGCCAUGGAACCGAUGCUCCCUCUUGGCCGGAUCAUUCAAUUAGCCGUCCAAGAAGUAAGCCAGAGGCUUGCUUCAUCAGAAUUAGCGAAAGGAGGAGAGAGUUUUGCCCUGGCCAGUCGCAGCGAGCGAAGAAAUUGGGGAUCGAAAACCCUAGUGCUCGAAAAAGGGGCGCCAGGAGGAGAGCUAGGGUUUCGGUCGCCCAGAUCUGAGGAUUCCCACCUCCUUAAAAGAGGAGAACUAGACGGCUCGGAUUCAGCCUGUAGAUCGGAUGGUCCAAAGGGACCCAUCUAUUCGACCGGAUCUAACGGUGGAGAUGGAGCGACUGGGAAGACAUCCGACGGUGGUGGUUUUUUUUCUGCAUUUGACGGUGGAAGAAUUUUUUCGGCAUCUACAAAAAGUUUUAAUCAAAAAAGGGGUAAAUUAUAUUGUGAAUUUUGCAGAAGGCCACAUCAUACAGUGGAAAAUUGCUGGAAAUUACACGAUAAACCCGGAGAAAAAGGAAAAAGAAGGAAAUUUCUAUGGCCUACUAGGUUGGUGGUUCUAAUGUUGAUCAGUCCAUAACAAAUUAUCAAUACCAACAACUGAUGCAGGCAGUACAGAAAUUGGACAUCUCAAGCAAGGGAGGAAAUUUUUCAGGUGUUUCUCGCUGCCUGAUUAAUAAUAUUUCCAAGAAAUCCUAGAUAAUUGAUUCUGGGGCAAGUGAUCACAUUGUCUAUGAAAGAGCAUUAUUUUCAGAUAUACAUGAGAACCUGGAAUUUCCUAUUACUGUCCAAUUACCAAAUGGGAAUGUUACUCAUGUCAAAAUCACUGGAUCAAUCAAACUGAGCCUAGAAAUCAUACUCCAAAAUGUCCUUUACGUUUCAAAAUUUUGAUUCAAUCUUAUUUCUGUGUCCAAAGUCUGCAGAGAAAAUUCUUGUCGUGUAUUGUUUGAUUCUGACACUUGCUUCUUUCAGGCCCUUUCGACUGGCAGAGUGAUGGGCUUGGGUAGUCUUUCUGAAUGAUUGUUUCUAUGGAAAGAUUCUCCAAGUAAUUUUGAUUUAUCCUCAUUUCCUUCAAAUAAAAUAUCAUUGUGUAACACGACUACCAAUGAUAAAGACUAUCUUUUACAUUCAUGAUUGGGUCAUAGUGCUUCAUUUCCUUAUUCUAAGUGUCAAAUAUGUCCCCUUGCAAAGCAAUCACGCAUUCCUUUUGCCCUUAGUAAAAAUUGUGUAACGCACAUUUUCUCUUUAAUUCACAUGGAUGUUUGGGGUCCUUACCAUACCCAACAUCAUGAUGGAUCGCACUAUUUCUUGACAAUUGUGGACGAUUAUUCUCGUGCCACCUGGGUUUUUUUGAUGCAGUCAAAGGGACAAGUCUUCUCACAUUUGAAAACAUUUAUCGCUCUAUCCAAGAACCAAUUUGGAAGAUCUAUCCAACGAGUUAGGACAGACAAUGGGAAGGAGUUCUUCAACAAUGACUGCAAUUUUCUUCUGUCAUCUCAUGGGAUUCUCCAUGAAAGUUCUUACAUCUAUACUCCACAAUAGAAUGGAGUAGUGGAGCGUAAGCAUUGUCACCUAUUGGAAGUUGCACGUGCAUUAAAAUUUCAGGCGUCUAUUCCAAAAAAAUAUUGGGGCGAAUGCAUAAUUACUGCAACAUAUCUCAUCAACCAUAUGCCAACUCGGAUACUCAAUGGAAAAACCCCAUUUGAGUUACUCUUCAAGAAGAAACCGGAAUUUGGGCAUUUAAGGAUAUUUGGAUGUCAGUGCUUCGCUACUGUUUUGGGCCCUCGAGACAAAAUGGGGCCUCGAGCUCGACGGUGCAUCUUCAUGGGUUAUCCGAAUUUACAAAAGGGGUAUUGAGUCCUAGAUCAAUCAACAUUGGAAUUCUUCAUCAGCAGAGAAGUUAUUUUUCACGAAGAUAUUUUUCCUUUCAAAGAAAAGGACUCUUCAAUGGAGACGCCAAACAAUUCUGGUAAGCCACUAUCUAUGGAGGAUUUUUCAAAUACCGAAUAUUUUGUGACAGGAACUCCAAAACCACUUAUGAUAACCCCAAUCACUCCUGAGAUUUCUGCACCAGCAAUUGUUGAAAAUGGCGCUCAAGAAAAUUCUUCAAUGGCAGAAGAAUCCUCUAAUGAAAUUGGCAAUAUAGAAAUAUCUUCAACUUCAGCUCAAGUGAAUCCUCCUCGACGAUCUGGUCGUUCUACAUGACCGCCAGCUUGGAUAGAAGACUAUGUUUGUGCAUCACCCAACUCACCAGGUAUUAACUACCCAAUAUCAUCUUAUGUUUCGUUCCAUAGACUUUCAUCGGAACAUAGAUGUUGUGUGAGUCGAAUAUCAGAGGACAUCGAACCAUCUACUUAUGAAGAAGCAGCUAAAGACCCAAGAUGGCAGGAAGCUAUAGGAGCUGAAUUGCAGGCACUAACUGCAAACAAGACCUGGGAUUUGGUCCAUCUACCACCAAAUAGGAAACCCAUUGGAUGCAGAUGGGUAUACAAGAUUAAAGACCGUGUUGAUGGGUUUAUUGAGUGUUACAAAGCUCGAUUGGUGGCCAAAGGAUUUACUCAACGAGAAGGCUUUUUGAUUACCACGAAACCUUUUCCCCCGUUGCCGAAGAAUACCCAAACCUUGAUUCAAUGAAUUGAGAAGAGGGAUCUACGCAGAGUGGGGUGUCAGAUGGUCGUUUUUCGGCUUGCCAAAGACAUAACCGUAAGAUCCUUCUUAUCUAUUACAGCUAUCAAUGAUUGGCCUUUACACCAAAUGGAUGUACAUAACGCUUUUCUGCAUGGAGACUUAGAUGAGGAAAUCUACAUGGAUAUUCCUCAAGGAUUACGGAGACGGGGGGAGAAUAGAGUAUGUCGUCUCCGUAAAUCUCUCUAUGGUCUCAAGCAAGCUUCUAGGCAAUGGUAUGCAAAAUUUGCCGAUGCUCUCACUUCUGUAGGUUUCAAACAGUCUAGAUAUGAUUAUGCCUUGUUCACAAUGACUCAAGGUACGUCAUCUAUUUAUCUAAUGAUAUAUGUUGACGAUAUCCUCAUCAUGGAAAAUAAUAAAAUUGCAAUAGAGAGAUUCAAGAAGUAUCUGUAUUUUACUUUUCACAUUAAAGACUUGGGAGCACCCAAAUACUUUCUUGGAAUCGAGAUUGCUCGAUCUGAUCGUGGGAUUUCUCUUAGUCAACGGAAGUUUGUGCUGGAAAUUAUAUCAGAGGCAGGACUGUUAGGAUGCAAACCAUCAAUUAUUCCAAUUGAGUAGAAUAUAAAGUUGACCACCAAGGAUUAUGAUGCUGGGACAUCUGAGAAUCAUGAUCCUGUUCUCAAUGAUCCUUCAGGUUAUAAGCUUGUUGGGAAGCUCAUAUAUUUAACUAUGACUAGAUCCGAUAUAUUAUAUGCAGUGCAGACUCUCAGCCAAUUCAUGCACAGUCCCAAGUUAUCUCACUUGAAUGCUGCAUUAAAGGUCGUGAAGUACUUGAAGAAGUGCCCGGGACUAGGGAUUCUUUUAUCCAGGGAAUGCAAUAUGAAAAUGUUGGCAUACUGUGAUGCAGAUUAUGCGACUUGUCCUAUGAGUCGACGAUCCAUUACAGGUUUUUGCAUUAAACUUGGAGAUUCUCUUCUUUCAUGAAAAACCAAGUUGCCUGCUUCUUGGUUUUUCAUGAAAGAAGCAGGCAACUGUAUCAUUGUCUUCAGCCGAAGCAGAAUACCGAGCUAUGACAAAAACUACUUGUGAGAUCAUAUGGAUAUGGGGACUACUUGGGGAUCUUGGGAUAAAUUUGAAGAGUCCGACUAGGUUGUUCUGUGACAACGAUGCGGCGCUCAAACUUGCAGCAAAUCCCAUAGUACAUGAAAGAACGAAGCAUAUAGAAGUGGAUUGUCACUUCACUCGAGAAAAGAUUCAAGAAGGGAUAAUUGAGACUAGAGGAAUUGGAAUGGCGGAGCAACCAGCCGAUAUCUUCACUAAGGCCCUAUGUCAAAGACAACAUGCAUAUCUAUUGAGCAAGCUAGGCAUCUUGGAUAUCUAUCAGCCACCAGCUUGAGGGGGAGUGUUGGAAGAUAUGCUCGAAUCUGAUCUUGGGAGAUAUGCUCGGAAUCUCAAUUGAUCUUAAUUGUACAUAAAUUAGUUAGGAUCUUUAGAUUGAGAUUGGAUUCAAUUUCGUAAAUAUUUGUUUGCCUUUUAUUAUUUCAUCUAUGUACUACAAUUACAGAAGAAAUGUACAUUAGAAUACAUACGAAAUAUACCAGAAUUUCAGAUCUCUAUAGUAUUCUUCACUUUCUUACAGGAGGGACAGAGAUCGGCUGGAUUAGAAUGGAGAUGAGAGAGAAGAACUCUGGUUUUUCUGCGGGUUUUUGGAUGGCGACUCUUUACAUAUAGAGAGAGAGAGAGAGAGAGAGAGAGAGAGAGAGAGAGAGAGAGAGAGAGAGAGAGAGAGAGAGAGAGAGAGAGAGAGAGUAGAUCUGAAAGAGGCAGGACCGGAAAGUGGCGAAAAACCGACGGAGGUUCGUCUGAGCGACUCGUCAUGCGCUCGCCGGGAGUUCUCCCGAGGGGACAAUAAAAUCCCGAUUCUGCCCCUCUAGAGGAACCAAUUCACGAAUUGCUCUGGUAUUGCCUUUAUUUUGUCUACUUUGGACCCAAAUCAUCGGAUCUAAAUAGAUUUUAAUCGUCGAUCGCAUGGAUUCAGACACUUGGGAACCAUGAUACCAACGGCAUUGAUGGAUUUAGGGCAUGUAGAGUUGAGUUUAGACAAGCAUUUACCCUCACAUUAAUAAAAUGUGUACAGGACUCAAGGAGCUAUUCGUCGGUUUGCUACCAAAGCCCAUCUCAUGUGCUUACACUAAGAAGAGGGCACUUUUGCUCAAGAAAAAUUUCAAGCUGGCAUUAGUAAGAACUAAAGAAAUUGACAAGAGAAUGAAUAUCUUAUUGUCAUAUAAAGGAGUACUUUAAAGUUGUGUCGUAUUGAACUUUGUCCCACCUAUUACACUAUUGAAAUGUUAUGUUUAAUAUACCAAUAAAGUAUCAAUCGCUAGUUGAGCAAGUUUAUCACCACAGCCCCAUUAAAUAUGAGUAGGGAAUUCUAAGACUAAUGAUAGACCAAAGCCCAAGUUCGUCUUUCACAGAUUAACCAAAAAAAGAAAAAGCAAACUAUUUAUGUUACUUUGGGGGUCUACCGUACACUUUGCUUCACAGAAUUGAAUGGAUUGUCUGAGCCCCUUGACCAUUUUGUUGGAUGUUCUAAGUUUUGCUUUACUAUUUACACUCCCUAUGUAUAUAAGUUUACAAAAAAAAACAAAAAACAAAAAUUCUCCGUUACUCUAUCAGAUUAAUAAAGAUAGGAAACAUUUAUGAUUAUUCUAGCAAAAAAAUGACCUUUGAUAGAAAUAACCUUUUUAUUUUAAGUGAAAUGCGUACUAUAUAUAUAUUAGUAAUUAGCAUUUGGUGUGUUUAAAAAAGAUGAAACUUCAAAAAUUAAAUUUGAGAUACACCGCUAACUAAUUUUGUUUCAAAAAGGCUUUUAAGUAAUUUUUCCUCAAUCCAAAAUAGUAAAACUUUUCGUUAUCUAACUUUACUAAUUUAUUAGGCAAUCAUCUUUCCUACGUGUAAUGAAAGUACACAUUAAUUAAAGUUUUAAAUCAAGUAUGUUGAACAUUUCGCCCCUCGAAUUAUAAUUCUGGCCAUUUAGUUCUCGGAAAAAUGAACUCUGUCGUUUAGACAAUCACGCCUUUGCAAAGCUGGUGUUUCCAAUGCGUAAAGAGAGUUACAAGCAACUGAGUUGAUGGCGAUGGAAAGAGGUUACAAACCGAGUUUUGACAAGAGCUUGGCCGACGCGUGUGGUAUUACACGGUGAGCCUGAGUCCCUCUUCGACAGUCCGGCCAUUUUUUGUUCGUUUUGAGAUGGCCGACGGCCCUCAACUUCGGCAUCCCGGUCAUCCUUGUGUUCUCGGCCUUAUAGAGCUGAGUGGACAUUUCGACCGUGUCCUACACCGUCAGGCACGCCGACCGCUGAUCCACAGUUCCACAUUCGUGCAUUGCUGCGAAGGAUGCGAAGUUUUCCACCACAAGUUGUACGCUAAGGACCUACUAUGGCCCCAGAUACAACACCCUUGGCAGGUUGGCCUUCCGCUGCGAUUCGUGCAAUGUCCAGUUAUAUUUCUGCCUCACGAUUAAGCUGGACAGGGACAUUCCAACUCAAGGCAAGAAGUUUCGAGUCAUGAAUGCGCAUUGACCUUAUGCUAUGGCGAGUUUAGCUGCAGCCUGUGCAGGGAUGUGAUCUCGGAUGCGGAUUGUUAUGUCUCUUUUGGACUGUGCUGUCGUUUGGCAUAAGAGACCAAGCUGCUCGGAUUCUCCUCAGUUGAUCGUCAUCGCCGUCAUAUGUGCGAGCUGCUCAGACUCUGUCAAGCGCUUCCAUUACUAUCGCCGGACGUAGCACCUACCAUCUAAGCAAGAUUUUCUACUCAAAACUCUCACAUAUCAUCAGCUAGGAGCAAAUGCGACAAUAAUGAGGAUGAUGCAAGUGGUACACCCAACAAAGAAUUGAGUUGAUACAUUGUGAUAAGAUUCAAGGGUUGCCAACACUCCCAACAAGUUUAACCUAUCUAUUAGUGUCAUCUUCAUCAUUGCGGGUAGUCCCAGAUCUCUCGAACUUGACUAAUUUGGUUGAGCUGAUACUACAACAACAUGGACAAGUAGGAGAUAAACUUUGUAUCGAUCAGUUAUGGUGGAUUGAGAGGUUAUCCAAACUAACGGUUUUAAGGGUCAAACUUCACGAAGUCCCUAUUCCUAUUGAGGUUGGUUCGCUUCCUCUGCUAACGUUACUUGACUUGUCUAAAUUGGACAUGCAAACCUUUCAGCCACUUCCCUUGUCUCUGCAAAGGCUAAGCCUUGGCAAUUCCAAUUCAAUUGGGUCACUCUCUCAGGACUUGAGAAAUUUGUCAUUUUUAAAGCUCCAUGGGUCUCCAAUGCAAGAAUUUCAACUCGAUGGGCUUCAACUUCCACAACUAAAGGAGUUGCAUGUGGAGUAUUGGGCACCCCUCGAGAGGUUGAGGCUAUCAAGAAAGAUGUUAAGGUGGUAAAUUGUCCAAAGCUGGUUGAGAUCCAAUUGUCUUAGGUGUUCGAAUCACUGGAGGCAUUGUCUAUUGAACAUUGCAAGUCCUUGGAAAUGCUAGUUUAUGAGAUUCACAAUGAAUUGAUUACUUGUGAAGGGAGACUAAUUUUUCCAUCAAGAGUCUUUAAGUAACUUGCGUGCUCUCACACUGCAUCAUUGCCCUUCGAUACUCCACAUUCAAGUUGUAGAUACAUGGGAAUCGUGGGAGUACUUUCGCCUUUGGAGUUGGCCUCAUCUGCAAAGUCUCGGUGGUUUGUCAAACUUAAAGAACCUGAAGACUUUAAAUAUCCAAAACUACGAAAGCCUGCGACUAGUUGUGGGCGUCAACAAGUUUUUGGGCCAAUUAGUUCUUUGUAGCUGCGCGUCGUUGGAAAGGGUGAUUUAUGUAUCAACCACCAAACUGCCGAUCGAUUGCCACUUAUUUAUCUUCGGUUGCGAGAAAUUACGAGGGACUGAGAAUGAGUCAAGGGCUUCCGGAAGGAAUUCGGGGCUUCGAUCCGGUGCUUCAAACCACUAUAAAGUGAGUCCGAAUCAUUCUCUCUUUUGCUUUUCGAUUUUCUUAAUGCAACUAUCACAAACAUGAAUUUAUCUUUUAGGCAGAUUUGUAAUAAUUGUGGGAAAUCCAAAAACAAUCCAACGAGCGUGAAUUAUAUUUUGUUUUACUCAUUUUAAAACUCACUCAAUAUAAAAAAAAUUAUUUUUAUUUUUUUGGUAAACAUAAAUUGUUUUAUUUUCUGCUUGCAUUUUCUCAUUUUAUUUUCUAUUUAUUGUAUACGAGAAAGUCCUAUUUGUACGGGGCCAGUUUUAAUCAUAAAUGAUUGGAGAAACUUCAAUGGCUGGAAAAAAUAUAUAUACACUAGCGCAAAGUCUCCGACAAAACUAUUAAUCUUGUUUUGUAUGGAGUGAGUUGUUUGGUUUAGCAACAUUUACUCCACUCUAUUGUUGUUUCUUACUUAAUAUAUUUAUUAUGGAGAUGAGUUUGGUGAUUUGCGAUUUCAUAGUGAAGAUGGAACUUAAAAGACUCCAAUUCACAUUGAUGAAGUUGAGAGUUGCUUGAAUUUGCAUGAGGUUGGGGUUGGCCAAUUAGGAUGUGUGUUUCUAAAAGCAUCUAAAAAAUUAUUAUUAAAGAUUCUGCAUUCUAAAAGGGAACAAUGAAAAUCUAAUUGCCGGAUGAUAUAUUUCCACAUCAAAUCACAAGAAUUGUUUCUUUCUCCGUACUUGAACACUUGUUAAGGGAGUAUAUGCAUAGUGCAAGCAAAAAGUAGGAAGAUUCCUAAUUCUUAUCUUCUCAAUCUUUUCGAAACAACUAAAUCGAGUUUUUAGAUGAUUGUGAUCUGCUUACUAAAAUAAAGUUUAAUUUUGGUUUAUUGAUACUAAACUCAUCAUUUGAUAUAGAAAAUUAAAGUAACGUCAUUUUAAUAUUUUUAUUAGUGUUUUAUUAUUAAUAUUCAACGACAUAUCUUUUUUAUUGGUUGUUUCCUCUCUCUUUUUUCUGUUUUCCUCCAUCGUUUAAAAAAGCAAAAAGCACAUUUUUUUUUUCAAUCUCAACGAAUGCAAUUAAAACCUAUAUGUAUAAUAAAAACUGUUCUAAAUUCCUCGAAAGAUACCGAUGAAAGUCAUAUAUAGAUUAAACACGGUGGUUGAUUGCAUAAUUUUAAUCAUUUCAUUCCUUUGUUGAAACUUUCACGGAAGACUGGUUGUGAUUUUAUUUUGCAGGAAUCAUGCUUUGAUAGGAUCGGGACAUGUUCGGGUGAUAUACUCUCUCGAGUCUUGACACUCCUUGCACCUGCUUACGCCGCGAAUUCUCGAACUCCUCUUCACUGUUGUGGCCAAAGACACCUGGUCGACUCCUCGCGGCUGCUGCGUCCCAUUGUCGUCACAACUGAGCGGAACUGAAGAAGCCAGGUCUCUUUGACGCCUUUUGAUGGAUCACGGCCAUUGCGCAUCACCAUCUGCCGCCAUGUAUACCCGGCGUUUCUCCAAGACGUUCUCUCUAGUUUUCGCCAUCGCCAUUUCCAUUUCUCUCGCUUGCUUCGGUUCUCUUUGCUCUUCUUCCUGCGGGUCUCCUCCUGUCUGUGAAGCAAUGCAGGAGGACACGUCUUUCCUGCGGGUCUCCUGUCUGGCUUUUACCGGUCCUGCAGUCUAUUACGAAUGUUAGACCUGAAUCCACUACCCCUUAUGUUCAUCCUUCUUCAUGUAAAUUAACUAAAUUAAAAAAAAAAAAAACGAAAAACAAAAGAAAACAUCACUGGCCCUCUCCGGCGGCAGCAAGUGCCCUUGCCAAUUUGCCUUCUUCCUUUUUUUAUCUAUUAAAUUUAGCUUAUUUUUUAGUUUGAUUUAAAUAAAAUUUGUAAUAAAAAUCAGAUAUAGAUAUAUUCCAUGUUUUAGCCAUGUCAUCACCACAAAAAGGAAGACGAUAUUUAAAAAGCCAAGUCAGUGUUUUCCAUUACUUUAGUUAGACAAAAUUAAUGGAAAAACUUGGUUGCAUCAAUUUAACAAGUUUAGACCUUAAUUGCAUUUUCUGUAAAUUUUAGGAUUGAAUUACACUUUUAUAACAAGUUUUAGGAUUUCUAGAUUACUUAUCUCUAAUUUAUAUUUUACCACAUUAUGAUUUAAACUAUCACAACCAACUGCUGCAAACUCCGUCUAGAUUUUAAUAUUGGAUCAUCGGGUCUUGAGUUUGAUCAUUCACUCUUUUCACCUUCAAUAAUUUUGGAAAAGUAUUAUAUCUGCAUAUUUCAUACUUUCACUCUUCUAUAUAACAGCGUUAGCAUCAAGAGCUAUUCAAAUAUAAAACUUAGUCGACUCUUUAUUAGCUCAAACCUUUGGAACUACUUAUUGCGCACGCCGACUAUAAGGAAAGCAAUGUCAUUCAUGCUCUUCUUUAGUACACCUCCAGGAGCACGUGUAAUUGAACCCUAUAUCUUGGAGAACUUUUGACAGCAAUUUUGGACCUUUUGGUUUCUAUCGGUCUUUGCAUGGAGGUGGUCAAUAUGAUAAACGAAGAUAAAGAAGAUAAGAUUUGCGACCUUAAGACAAAUAAUCGCAUAGGUUGGGCAUCAUGUGACAGCUCAAAUGUCGCACGAUCUAAAGUUUUAUAUUAGCACUGCCCUGGCUUUCUCGCCGCCAAGAAAACCCACUAAGUUGUGACGCCAAGCUGUCUUUUAUAAUGAACUCGAGUAGGAAACCGAGUACUCUCAAGUCAAAGGAAAUAACAAGCCGAGAAUGAACUAUUAUGAAUGUUAAGUUUGAGAAGUGGGUCCAUAUUUGAAACAUUGAACCUGACGGCAUCUCAUGAACAAAGAGGGAAGAAAAAUAGUCUUGAUUCAGCGAGGCACCCGGAAAUGUCCUCGGGAUUUCAUCCGGAACCGACAGGACACAAAAAUAGAGUCCCUGAAUAGAAGAAGGAAGCCAGCAUGCUUCCACAAUCCAGAAGUCUGAGAAAUAAGCACGCGUAAACUUUCCUGAUUCAUCAUUGCACCCGUGUUCAGAAGAAUGUCUGAGCAAGUAGAAAUUUCCCAUGUUUGUAUAGGCACAUGCAUCCAUGAUCUCCUGUGAUUCUAUUUGGGCGUGACUUGUGCACACUCGUUUAUGUUGUGGGUUUGAGAGAGAGGGAGAGAUAUCUCGUUUGAUGCAACUUCAAGCGUGAAUCUGCUUGGACAUGAGCUGCGAUGCAUACUUCUGUACCCUACGGAUGUUUUGUCUGGUGAAGGAAUUGCAAAGAAAUGCCAGGGGUAAAAGAUAAUAUCAUGGAUAACCCGAAUAACAUCCUGUGAAAACAUUGAUAACCAUAAGGAUAUCUUUUCUUCGGAGAUGGGAUGAUUAAGCAUUAACAGAUUGUUGUUGGUCGCAAGUGCUCGAACAAGCAAUUCUUUAGCUUCUUCCUGCUUCUUCUUUAGCAUGUUGCAGAUCUGUAAGACAAUUCCCUUAGUCAGCCAAUGUAUUACUAGCAGAAAGAUCACAACGAUGGUAGAGUAGACAAGAGGCAACACUUCAAUGCCAGUCUAUGUUCCAAUCGCCUUCUGAAAACUCAAUUGCUAAUUAUAGACCUUUAAUUAAAAAAAAAAAUAGUUAUAAAGUACCAUAGAUUCAUCUUUAAGGAUAAUCAGGUUGGACUGUAGAAGAAAUCACAAUUUCCGUAUUAGAAAGAUUCUCUCCAUCGGUUGAUUUCUAGUUGUACAAAUUCAUUAAAUGAAGAUGAUUAAUGUCAAUGAACCCAUAACCAAAUUAUCGGAAGUGAGCAAACAUCCAGUAGUGAAAACUACAAAUUCAAGAAAUCGUUCGUCAACUCCCCUAACCACCNNNNNNNNNNNNNNNNNNNNNNNNNNNNNNNNNNNNNNNNNNNNNNNNNNNNNNNNNNNNNNNNNNNNNNNNNNNNNNNNNNNNNNNNNNNNNNNNNNNNNNNNNNNNNNNNNNNNNNNNNNNNNNNNNNNNNNNNNNNNNNNNNNNNNNNNNNNNNNNNNNNNNNNNNNNNNNNNNNNNNNNNNNNNNNNNNNNNNNNNNNNNNNNNNNNNNNNNNNNNNNNNNNNNNNNNNNNNNNNNNNNNNNNNNNNNNNNNNNNNNNNNNNNNNNNNNNNNNNNNNNNNNNNNNNNNNNNNNNNNNNNNNNNNNNNNNNNNNNNNNNNNNNNNNNNNNNNNNNNNNNNNNNNNNNNNNNNNNNNNNNNNNNNNNNNNNNNNNNNNNNNNNNNNNNNNNNNNNNNNNNNNNNNNNNNNNNNNNNNNNNNNNNNNNNNNNNNNNNNNNNNNNNNNNNNNNNNNNNNNNNNNNNNNNNNNNNNNNNNNNNNNNNNNNNNNNNNNNNNNNNNNNNNNNNNNNNNNNNNNNNNNNNNNNNNNNNNNNNNNNNNNNNNNNNNNNNNNNNNNNNNNNNNNNNNNNNNNNNNNNNNNNNNNNNNNNNNNNNNNNNNNNNNNNNNNNNNNNNNNNNNNNNNNNNNNNNNNNNNNNNNNNNNNNNNNNNNNNNNNNNNNNNNNNNNNNNNNNNNNNNNNNNNNNNNNNNNNNNNNNNNNNNNNNNNNNNNNNNNNNNNNNNNNNNNNNNNNNNNNNNNNNNNNNNNNNNNNNNNNNNNNNNNNNNNNNNNNNNNNNNNNNNNNNNNNNNNNNNNNNNNNNNNNNNNNNNNNNNNNNNNNNNNNNNNNNNNNNNNNNNNNNNNNNNNNNNNNNNNNNNNNNNNNNNNNNNNNNNNNNNNNNNNNNNNNNNNNNNNNNNNNNNNNNNNNNNNNNNNNNNNNNNNNNNNNNNNNNNNNNNNNNNNNNNNNNNNNNNNNNNNNNNNNNNNNNNNNNNNNNNNNNNNNNNNNNNNNNNNNNNNNNNNNNNNNNNNNNNNNNNNNNNNNNNNNNNNNNNNNNNNNNNNNNNNNNNNNNNNNNAUGGACUUCCACUUCAGUGGAACUCGCCUUAGGGGAAAUCUUAACAUGAAAUUUAGGAUGGUCACAAGACACUCUGUUGGUUUUGCUCUGUUCAGUGUCCUCAUGAUUGCAAACCUGAUACGUAUGAUCUAAGAAACCAGCAAGAAAUGAGUUUCGACUCUCUGUUGAAAUAGAAAAACUUAAGAAGGUUCUGUCCAUUUACCGGUUCAGUGACAACAGCUUCGGAGGAUUCGCUGAAACUUCUGAAGUGUCAAGGGUAAGAACAUUACUUCCACAAACAAAACCCAGUCACAGGAGCGAAGGUAGUGGAAUUAUUAGCACUCUUCACCUUUUUCCACCUGGAGACUCAGAGGGCGAUUCCAGUGGACUAGAUGACAUCCCCUGCAAAAUAGACACACCAAUUCUAAUGCAUUACAAAAUAGCAUCCCCAUAAUUGUAUUUGCAACGCCCUAUUGAAGAGGUCUAAGGUAUUACUUGGAAGUGAAGAGCAAACAAUAGAAAGGAACCUCAGAUGAUUUCCCUUAUGAAUUGAGAAGUGGCUGGUUUUAUUGGUUUACCUGUUCUGUGACAACAGUUUCUGAGGAUUCUCUGAAACUUCUAAAGUGUUGAGUAAGAACAUUACUUCCACAAACAACCCGGUCACAGGAGCAAGUAUAAUGGCGCUAUUAACACUCUUCACCUUUUCUCACUUGGAGACUGAAAGAGCAGUUUUGAUGGACUAAAUGGCAUUAAAUUGGCAUCUGAUCCCUGCAAUAUACACUCAUGGCUUCUAAUGCAUUACAAAGUAGCAUCCCCAUAAGUAUAUUAGAGCAAACAACAGAAAGGAACCGCAUAUGAUUUCCAUUUCAAGGAUGAAUUGGGAAGUGACUGGUUUUCGGUGCUUUUGCUACGAUGAGCUAACGAAUGUGCUGCAUCUCCUCGCAUUGCUGUAAUUUGCUCAGAGUCUCUCAUGGAACUGAUUUCCUCUGUAGGACUAGAACCAAGUUGAUCUUCUUUGGUUCUUGUGGCCCUGCGCACAUUGACAUCAUGAUCUCUUGAGAGUNNNNNNNNNNNNNNNNNNNNNNNNNNNNNNNNNNNNNNNNNNNNNNNNNNNNNNNNNNNNNNNNNNNNNNNNNNNNNNNNNNNNNNNNNNNNNNNNNNNNNNNNNNNNNNNNNNNNNNNNNNNNNNNNNNNNNNNNNNNNNNNNNNNNNNNNNNNNNNNNNNNNNNNNNNNNNNNNNNNNNNNNNNNNNNNNNNNNUAGGUGUCAACAACUCAUUUAUACUGCCCAUCUUGCAGAGGGGAACUGCAAAAGUUUAGCGCAAGCAGAUUAAGCAUAAGCGUACGCAAAUUAAUGCUGUGUCAAAGGUCUAGUCCACUAUAUGCAAUCUACUUGCUAGCAUUGGCAAUGUCUAAGACGGGACAUGACAUAACAUGAACAGAAUCAAACAUAAAAUUCAUAUGACAUGACAUUGGCAUAACCUUUCUGUAAUGAGGGGUUAUUUCAGUCUUGAAAGUAUAUAUCAUUUAAAGGAAUAUCACUCUCCCAUGCCAUGUGACCCAAAAGUUCAAACUGAACAUGAACAUAUCAUGCUACAGCUCCCACUUCCAGGCUUGUAGUCUUCUAGCAGAUAAUUUAGUCAUGUUUUACCAGAGACAAAGAUGCCAAUAUCUACUUCAAAGAAUAGUACGAGAAAUUUAAUGAGCUUUCCUGGCCAAUAAUAAAGGGAGACUUAGACUUGAGAGACAAUUGCAAGUAAAGGUUUAUAAUUUCGGCUGAAAGGGCUUUAAUUUCAUCAACAGAAAGCAAAUAAUCAAGAACAUAUCUACAUGUGUUGAUCAAACUAGAAAUAUACAGCAAUUAGGAAAGUGUCCAAUGUCUCAACGCAAACUAUGAUAUACAAUUAAAAAAAAAAAAAUUCUCAUUUUACCCUAGUUGAAAGUCCGACGGAACAGAAGAGUAAUAACCAGGGCAUCUUUAUAUCGGGAACAAAUAAACUUUCCCUUUUUUAUUUUGAGUUAGUGUGUGGGUGGGGGAGUGGCAGCAGGGAGGAGAUAACUUAAACAUUACUUGUUAGAUACUGUUAAAUGAAGUACGUGGGAAAAAUAAAAUGCUAGAAUUUGAACAAAAUUUCAAACAGCUCAACAAUUACAACUCAAUUGGGUACGGAUGCCUCACCUCAGAUGAGAAGUGGGUCUCACACUGAUAUGGCUUCCACUGACUUUUUGUUUGCUCCCUUGCUGGUGAAUUUCGACCAAAAAGCAACUUUCCCCCAACUUGAGAAUCCUCGGCAUUGUUUCCCAACCUGUUGCAGAUUGCAUGAACCAUGUGAAGGUAUAAAGCAUAUCAAAGAAACUAAAAUCAAAAAGAAAAUCUUCACCUAGUGUCAUUUAGAUGUACAGAAGCAAGUCUUUUGCUGCUAAAUUGAGUAAGCUUUCUCCCAGUUGAUGGUUCUCGAGAAGACUGACUCUUUAUUUCCUCUGAUCUCUUGGAAAACUUUGAAUGGGCUUGUCCAGGCUCUCUACCAGUAAAGAAAGAGGACGAUAUUUAAGUGCAGGUCCUCCGCUUGGGACAUUUACAUGUUACUAAAAGUGAGCUAAGAAGUGCAAAAACAUUAUGCUGUUGAUCCAACAAUCUUUAUACUGAACUCUGGAAGUCACCAUAAAAUGCAUCAAAAUGAUAGCAAAAACUCAAUGAAUGAGUGCAUCAGACUGAAAUCACAACUUGCAUUCCCCUCCUUAAAAAUUAAGCUACGAUGCAUAUGCUUUCUAAAUUUUCACAAAAUCGAUCAUCAAGAGUCCAUGUUUCUUAAAAGGAGCCAUUAAUGGCGCAUUGCUCUAAUUUGGCAUGGCAGAAACUUGCCAAUAUCAUCCUAAUAUAGAUUCCCCCUCGUUCCUCUAAUCACUUAAAGGUAAGGGAUAAAUGGGACAACCUGAAAACAGCUGUUUCACUGUCAUGCAGUACUUUGCUUGGGAUAAUACAGGCUGUAUCAUUAAGACUUGUCUCAGGCUUGGCCUCUUCAUCGUGAGCCUUAGUAGCAUUCAAUGAAUCAAAAAUAGGUUUAUUGCUUCCAUUUGCCUUGCCUUCUGCUCCUGGCACAUGUGGCACACUUGAAACUUCUGACUGCAUGUUGCCAUGAGAAUAUGUAGCUUCCCCUAUAAUUUCUUUCCUGUUACUCUGCUCUUCACCCAAAGUGGAAUUUAAACUUUUGAAGAUAGACAAAUCUUUUCUUGGAUGCUCUGGGAUGGUACUUAAAUUUGUGUCAACCCCGGGCUAAAUAUGUACCUCUAUUGAGGCUGUUUUGUCUGACAAAUAAUCUUGUUGGUCAGAUCCUUGAGAACACGUGAUGUUUGUCCUUUCGAAAGAAGAUUGUUGUGGAAUUGAAAUUCUACAUGCUGCGGGCUUUGGCACCCAAUCAUCCAUUCUUGGGUUUGGCAUAGAAGUUGAAGUUACAGAAGUUCCUACUUGAAUCUCUGAUGUACCCACACAGCACGUUGAUUGAAUAUUAUCAAUCAUAGUGUUAUCCUCACAGUCAGGAAUUGCCUCAGGAAGGCGUGUUUCCGAGCCCUGUUGCUCAUUCAUCUCCAAUGAUCUCCCUUUGCUUCCUAUAACCUUCUUCCCACCUUGUUCUUCCUUAGUCAUGGGUGAAUCAAGAUUAAAGCCAUCCAACCUGGAUAGCACAAAUGGCUGCUAAGUUCAUAGAUUGCAAUCACAAGUCAUGACAUUUCCCUUCACUUGAAAAUAUAACCUUAUGUAUCAAAGAAUAUGCCCUAAUGUAUGCAUUGUGAAGCUGUCUUACCCAUUAAAAUCAAAGGAGAAAGAAAAUCUUUUCUUAAAAUUUCCUUCAUCAGGUGAUUCUGCUUCAUUUCUGUCAUGUUUGGAGAUUUCUUAGAUAGGCAGAAGAAAUCAAGAUCCGGCAUGUCCACUUUGAAUGAUGAAAACUUGUUAAAGUCAGCAUCCACGUUAAAAUCGACAUCCCUGAAAAAGGAUAUUUAACAAUCAAUCCACAGAAAACAGAGAUAUAUCCCACUCUCAUAACAAAUAAGAUUGUAACUAGCUUUCAUGCAUGUUCACCAUCGUCCAUCAUUUUAAUAAUUUUUGAAGUGGAUGAAUGAUAUGUAAAGCAUGGCUCGCUCGAUCACCACGGGCAGUAUUCUCCACAAACAGGUAAUUGUACACGGGUGAAUAUAUGUAACCAACUCAAGUAUGAAGAUAGAAUAUUAAAGUUACAUCCCACAUCCAUACUGGUUUAUUAUCUAGCUGCCCAUACUUUAAGUUUCACUUACAGUUUAUCAAUGUUGAAUUUCUUCAUUUUGCCUUUGCCAACAGUAUCAAAGCUAAAAUCCACUGUGUCAUCUUCUGCCACAGACAACGACUUCCAGGAGGUAAGGAACUCCUUUCCAAAUUCAGCAUCUGUUGAAAUCAGAUUUAACAUUGAGCUAUGACCUACAUAUCUGACCUUCAUAAGACAUGGCCAGAAAUGUGUACAAGCAAUCAUCCUAAUCAAUGACAAGGAUGAAAACCAAUUUUAACAUUAAUAAAGCUUUAAUUUGUUUUCAAGUAGAUGAAAAGUAUGCUGCACUAAUUAUUGACCACGAUAUCCAAAAGAGUCAUGUGUCAGGCCAUAUUACAAAAAUAACCUAAACAGAUUAUAUAGGUUUAGGAUUGAGAAAUAUGCAUCCUUGUGGUACCAUUCCACCUCUGAAGCGAAUUUACUGUAUUUUGAGAUUUGUCAAGCUUAUACAGAGUACCUAGUAAUGAUUUAUCCUCUUUCUGAUUCACCACUGCAGUUUCCUUAGGUGAAUCUGCCAUCUGCAAGGGAAAGAGUGAGGAAAGCAUAAUAAAAAAGAGAAUUCAAAUGGCCCUUAGAAUUUACAAAAGAAAAGGGAGAUUUUAAUUGCAAAUCCAUUAGGUUGGCUAUACUACACAGCAACCUCCUCUCUUCGUAAAAGCAACCUCUCUUUGUUAAACCAUUGCAUCUAUAACAUUUUUGCACUUAUCUUACGCAGAAGCAUAUAUAAACUAACCUAGGAGGGACCUUAGCCAGUCCAUUAAAGUGAAAAACCCACACAUGACAUGCAGACAGUUCAUAAAGGAGCAGCAUUGACUUAUACAAAAUGGUUAGGUGCAGAGUUGCGAGCUCUAAAUUUAAAACCGUGGGGCCAGAAACACCCAUAUAUACAUGCCACUAUCGUAUAUCUGUGAAGAUUCAUUUUUCAUCCUUCCACAAAUGCAAAGAUAAAGGAUCUCCAAUUUGACAGCAGUGAUAAGAUGGACACCUAAUCAGUACAAUAAAGUAAGGAUCAUCUCAAGAUUUCUCAGCCUUGAUUCAAAGGGACAUAAGUCUCUCAUACUUUCGAUAUGAAAUGUCUGAAGGAGUUCAACUAGACCACAAGUGGAAACCACUAUAGCUAUUACAAAGGAUGAACAAAUGCAGUAUUAAUAAGUUCAUACGGGGGCAAAGCACAGGGCUAAUCCAGUAUAAUCUAUCCCAAGAAAAUAACACUGAUGCUAUUUUAACAUGAGAAACCAUAGCAUUGGGUUUUAGCCAAUGAAUUAAUGGCUGUCGUAUGACUGCCUAAAAUAUAUAGGUCCUCCUAUCACAUUCAUAUCAUCUGAUUUCCAGUACAGAGAAGUUCAAUUAAAAUGAAUGUAAUUGAGAAAAAAAGAAAUACAUCAGAACAGCAACUUAUCAUGACAUCAUUUCUACGAAAACAGAUGCCGAGAAAUAGCAUUACCUUUGUAUGUAAAUGCCGUAAGUCAUAGUGAUUUCCUCUGAAUAAGCGCCUACAUUGCGCUCAAACUGCAAGGAGCUAUAUACCUCCAGCAAAAGGAUUACACCAAUUUUGAACGCAAACUUAUCCACAAGCUUGUUCCAGAGGUAUAUCAGAGAGAGAUAAACGUAGCAAUCGAGAAGAAAUUCUUUGCUGCGCCUAACCUCCAAAAUUAUAGAUGGUGCUCCAACGAACUCGAUAAAGCCAAUCUACAUUGAUCACAAAGACGUCUUCCGACAUCAAACGGACCUACUGUGACGGCAGGGUGGGAGACGCAAAACGAGCGAACGCGAAACGGCGAGUGACAACUGAGCGCGGAAUCAAACAGGUGAGAGUCCGAAGGAACUCCUCAUCGGUACAGUUGGCAUCCCAUCAAAUCCACCAUCGGAAAACUAAGCGCGCUCGCUAAGUACCUCCGCUCAACACUACGAAACAAUCAGCGAAAGCUGAUGGUUCAGAGGCACGGAGCAACGAGACACUGAAGAAGCCACGGCCAGAAGAAGAAAUCGACGGAUUGCGAAAGCUCGAGAUCGAUUCGCACGUCGACAUUACCUUCCUUGCGAUCGCGACAGGGAGCGAGCUCGAGCGUGGGGGAGAGAGAGAGAGAGAUCGAUCGGCUGGAUUUGAAUGGAGAUGAGAGUGAAGUAAUCUGGUUUUUCUACAGGUUUUUGAAUGGCGACUCUUUAUAUAGAGAGAGAGACGGAGAGUAGCUUUGUCGCGACCUACCCUCGGGGGAGGGAACAGGUUUAGGGGUAUUGCCUAAGGAAGGGCCUAAGGCUCAUGAUUAGGUAUGAGCUCCCAUACCCCGCGUGACAUUGGGAUAUUCUUAAGGAAUUUUGCACAAAAGGUGUCGCCAUUAGCUUAUUGGGGUCGGCUAGAAACCAAGUGAGGCAUGGGAGUGUGUCUCACUUCCUACGCAACCAGAGAAUCUAGGAUCGGGGACUUGAUUACACUAAUUAACCAAUUAGUGCCCUUUCGGUACCUAAUCUUGUUCAUUUUAACAAAAUGAUGUUUGGCAAGUAGUUUAGAUUGAUUUUAUACCAUGUGAGGUGAUCAUGCAGAUACGCAGUCAUUAAAAUAACAAUCAUAACUACCAAAAUCCUAAUUGCAAUCAAAUUAAACACGUACAAUUAAACAUAAUUAGAUACGUAAAUCAAACAUGUAACAUAAUUAAUAUGCGAGCAAAUAAAUGCUUAAUUAUACUAACAUGGCAAGAUAUAGCAAUUCCUAACCAAAUCCCAUCAUUUUUUUUAUUUUCUAAAUUUUUUUAAUUUUUUUAAAAGAAAAAUAAUUAUUUUUAAAUUUUUUUUAAUUUUUUAAUUUUUAAUAUUUUUUGAAUUUUCGAAAUUUUUUUUUAAAUAAUAAAUUAAUUUUUGAGACCGGGCCGGUCCAACCCGGCCCGGGUUCGGCCCCGUCGACGCGGAUUGGACCGGACCCGGGUUCGGUCCAAUAGGCCCAAGUGGGUCUGAAGCUUGGGCCCAGCCCAAGAAGUCUCCCUCCUCCCUUUUUAAAAGAAAGCAAGCCCACAAGCCUAUACUAAACCAGCCCAAGCCCAAAAGCCCACAAGUAGAAACAACCCAAACCCGGCCCAAUUCACCUAAAACCCUACCCAUUUCUUUGACCCGGUUUGUACCUCCUCUUUAGGGUUCUGUGUUGACGGCGGUGGCGGCGACGCGGCGGGCGGUGGCGGCGACGCGGCGUCUGCGAAGACGAGUGGCACUCGGGCAGAGGAGGGCGUCACGGACGUGUGUGCAGCAGGCAAGGGCCGGUGUGGGGCUCGCUCGGCGGUGACUGGCGAGGCAGCUCGAACGGCGUCGGGUUGAGGGCGGUGAUGGGUGAGCGACGGCACCGGCUGCAGCGAGGGGAUUCGGACGGUGACUAGAGCGGGACGGUGGCGGUGGUCGGCCUGGUGGUGCAGCGGAGUUCGAUCAACUCCCAGAUCUGGUUCGUCUCCGGCUGGUUCGGCGUCGGGAACGCUGUGGGCGGCGAACGACGGCAGCAGCAGCAGGGAGGCGGUGUUUCGGCGAGGGGCGGUGACGACGUCAAGGUCGGCGAACAGGAGCUCGGCUGCUGCAGGUUGCAUGGCGAGGGGACGCAGCGACCGACUUGGGUGAAGCGGCGGUGGCACGAGGAUUAGUGAGUAGGAGCAGAGGCAGUGUCGUGGGGGCUCGGGAUCUGGUGUUCGGGCAGGAGGGGCGGCCGGAGGCGUCGAGUUGCAAGGUCGACGGCAGCAAUGGCGGCAAGCAGGGACGGCAAAUAGCAACAGCUCGUCAGGGCCGGCGGAAAAACGCCCGUUGGUCGUCGUGGGUCAGCUGCGGGAGCAGCGGAGACAGACGGAGGGCGAGGUUGCUCGUGGAGACGCAGCAGAACGGCGAAUGCUGGGCCGAGGCGUCGCGAGGUCGACGGGCGGCACUCGGACAGAGGGGGGGGGGGGGGUCGGUCGAACGGCAACGGCGGCAGCGGUGGUGCCGCCACCGCCCUUCCUUCCGGUUUUCCCUCUCUUUUUCUCCUCUCUCUUUCUGCGUUUUUUUUUGUUCUGGAUCCUCUCCCUCUCUCUGUCUGGUCCCUCCUACACUGGCCGGCUCCCUCCUCUUUUCCUAGUUCCCAACCCCCUUUCGAAAACCCUAGCUACCGAGAGAAGAAGACCCUGGGCGCGGGCUGGGCUCAACUAGAAACAAAAGUGGGCCGGCCCUGCGCGAGAGAAAAAAAAAAGGAAUAGGGGGCGGUGGGCUGGUUUGAGGCUGGAUCCGGCCCAAUCCACCCUCUAAGUAAUUUUUCAUUUUUUUUUCUAUUUUCUAUUUUCUUUUUCUUUUUCUUUUGUUGUUGUUUUGCUAUUUUUUUUUCUUUUUCUCUAAUAAUUUUUUGUACUUGAAAACAAAAAUUGGGUGUCAACAGCUGCCCCUCUUUUAAUGUUGUCUCGAAGAGGUUGCAUUCAAAGACAAAAGACACCUAAAUUAUUUAUGUAGUAGAGAGACCCUGAGUACAUAGGCACGCGUUAGGUCGACAAAAAUGAUUCAUAACUAUGAAAGCACGUCUUGCAAAUAAGAUGAAGAAAGACUUCGGGCUACAGAAGCCUACCGGGUCAUAAGAUGGGAGGGAGACUCCGAGAUACAAAGCUCUCUAGGUCAUAAGAAGUGAGGAAGACUCCAGGAUACAAAGCUCUCCGGGUCAUGAGAAGGGAGGAAGACUCCAAGAUACAAAGCUCUCCGGGUCAUGAGAAGGGAGGAAGACUCCAGGAUACAAAGCUCUUCGGGUCAUGAGAAAUGAGGAAGACUCCAGGAUACAAAGCUCUCCGGGUCAUAAGAAGUGAUGAAGACUCCAUGAUACAAAACUCUCCGGGUCAUGAGAAGGGAGGAAGAUUCCAGGAUACAAAGCUCUCCGGGUCAUGAGAAGUGAGGAAGACUCUAGGAUACAAAGCUCUCCGGGUCAUGAGAAGGGAGGAAGACUCUAGGAUACAAAGCUCUCCGGGUCAUGAGAAAUGAGGAAGACUCCAGGAUACAAAGCUCUCCGGGUCAUGAGAAAUGAGGAAGACUCCAGGAUACAAAGCUCUCCGGGUCAUGAGAAAGGAGGAAGACUCCAGGAUACAAAGCUCUCCGGGUCAUGAGAAGGGGUCAUGAGAAGUGAUGAAGACUCCAGGAUACAAAGCUCUCCAGGUCAUGAGAAGGGAGGAAGACUCCAAGAUACAAAGCUCUCCGGGUCAUGAGAAAUGAGGAAGACUCUAGGAUACAAGGCUCUCCGGGUCAUAAGAAGUGAUGAAGACUCCAGGAUACAAAGCUCUCCGGGUCAUGAGAAAUGAGGAAGACUCCAGGAUACAAGGCUCUCCGGGUCAUAAGAAGUGAUGAAGACUCCAGGAUACAAAGCUCUCCGGGUCAUAAGAAGUGAUGAAGACUCCAGGAUCCAAAACUCUCCGGGUCGUAAGAAGUGAUGAAGACUCCAUGAUACAAAGCUCUUCGGGUCAUAAGAAAUGAUAUGACUGAGGUCUCAUAUUGUAAAAUGAGUUUUGAUUGGGUAUGAUAGUCUCACUGUGCAUGAACGGGUUUCGACUGGGAGGCGGACAAGCGUGGUUUACGGAUGAACCCACCAAUCUUGGAGAUGAGAUGGUUUAAGGUUAACCAUAAGCCUUUGGAGACGACAUGGUUUAAGGCUGACCAUCAACCUUUGGUUUUUAUGGAAGCACCCGCUAAACCCUUAGAAAACUGCAUGGCUUCACUGAUGAAUCCUGUCAAACUCAACUUGAGCAAAUGUCAUUAGAGAUGUCAUCAAGAGAUGUAUUGGCAAUAUUGCAGCAAUAAUUGAACAAAAUAAUCAAGCUAAGUCCGACUGCUUUAGAAAAACAUUCGAUGUCCAUCAGCCUCAUGUGGCGUAAAACUAUCAUCCUGCUCAUGGAUAUAUCAUUAAUCAUCAAAUUCUCUAGGAGACAAGUUCUCAUCAGAACAGUUACGACUCGAGAAAAAGGUUCAUUAAGCAUGCCAAACUAGAGCUUCUUAGUCAGAAAGGGUUUCUCACGCACUCUCAAUAAAAUGAUUACUUGAUCCCAUCCAUUAAUGUGGAAGAUAAUUGAUUGCUGAAGGUAUCUCACAUAACCUACGUCGAAGACUUCCGGAAACAUUCGCAAUGAGCACAAUCUGAUCGAUAAAAAAUGUCUUUUGAAAGGACCGCAAUAUAGGCUCGGUUAGGGCUUAUACACAGGAAUUAUUGCUUUGAGGCCAAUAAAGGAACAUUUGUCACUAUCUUCAUCGGCUUUACAAGUCGAGAGCUUGGGAGAUGAGACAAGAUAGAAUUACUUCCACUCCUUCAAGUAGUAGCUUCUUUGUGGCAUUCUCAUUUUCACUCAAACCAUCCCAAUCAGAAGAGACUUCGGAAGAGGGUUGUAAUGUUGGCUUGGGGAGAGGCUCGAAAGGCUUAAAACUUUCAACAGGGUCUUUAGGAGUCGAUGAUCAUCAUGGCAUCAUGACCAGGUCACUUGAUCUUUCCAAAUCAUUUGGCUUUUGAAAUAUAACGCAUCUCGAAAGUCCAUUGACUAAUCAUUUAUGCAUGGGAGCUUUGCCCGCUUUUUCUAAUUUUCUUUGCACUUGCAAUGAUUUUUUUUUUUUGCAGGCACUUGGACUUUGAUAAUAAUUUUUUUUUCACAUAAGAUGCAGCCUUUUGGCUUUUUUUUUUUAUGGGCAUUGGCCUUGCUUUUACCAGGCACACUGCUUUUUUAUGCCCCCUAAUUUGUCUAACUUUUUGCUCUUUGAACUUUUGGAGCUCUUAUGACUUUCAAGAUGCUUUUCGCAUUUCCUCAUGAUUGUCAAUUAUAUUUGGUCAAUUCUUAUGCCUUGCCCUAGUGAAGGGAGAUGAUCACCACUCAGGAUUCAGAAAUGAAUAAUCAGGCCCAAAUUAGUUGAAGCAAUGGGUAUCAGUGUUUGGAUAGAGAAUGAGAUGUUCUUCUUUACAUUGGGAUGAGUCAAGAUCUAAUGAGAAUUCCUUUGAAGCUAUCACCAGAAGAUUGAUGCAAGUGAAAGUAAUAGGAUCUUUCCCAAUCAUUCGCUCUACAACACGACCAUAACCUCCUAUGUUGCCCCAAUGUAGGGUCGUCCUUGACAGGGGUACUUUGAAUGAUCGUCUUUAUUUUGCCCAAAGGGAUAGGAAGAGAUUAGUGCAAUGCUUGGGAUUGAUGAAGGAAACGCCUUUAUCAUUUCGAUCUUUGCGCUCAAUGCGAAUGAAUCAUUCAUUCUAAGAGAAUGUCGCUUUUCACUCAACUCUCAAAAGUGUUUGAAGGACACUCAACUCUCAAAAGUGUUUGAAGGACGUGUUUGGAAAUGGGCUUACCUUUCUUCAUCCUAAGCACUUCUUGUUUGGCAUGGUUAACGUCUCAAUCUCACUCUGUCGAGAUCAUCUGAGUAGAUCAAUCUCCAUAAGGAAAUUUGAUUUUAAAUGAAAUACCCACAAAACCAGAAAACAAUUUUGAGAUAAAAAUGAUGCUAAAAAAUUUUGAAUAAAUUUUUUGUUUUUCAUUUUUCAUUUUUGUGCUUAUUUCUAGAAACGCGUCAAGGAUCUUUUCGUAAUGGAAAUUCUCUUUCUUUUUUUUCUUUACUUACUUUUUUUUUUUUUACUAAAAAAAAAAUGAGAAGAAUGGUACUUACCUGCGGUGUGAUGACCCGGUAAACCUGUAAAGAAUGUAAAAGAAUAUGUUAGUGCAAACAUCUUUAGGGAUUGAUGUGUUGAAAACGAUACAUUAUUACCCUUCAUUCGCUUUCAUCCUUUGGGUGGUAACAUCUCUUUGAUUCACCUUCGUGGAUAUUUGGUAACUCGACAAUACCCUUCAUUUGCAUUCUUCUUUAAGCGUUUGACGUUUUCCUAAUUCCUUGGUAGAAGACGUCGCUUCUACGGUCAAGAUGCAACUUUUAUCACCCUGUAAGAAGGGAAGAUGAAACGAGUUAUAUCUCAUUUCUUAGUUAGGUUCAACUAAGGAACGAUACAUCCUUCUUGAUGAAUUUGACAAUGUUGUUGUAGCGCACUUCAUUGGUGGGUGAAAGAGAGAUUUUUCUCUAAAUCAAAUGUUGUUCUCCCUCUUUAUAUGACAAACCUUGUUCCGUUCGAGUCUGUCCUGUACCAAAGAAAAUGAUAUGUCAUUUUCUAUACUGAAGAGAAAUCAAGUUUAGGAACGAGUUACAUCCUUUACAAAAUCGAGUGAUCAACAUCUCAAUGUAUCUCUCAUGGAGGAAGGAAUAAUAUUGCGCAUCCGUUCCAUUUGAAUCCUUCUUUGUUUAAGAUGAACAUGACUUAAUAAUGCUCCAUCGCAUUUGUUGAAACAUUACAAAACUUGGUACUCUUGAUGUCUCCUUGACAAUGAAAAGAAAAUCAAGUCAAAAACGGUAUCAGAAAUGAAUAAUUGAAAUCGAUACAGUUUACUCUUCCUUUGAAUUUGCCCUUUUGGAUAUUUGGCAACUCCUUUCAUUUGUCUCAUUAUGUAAAGUGAACGAGAUCGAUGGGUUGUUUUGGCAUCUAAGGCAUUUGCGAAUAACAAAACUUCUCAUAAUGGAAUUCAACUUCGUUUCGCCUCUAUGAAAAAUUGGUGCCGACCCUCAACGCAUGCUUGCUCUUCGAGUUCAAUGAGUCCAAGAAAACGACUACGUGAAGAGAGGGCAUUAAGCAACGUUGUCUUGAAAUUCAUUUUGGAAGGUAAACGUAUAGGUUCACUUAAAACACUUUUGAAUUUGCUCUUUUUUUUGUUUUUGUUUUUAUCUUCUUCUUUUUUAAAUGAUGAUUUUCAUGAAAUUGAAUUCCAUCAUUAAAAAUUUGAGUUGCACGAUUUACAAAAGCAACAAUUGGAUUCGCAAUCAAAACUCAAAAAGAAAAACAUGGUUCUUAACAAGAAUAAAGACUGAUAAAAUACAAGACUCUUUUACAGAUGAAAGUAAAAAAAAACAACUAUUGUCCUAGCUCUAGAAUUCACUUCCUCGAAUGGUCACCACGAGAAUGUCAAAGAGCAUCGCGCAUAACCUGCAAAAAGACGACAAUGUCAAUAUGCGAAUGAGAGAAAACGAUAUUUUAAUGACGUCACUUUUUAGAAUAAAAUCGAGGCGACGAUACAUGCCCCACAAUCCUUAUUACAGGACUUUAGUAUUUCGCCAAGAUUUUAUCAUAAGAGAAGAUAUCAUUAAAAUUAUCAAUCCACGAUCAUCAAUCGAAUGCCCACUUUUAUUCCAAAAGUUUCGUAUGCAAAAGAGUCAUUGAUUUUUGAAAGAUUGAUUUGUGAUUUUGCUCCUAGAAAAUGAAGUGAUUUUUAUUUUGAGAAAUUUGUACACAAAAUGAUUUGCAUUAUAGUCCCAAAAUGUGAGAAUGAGAAAAUUUGAUAAAAAAUGUAAUUUCAAUUUUUGUGCCCCAAUAUAAAAUGACAACUUGAAUUUUUUCUUUCUUUCCUUUUUCUUUUUCGAAAUGAUUUUGAGCCUGUAAUGAGAAAUUUAAACAAAACCAUGUGUUCAACAGUGCCAAAUCAAAAUGUUUAGAACUUGCAUUCAAAUGCUCACUUGUCAAAAGUGAUUGUCAAUUUUUCAAUCAUAAGCUUGCAUCACCGAGGGCAUUCGAUUGAUUUCCACAAAUUUCAAAAUUAAAAUGCAAUACAAAAUGAGCAAAUAAAAAGGGAAAUGAUACUUACAAUAGGUGUCGACCUUUGUCUCAUGCUUUUUUUUUUUUUUCCAAUCACAUAGAUAUGCACAUGGAAUGUAGUUCGAUUUCUACUCUAUAUGGCCCAAAAUGGAGCCAUGGGAUCACAGGACUGAACCAACAUGCUCGUGGCUAAGUCGUGUUACCCAUGACUCCGGCUUCGUCAAAGGAUCGACCCGUGUCGCAUGCUCGCAGACCAGGGUGGGGACCUCUAACAUCAAGAAAGAAAUUUCGAGGUUGAGAUGGGCGACUCAUACUACAUGCUUGUAGUCAGAGUGGUAUCCACCUCAACACCAUCCUAAGUAAUCCUAUGCGGCCCAGGUCCGGCGGCAGGUUGUGUGUGCUAAAGUGUAGUGCAAUGUAGGAGAUGCAUGCAUGACAAUUCAUAAGCAAUCAACACUUCAUACAUGAAUAAUAAACCAUACAUUCCUUCACCUCCCUACAAGACAAAGGUGAGCAAACACUUCCCCUUAUACCUCCCAUUCUACAAAAACAUUUAAUACCUUUAAUGUUAGAGACAUACUUGGAAUCCUUGCUACCAAACAAAAAUAUUUUUUUGAACAAGAUUAAUAUUGGUCUAAGUCCUCUAAGGUUUAAAACCAAACCAAGUCCCCAGCGGAGUCGCCAAGCUGUCGCGACCUACCCUCGGGGGGAGGGAACAGGUUUAGGGGUAUUGCCUAAGGACGGGCCUAAGGCUCAUGAUUAGGCAUGAGCUCUCCCAAGCCCAUACCCCGCGUGACAUUGGGAUAUUCUUAAGGAAUUUUGCACAAAAGGUGUCGCCACUAGCCUAUUGGGGUCGGUUAGAAACCAAGUGACGCAUGGGAGUGUGUCUCACUUCCUACGCAACCAGAGAAUCUAGAAUUGGGGACUUGAUUACACUAAUUAACCAAUUAGUGCCCUUUCGGUACCUAAUCUUGUUCAUUUUAACAAAAUGAUGUUUGGCAAGUAGUUUAGAAUGAUUUUAUACCAUGUGAGGUGAUCAUGCAGAUACGCAGUCAUUAAAAUAACAAUCAUAACUACCAAAAUCCUAAUUGCAGUCAAAUUAAACACGUACAAUUAAACAUAAUUAGAUACGUAAAUCAAACAUGUAACAUAAUUAAUAUGCGAGCAAAUAAAUGCCUAAUUAUACUAACAUGGCAAGAUAUAUCAAUUCCUAACCAAAUCCCAUCAUUUUUUUUAUUUUCUAAAUUUUUUUAAUUUUUUUAAUCUUUUUUAAAAGAAAAAUAAUUAUUUUUAAAUUAUUUUUUAAUUUUUUAAUUUUUUAAUUUUUAAUAUUUUUUGAAUUUUUGAAAUUUUUUUUUAAAUAAUAAAAUAAUUUUUGAGACCGGGCCGGUCCAACCCGGCCCGGGUUCGGCCCGGUUGACGCGGAUCGGACCGGACCCGGGUUCGGUCCAACAGGCCCAAGUGGGUCUGAAGCUUGGGCCCAGUCCAAGAAGUCUCCCUCCUCCCUUUUUAAAAGAAAGCAAGCCCACAAGCCUAUACUAAACCAGCCCAAGCCCAAAAGCCCACAAGCAGAAACAACCCAAACCCGGCCCGAUUCACCUAAAACCCUACCCAUUUCUUUGACCCGGUUUGUACCUCCUCUUUAGGGUUCUGUGUUGACGGCAGUGGCGGCGACGCGGCGGGCGGUGGCGGCGACGCGGCGUCUGCGAAGACGAGCAGCACUCGGGCAGAGGAGGGCGUCACGGACGUGUGUGCAGCAGGCAAGGGCCGGUGUGGGGCUCGCUCGGCGGUGACUGGCGAGGCAACUCGAACGGCGUCGGGUUGAGGGCGGUGAUGGGUGAGCGACGGCACCGGCUGCAGCGAGGGGAUUCGGAUGGUGACUAGAGCGGGACGGUGGCGGUGGUCGGCCUGGUGGUGCAGCGGAGUUCGAUCAACUCCCAGAUCUGGUUCGUCUCCGGCUGGUUCGGCGUCGGGAACGCUGUGGGCGGCGAACGACGGCAGCAGCAGCAGGGAGGCGGUGUUUCGGCGAGGGGCGGUGACGACGUCAAGGUCGGCGAACAGGAGCUCGGCUGCUGCCGGUUGCGUGGCGAGGGGACGCAGCGACCGGCUUGGGUGAAGCGGCGGUGGCGCGAGGAUUAGUGAGCAGGAGCAGAGGCAGUGUCGUGGGGGCUCGGGAUCUGGUGUUCGGGCAGGAGGGGCGGCUGGAGGCGUCGAGUUGCAAGGUCGACGGCAGCAAUGGCGGCAAGCAGGGAUGGCAAAUAGCAACAGCUCGUCAGGGCCGGCGGAAAAACGCCCGUUGGUCGUCGUGGGUCAGCUGCGGGAGCGGCGGAGACAGACGGAGGGCGAGGUUGCUCGUGGAGACGCAGCAGAACGGCGAAUGCUGGGCCGAGGCGUCGCGAGGUCGACGGGCGGCACUCGGACAGAGGGGGGGGGGGGUCGGUCGAACGGCAACAGCGGCGGCGGUGGCGCCGCCACCGCCCUUCCUUCCGGUUUUCCCUCUCUUUUUCUCCUCUCUCUCUUUCUGCGUUUUUUUUUUUGUUUUGGAUCCUCUCCCUCUCUCUGUCUGGUCCCUCCUACACUGGCCGGCUCCCUCCUCUUAUCCUAGUUCCCAACCCCCUUUCGAAAACCCUAGCUACCGAGAGAAGAAGACCCUGGGUGCGGGCUGGGCUCAACUAGAAAGAAAAGUGGGCCGGCCCUGCGCGAGAGAAAAAAAAAAGGAAUAGGGGGCGGUGGGCCGGUUUGAGGCUGGAUCCGGCCCAAUCCGCCCUCUAAGUAAUUUUUCAUUUUUUUUCUAUUUUCUAUUUUCUUUUUCUUUUUCUUUUGUUGUUGUUUUGCUCUUUUUUUUCUUUUUCUCUAAUAAUUUUUUGUACUUGAAAACAAAAAUUGGGUGUCAACAAGCUUUGAAAGAGGCGGGACCGGAAAAGCGACGGAAAUCGGGCGGAGGUUCACUCGAGCGUCAUGCGUUCGCCGAGAGUUUUCCCGACGGGACAGAAGAAAAUCCCGAUUUUGCCGCCCUCAGGGGAAACAUUUCCGCUUUGCUCCGUUCAUUUCAAGAAAAAAAAUUUAAAAAAAAAAAUCCUAAAAAUAAUUACUUCAAUCAUUUACAAAAAUUUAUAAAUAGUCAUUAAUUAUUUCAAAUAAUAACAAACGGUUGUUUUUAGAAAAAUAUAAUUACACAAUCCAUUUUCUGUAAAAUAAAUGAAAUUUAUCUUGAAAAAAAUCCAAUGAACCUAGAUAUCUGAAUCCAAAUAAAUUUUUAUUGUCAAUCACGUCAAUCUACGCUUGGGAACCACAUGAUGAAUCACCUUGAUGGAUUCAUGGCAUGUAAGCUCAAGUCGAGAUAAGCAUCUACCCUCACAUUGAAAUUCAAGGUGCUAUUGGCUGAUUACUAUCGAAGCCCAUCUCACAUUCCUAGUGUCACAAAAAAAAAAAAUGGGCAUUUCCUCCGAGGGCAACUUAAAGGUUGGAUUGAGCAGGACUUAGAGAAAUUGACAAGAAGAUGAAUAUCUUAUUAUGUUAUAAAAGAGGAUUUUUAGAAGUUGUAUAGCGUUGACAUUUGUCGUAGCUCAUCUGCUAUAGGAAUGUUGGGCUUAAAGUACCAACAAAAUACCAACAGCCCAUUGAGCUAGUCUAUCACCGGAGUCCUAUCAAAUACGAGUGGGAAAUUCAAAACCGGCAGUACACUUAAGCCCAAGCCCGUCCUUUGCAAAUUGAUUUAUUACACAAUUGUCUUUUCUAUGCGUAAUGACGAAAACUAUUAGUUAAACUUUUAAAUAAUAAUUAUUUUUCUUAUGGGGAUAAUUAUUUUUUUUUUAAAAUUUUGUCGAGAGUCAAGCAUGGUUGCUUUGUCGGAUUUUGUAAAGCUCGUGUCUCUAAUGUGUAAUCAGGGCUAUGAACGAUUGAGUUGAUUGGCCAUGGAAAUAGGUGAUGACCGAGUUUAGACGAGCUCGGGCGAACGUGUUUGGUAUUACACAGUGAGUCGGAGUACCUCUUCAACAAUACACCUCUUUUCUUUCGUUUCGAGAUAGUCGGCAACCCUCGACUCCGGCAUUCUGUCAUCCUGAUGUUAUAGUCCUUAAGAGAGCUGAGCGGACAUUUCGACCAUGUCUUAUGCUGCUAGGCAUCGACCGUGCGAAGGAAGGAGUAGAAGCAAUGAAGGUGAAUUUGAAGGAGGAGGAGCGUGAACUGGGGGAACUAGAGGAAGUGAACAGAGAAUCUCAAAGUAAUCAUGAUAACAUGGAGUAACUGAUAUGGAUGUAAAUUCAGCGCAAUUCCAUUUCUCUAGGAAGCUAGGAGUAUUGAAGAGUCUUCGCGUUACUCUAAUUAUGCUUGUAAACAGAGAUUUUCACUGGGUACCUAAGUGUCAGACUAUUGAAAUUCCUCACAAAUUUCACGGUUGCCAAUGUACAAUAGUCUCAAGCUAGAUUAGUAUCAGACUUUGCAGCACUUUUGUAGCAACUUUCAAAUGAAAACUUUUCAUUCGCUGAAAGCCCAAGGCAGCCCCAGGGGUGCCUUGAGCUUUCAGCUUUGGCUUUGCCCUUCAUUCUACUGUUCUCAUCUUCUUCGUUGGCUGAGCUGUUCAUCUUCUUCGUUGAGACAAACGAAUUGUGCAGGGCUGCUGACGGCGAGCGAUGAACUAGCGAGAGGCGGGCGACUAUCACGGCGACCGUCGCCGGUGGGUCAUGCGACCUCCGGCGGGCCGCAAGAUCUGGUCGCGCGACCCAAGCGCGACUCAGAUCUGGGUCGCCGGAGGUCGCAUGACCCACCGGCGACGGUCGCCGUGAUAGUCGCCCGCCUCUCGCUAGUUCAUCGCGGCGACUAGAUCUGGGUCGCGCCGGCGCCGGAGGUCACGCGACCUCAGGCGCGACCCAGAUAUGGUUGCUACAGGGUCGCGCAACCUCCGACGGACCCAGAUCUGGUCGCCAGGAGGUCGCGCGACCUCGCGGCGACCAGAUCUAGGUCGCGUCGGCACCGGAGGUCACGCGACCUCAGGCGCGACCUAGAUCUGGUCGUGCGACCUCCGGCGAACCCAGAUCUGGGUCGGGCGACCUCCGUGAAGGGCCGCCGGGGGUCACUCGACCCCAGGCGGCCCUGGCCGGGGGUCUCCCGACCCUCGGCGGCCCUCGCCGAUGGUCGCCCGACCCCAGGCGGCCCUCGCUGGAGGUCGCCGGGGGCUGCCUGAGGUCGCCGGCAGCCGCUUGCCUCAUCAGCCAAUAUUUUUACUUUUUAUUUUUAUUUUUUUAUUAAUCACAUAAGUUAUUUAUAAAUUUAUCUUUCCAAACAACAUUUUACACAAAGGUAUUUCAUAAGGGACUUUCAAACAACAAUUUACCAAACACAGUUUGCAUUUUGAAAAAUACCUUUAACUCAAAGUCUUUUGCAUUUUUCCAAAGGCUUUCUCCAAAAGUCUAUCCAAACGCACCCUUAGUCUCGAAAGUCCCUUGGGAAAAAGUUUAGGUAUUUGGUUAAGCAUUUAGAGGUGUCCUUGGCCAAAUAUUGGCCUCAGAAAUGUAAGUCCACAUCUACUAUUAUUAUUAUUAUUUUUAAAACCGAUCAUUUUCCCACACCGCAACCACCAAAACUCUUUGCGAAUGUUGGGUUCGUUUUUUUUUUUUUGUCAUUUUUAUCUUUUGACAAUCAAUAACCCAACUUUUUAUCAAUAUACUAGAAUGAUCAUUAAUUAACGAAGAUGAUUAAUACUACAAUAAUUAAAAAAAAAAUAUUCAAAGUUGAAAAUAAACCUAAAAGAACUCUAGGCCAAAAGUUGAGCUUUGCAUCUAAUCUAUAAUUAAAUUUUUUUAAUGUGAUUUUUAAAUAAAUUUACUAAUAUAUAUCUUUUACAUUACUCUCAACAUGAAAAUGUAAAAGGUUAUAUAGUCAUUGUUUCUUUUUUUGCAAUUUUAAAAAUACUAAAACUAAAAAACUUAAUUUAAUUACACUAAAAGGCUUUUCAAAUAUAUGUUUACCAAACAGUUUUGCAUUCCCUAAAGCGCUUUUCAGUUAUAGUUUACCAAACAGUCUAGCAUUUUGGAAAACCCUUUUAUCUCAAAGGUAUUUGCAUUUUCCCAAGAGCAUUUUCCCAAAGCCGAACCAAACGGAUUGGGACUGCCAACAUUUUGGCCACCAUUUAUUUCUCCAUGUCGGAAACGCUAGAACUGCGGAAAGAGAAUGGAAUCGGGUGUGGCAGUGAGAACAGCAGUUUCAACAUUAAUAACGACAAUGACGGCAGCAUCGACAAACGAAGGCUUCGCAAAAGAUGAUCGGGCUCUGCCGACAUCUUUCUCGUGAUCUCAAUCGGUCUAAAAUUAAUCUAUUCUGAGCAUGAAAACAUUUUGAAGACUUGUCUUCAGUAGUUGUUGAAAAAAGCUAUGUCAAACUUCGAAGCUUUCUUGGAAGGAUAUUGCAGGGUUCAGGGAAGGUUCCCAGAAACAUCUCCUUGCCCAAAAGAAAAAAAACAAGAACCGUGGGACCUGCAACUUGCACGCGCAUUUGAACAAGUACUUAGCCACCAAGUUUGAGCAUUCGAUCUAAUAGUCUUCCAUCGUUUAAAAAAAAUAAAAAAUAAAAAUAAAAUAAAAUAAAAUACAAAUAAAAAUAAAAAAAUACGACUUUCUGUUUCAACCAUUUUGCAAGUUCAGGGAAGGUUCCCAGAAGCAUCUCCUAAUUCAAAAGAAACAAAACAAGAACUGAUUUCGUAUAUAAAAUGGAGACUUUCUUGCUUCUUUUUUUUCCCGAUAGGUAAGAUACUUUUAUUAGCUUAAUAUAAGGAAAGGAUGGAUCAGAGAGAAUAAAUAAAAUAUUUGUGCAAAAAAGCAAAGAAAAUAAAAAAGUAAUAAUACUUGGAAUGGGGUAAAUUAAUGCAUAAUGAAAGUUUGGUUCCUUGACUUCCACGUAUGUCAUGCCAUAAUCACGUUCUUCCGAACUGUUGCACAUGGGGCCUGCAACUGCACGCGCGACAAGCCAGCUAGCUGUGACCGUCCUCAGAUGUAAACGUCCUCAGUUGGCUCCUGCUAAUGGGGCCUUCAACUGCAUUCACAAGUGUGUCGACCACAACUUUAGUUUCUUUUUAAUCAUCGACCAAUAGCAUUCGAUCUUAUGGUCUUCGUAGUAAAAAAUUGCAACAUCCUGUUUCCACCAUCUUUUCAUAGACCCAUAGAAUUCUCCUAUAACUACAUUAUUUGCUCAUAACGUGUUGACGCGGAAUAUUUUCUGUUUCCACCAUAUUUUCUUAGACCCAUGGAAUUCUCCUAUAACUACAUUAUUUGCUCAUAACGUGUUGACGCAGAAUAUUUCUCUGCUGAAGAUCAUCGAGCGAGAGAGGGAGAGAAGGAAAGAGAGGUCUGCUUAGCUGAGCAAAUUACUGCUAUGGCAAGCUCAGAUGCUGGAACAUCAUCGGGAAGCGAGUACCAAGUGUUUCUGAGUUUCAGAGGACCUGAUACUCGGACUGGAUUUACCGAUGUCCUCUUUCAUAGCUUGAUCGACGUUGGAAUCCACGUGUUUCGAGACGAUGAAGAACUCCGUGUCGGUGAAAGAAUUGAUGGAUCGCUGCUACAAGCGAUCAACAACUCCAGGAUCUACAUACCGGUCUUCUCUCGGAACUAUGCUUCAAGCCAAUGGUGCCUUUGCGAGCUCGCACAGAUCGUGGCAAACACCUUGAAAUCGGAAGGUAAUAAAGAGAUCCUACCUAUUUUCUUUGAUGUGGAACCUAACGAUGUUAAAUUGAAAACUCCACUAUAUCACAAUGCCAUACUCAAUUUGGAGCACGAGAAGAAGUUGAGCAACGAGCAAGUAAAUGUUUGGAGAGAGGCCCUCAUGGAGGUUGAUGCCAUAAAGGGGUGGGAGGUGAAGAAAUACAAAGGGUAAGCUAGCUAUUUUCAAGAUACUUGUUUCCCCAAUUUUCCUAACACUUAAUAAUAGAUCUCAAAAUUCCAGUAUGAUUGAGGUGGGAGUUUUAUUAUAGUAAUACUAAAUGAUGAAUCUUUACGUCUGCAAAGCAAAAUGUGAAGACAUGAUAUUCAACUUCUACAGUUGUUGCUUGACAAUUGCACAAAUUUUUAUACAACAAUUUUGCUCGAAAAUCCCAAGGUUGCUACUCUCAUGUUGGAAUCAAGUUGAAUUUCAGGUCAUGACAUAGCAUCAACGUUGUCAAGGGCUUAAAAGUAUGUUUUGGAGAGACAUUAAUGUCCAAUAUGGACUUUUAGAAUAUCACUCCUAGGUUUAAGGUCCCAUUACUUAUCAGGUCAUUGUGUAGUUUAUCCGAUGCUUGAAUGACAUCACUUCUAGUUAUGUAAUCGUGAAUUUUCUCACUAAAAUGGAUUUUCAUUGUGGCAGCCACGGAGAACUAAUCAAAUUGGUUGUUGCGAAGGUUGUGGAAUGUUUGAAGUCAAAACAUAGAUUGGUGACUGAAUAUUUAGUUGGAAUCAAUGAUCAAGUAGUAACGGUAAGCAAAUUAUUAGAUGUCGAUUCCGAUGGUGUGCGACUCGUUAAAAUUUAUGGCAUGGGAGGUAUUGGAAAAACUACACUUGCCAAGGUCAUCUUCAACCGACUUUCUUCUCAUUUUGGAAAGUGUUGUUGUUUCCUUGAAGACGUUCGAGAGAAGUCGUCAAGAACCGAUGGCUUAGUUCACUUGCAAAAAAGGUUACUAUCCGAAAUCGGUCAUCCUGCAGGAACAAAGAACAUUGAUGACAUUGAUUAUGGAAUUAAGAGGAUUGGAGAAAUACUUUGUAAUAAGAAAGUCCUUAUUAUACUCGAUGAUGUUGAUAACAACAAACAAGUGGAGAAAUUAGUUGGACAGAGUACUUUAUAUUCAGGAUCCAGAAUAUUGAUUACAACUAGAAAUAAAGAUAUCUUGCAAGUCAAUAGACAAAAUUAUCAGAUUUUAGAUUAUGAAAUGGAGGUGAUGAGUGCUGGACAUGCACUUGAGCUUUUCAGUAGGCAUGCAUUUAACACAGACUUUCCUUCAGAUAAUUACAAUUAUCUUUCAAGGAAGAUUGUAUUUGCUACUGGGAGACUUCCAUUGGCUCUUGAGGUGAUUGGUCCAUUCCUCUGCCACAAACCACGAAAACUAUGGAAAGAGACAUUGCGUAAGUUAAGAAAAGCACCUCAUGAGGAUGUUUUUGGAAAGUUGAAGAUCAGCUAUGAUGCCUUAAAUUUCGAGCAACAACAAAUUUUCCUUGAUAUUGCAUGCUUUUUCAUCGGUAAAGAUAAGGCAAAUGCAAUCUACCUAUGGAAAGGUUGUGAGUUUUUCCCAGAUACAGCAAUUGCUGCCCUCAUUGGCAUGUCUUUGGUAAAGAUCGUGGAGAAUGAUAAGUUUUGGAUGCACGAUCAACUUAGAGAUCUAGGAAGAAAAAUUGUUCUCCAAGAAAAUCCAAUAAAUCCUGAGGAGAGGAGUAGGAUAUGGAUUUGGGAGGACGGCCUUAAUGCAAUAAGACCAAAGGAGGUAAAGCACUUCUGGAGAGAUCUAAUUAGUCUUUGCCAUAGAUUCGACUACAUUGUACCUUCUUGGGUUUUUUUGUUCUUUCCUUUUUAUAAUCCUUUGGCUUUAUGAGAUAGAAUACUGAUAUCACUCAUUUCCCAUUCUUAUUUGCAGAUAAACAAAAAGGUUCAAGCACUAUCUCUUCAUUCAUAUGGACAUAGUAUCAAUGAUGUCUCUAUUCAAAUUAAAAGGAUUGGAAGGUUUGAACAUCUAAGAUUCCUUAAAUUAUCUCAAUUAACCCUUGUUAGAGAUGCAACAUAUUGUCUUCCCAAAUCAAGUUUGAUUUCUUCGAGCUAUCCUCUACAAAAAUGGACCAACAUGUACCUAAAGAAUUUAGUCGUUCUUGAAUUCGUCAACGUUACUUUCUUAGAUGAUUCGGGAUUACAAAACUCAAUUAAGGUGCGUAAUAUUUUUAUUCCUAUUUUAUUUUCUCGGAAAGUAAUAUUUGAUUGUUCAUUUAUUGAGUAUUGCAUUUGUUUUGACAGAUGGCAACAAAAUUGAAAGUUCUUUCUUUUACAAAGUGUCGGAACAUAAUUAGAACACCUAACUUCUCUGGAUGCCCGAAUUUAGAGAAGCUUACUUUCAAACGUUGUGACAAUUUGAGGAAAAUCCAUGGCUCUAUGGGGAAGUUGAAGUGUCUGAUUGACUUGAGGAUUGAUCACUGCUAUUCUCUCAAACAUUUGCCUGAAGAAAUUGGGGACCUAGUGAAUCUACGGUAUCUUUUUGUAGAUUGUGAUAAAAUGAAGAAACUCUCGAAUUCCAUAUGGAAGCUAAAAUCAUUACGUGAGUUGCGCUUUCAAGAUCAGUUUUCUCAUAAUUUAGAUUCUGCAAAUUCAUGGAAUUUACCUUGUGUUAUUGAAAUGCUUCAAAAUCUAGAAGUGCUUCAAGUCAAUGAUCACUCUUUAAAAGGUCGACUUCCUUCGGGCAUUGGAAGUUUGCCCUUUCUAAGAAUCCUAAAUCUAUCAGGAACUUGUGUCAGUGAAGUUCCAAAGACCAUCAGCAUGCUUCCUCGCCUACAAAGAAUCGAGUUGAUGGAAUGCAAUAAUAUUCAAGAGUUGCCGACCCUCCCAACAAGUUUAACCCAUCUAAAAGUGUCAUCUAAAUUGUUGCGGGUAGUCUCGGAUCUUUCGAACUUGACUAAUUUGGUUGAGUUGUAUCUAUCAGGAACUUGUGUCAGUGAAAUUCCAAAGACCAUCGACAUGCUUCCUCGCCUACAAAGAAUCGAGUUGAUGGAAUGCAAUAAUAUUCAAGAGUUGCCGACCCUCCCAACAAGUUUAACCCAUCUAAAAGUGUCAUCUAAAUCGUUGCGGGUAAUCUCGGAUCUUUCGAACCUGACUAAUUUGGUUGAGUUGGAUCUAGUUCAUUGUGAAAUAUUAAGAGAUACACUUUGUACCAAUGAGUUACGGUGGAUUGGAAAGUUAUCCAAACUGACCAAAUUGAGCUUCGGACUUCAAAAUGUCCCUAUACCUACUGAGAUGGCUUCCCUUCCUAUGCUAAAUGAACUUUAUUUGUAUGCAUUCAACCUACAAACCUUUCCGCAACUACCCCUAUCUCUAGAAAAGCUAAGGCUUAGAAAUUUCAAUUCAGUUGUGUCAGUCUCUCUAAACCUAAGAAAUUUGUUAUGUUUAGAGCUGUAUGAUUCUCCAUUGCAAGAAAUACAGCUUGAUGGGCUUCAACUUCCACAGCUAAAGGAGUUGCAUGUGGCAAGCUGGCAAUGCCUCGAGAGGUUGAGGCUAUCAAGAAUGAGGAAGCUAAACGACGUCAAGGUGAAUUUUUGUAUAAAGUUAGUUGAGAUCCAAUUUUCUUGGGUGUUCGAAUCAUUGGAGGCAUUGACUAUUCGAGGUGGCAAGUCCUUGGAAAGGAUAGUUUAUGAGUCUGAUAAUGAAUUGAUUAGUUGUGAAGGGAGGCUAAUUUUUCCAUCGACAGUCUUAAAUAAGUUGCGUACUCUCUCCCUGUGGUGGUGCCCUAAGAUACUCGACAUUCAAGUUGUAGGUAUGUUGGAAUCGUGGGAAGGCUUUGACAUUCAGGGUUGUCCUUACUUGCAACAUCUCGGUGGUUUGUCAAACUUAAAGAACCUGAAGUCUUUAUCAAUCAAGGUCUGCGAGAGUCUAUGGGAUGUCGAGGGAGUCGACGAGUUGAAGUUUUUGAACCGUUUAACACUUGAUGAUUGCGGAUCGUUGGAAAGGUUGAUUGAUGUGUCAACCACCAAACUACCAAAUGAUUGCCACGUACGGAUCAAAAGGUGCAGGAGAUUACCUGGGGUUAAGAAAAGAUUCAGCGGCUCCGUCCAAUCCUUCAAGCAUCAUAAGGCGAGUCUGGAUCAUUCUCUCUAUUUCUUUUUUAUAUUUUUUUGACCCAACCGUCCACGAACACCAAUUCAACUCUAAGGUAGAUUUGUAAUAAUGGUGAGAAAUUAAAAAAUAAACAAAAAUCAAUUAAUAUUUGAUCUCACUUAUUUUAAAACCCACUCGAUAUAAGUUUGUUUUAUUUUCAGCUCAUGUUUUCUCAUUUUCUUUUAUUUUCUUUUUUUACAUGAGAAAUUUCUAUAUGUGCAGCAAAUCCAUGGGACAAGGUCAGCUUUUAUCAAAAUUCAUUGGAAAAAUUGCAAUUUUUAGCAAAAGAAAUAUAUAAAUUAACUCAGAAUAUCUCAUUAAAAUGUUAUUUUCACUUUAUAUGAAAUGAAUUGUUUAUUUAGCGAAUUUUUAUGUAAUACACUCCACUUUAUUGUCAUUUCUUACUUAAUACUAUUCAUUAUGGAGAUGAGUUUAGUGAUUUGCAAUUUCCACAGUGAAAAUAGAACACUAAAAGAAUCCUAUACUCAUUGCACGACUUCAAUAAGAAUUUGCUGAGGGAAUUCUCUCAAGAACACAACUUAAAUGGUCCACCGAUCCACAAAUCGACUGACUUAUGUUUUUGAUGGAGUUGAGUGUUAAUUGAAUUUGCAUGUGGAUGGGGUCGGCCAAUUAGGAUGUGUGUUCCAAAAGCAUCUAGAAAUAUUUAUUAAGAUUUUUCAUUCUAAAGAAAAGACGAUGAAAAUCUAAUUUUUGAAAGUCUGCAUCCUCCCCGGUUUUUUACCGUGUUUCUUAAUAGCCACUUUAAACAUCGUUCUGACAUUUAUUUUUUCAGUUGUGAGGCAUUUCAUCUCAUUUCAUUGACCUGCUUCCACUACACUAGAUAUAGAAGGGGAAAAUGAGGAGGAAAUGCUUCAUCUACUUAAUUUAUAACUAGCCCCGAUUUUUUUUUUUUGGGUAAAAACAUAAUGUUUUUUUUCUAUCUUAGAAGCUUAUAUCUAAGACAGAUGAUGGGUUAGACCAAUAAAAUAUCUUACUAAUGUCAUGGACAUAGGUAGCAUACGAGUCAAAGACAGGGCAGAUGGGUGCGAUGUAAAAUUGUUUACAUUUGGCGAAAUGGAAAAUCGAACUCGUCUGAUGUGCAUAAUCCACAUACACAAUUUCGUUAUAAUCCUGCAUGAUUUACGACAUUUUCUUAUGUGACAUUGUUUCCUCUUCUAUAUUGAUCCUUUCUCAUAUUUCAAUCUCGACAAAUACAGCCAAAACUUGUAUGUAUGACUUUCAUCAGUAUCUUUUGAGGAUUUUAAAGCAACUCCUAUCUAUUUGAUUGCAUUAUUUUAAUCACGUCAUUCCUUUUUCGAAAGCUUUCUCCUAAAAUUGGUUAUGAUUUUAUUUUUCAGGAAUCAGGCUUUGAUUUGACAACAUGUUUCGGACGCUUGUGAAGUUCUGAAGGCAACCUACACGAUAAUUGUUAGAAUGCAGGGACGGAACUAGCACAAUGUCUUAUCUGGGUCAAUGCACUGAAGAGUCCAAAGGUUUCUGAGAAUGAUUUCCAGUACCAGGACAUCAACUUAGGAUGCAGGUGUGACCUCAUCAUUUUUAAGCUAAAAAGAUGAUUUACCCUUGUGGCAGAAUUAAGAGAGUUGUUGUUCUUCACGUCAACAUUUCUUCAAAUCCUUAAAGGAUUCCUCGCUUGAAUUAGUUAUUUCAGGAUUGUCCCAUCUCUUUUCGAUUGGUCUUAGACAACUCAUUCAAAUUGCCCGUCUUGCAUGAAGAACUGCAAAAGUUUAGUACAGGCAGGUUAAGCAUAUGCAUAAUAAUGUUGUGUGAAAGGCCUCAUCCAAUAUAUGAAAUCUACUUGUUAGAACUAGCAAUCUCUCCAAGACGAGAUAUGACAUAACAUGAACAUCAUCAUACAAAGAACAAAAAUGGCAUGGCAUUGAUACAUCAUACUCUCUCAUUUCACGUGACCCAACAUGAAUAUGUCAGGCCACAGCACAUUGUGAGCCCUACUUCCAGGCUUGUAUCUUCUAGUAGCUUAAUUUAGUCAUACUUAACCAGGAACAAAGAUGUCACUAUUCUCUUUAGAGCAUAUUAUGGUGAAGUUAAUAUAAGCUUUCAUGGCAAAUAAUAAUGGAAGACUUAGAAUUGAGAUGCAAUUGCAAGUGAAAGUUUACAAUUUCAAUAGUUGAUAUGUCUAUCUAUUUUCUUGUACAUAAUAUACAUUGCCAAAAUAAUUAAUCACGGUAGACAGUAGUUGAUACGUAUUGUUGGUUGAAACGUUCACGCAAGAUUGGUUGUGAUUUUAUUUCUUCAGGAAUCACGUUUUGAUCAGAUUUGGACAUGUUUUGGAGGCUUGUGCAAUUUUGAAGACGACUCCGAUGAUGAUUUUUAGCAUGCAGGGACGGACUGGCAUAUCAGUCUAGUGGGGUCAAUGUACUGAAGAGUCAAAGUUUCUAAGAAUGGUUUCAAAAACUGGGACAUCAAGUUCGGAUGCCAGUGAGACCUCAUCAGUUUCAAGCUUGAUAGAUGAAUUUCCCUUGCGGCUGAUUCAAGGGAAAUGCUGUUCUUCGCAUCAACAUUUCUGAUCCUUGAAUCCUUGUAAGAUUUGUCGCUUGAACUAGUUACCUCCUGGAUCAUCGCAUAUAUUUUUGACUAGUUCUGACAACUCAUUCAAAUUGCCCGUCUUGCAUGAAGAGCUGCAAAAAUUUAGUACAAGCAGAUUAAGCAUAUGCAAUAUACUGUCGUCCAAAAGGUCUAAUCCAACAAAUGAAAAUUACUUGUUAGAUUUGGCAAUGUUUCUAAGACAGUGAUGAUACAACAUGAACAGCAUCAUACAUAGAACAUAUGUGACAUGACAUUGAUACAUCUUUUCUAUAACUAGGACUUAUUUCAAUCUUAAAAGCAAAUAUUAUUUGAAGGACUAUCUCCCUCCCAUUUUAUGUGACUUAGAAGGUUCAACUCAAAGUUGAAUGAAUCAUGCUAGAGCAGAUGGUGAACCCUACUUCCAGGCUUGUAGUCUUCAAUUAGAUAAUCCAGUCAUAUGUUACCAGUGACAAAGAUAUCAAUAUCCUCCUUAUAGCAUAUUAUGAUGAAUUUAAUAUGAGCUUUCUUGGCAAAUAAUAAUAGAAGACUUAGACUUGAGAUGCAACAGCAACAAAAUGAUGAGAGAACAUCAAAAGAUUUUUUUGCACAUAUCUACAUGGGUUGAUCAAAAUAGUAAUAUAAAGCAAUUAGGUGAGUCUCAAAUGUCUCAAUGGAAACUAUGAUAUACAGUCAAACAAAAAAUAUCUCUUUUUACCUAGAUGUCCAUUCAAUAGCAGAAGAGUGAUAACCAGUGCAACUUUUUAUGGGGAGGAGGUAAAAUCCUUCCCAUCAUCCCUUCUGAGGGGAGGGGCUGGCAGCGGGAAGAAGAUAACUUACACAUUUCUGACUUGCUGUUAGCUACUGUUAAGUACAUGGGGAGAAAGAAAUCAGUAGAAUUUGAGCAAAAUUUCAUUCAGAUCUAAAGUUACAAUUUGAUUGGGUACAGAUGCCUGACCCCAGGUUGAGAAAUGUUUUUCACACUGACAUGGCUUCCUGUCAAAGGAGAUUGACUUUUUGUGUGUGCUCCCUUACAAGUGAAUUUCCCUCAACUUGAGAAUCUCUGGCUUUGUCUCCCAACCUGUUGAACAUUGCGUAAACCAUGUGAUGUUAUAAAGCACUCCAUAUCCAAUCAAAGAAACUGGAAUAAAAUAGAAAAUUUUCAUCCUUUCUCAUUUAGAUGCACAGAAGCAAGUCUUCUACUAAUAAUUUGAGUAAGCUUUCUCUCAGUGAUAGUUCUCGAGAAGACUAACUCUUGAUUUCCUCUGAUCCAUUUUAAAUUUGAGUGGGUUUGUCCAAGCAUCCUACAAGAAAAGAAAGAGCACAAUGCAUGAGCUGCAGGCUCUCUGCUUGGGACAUCAACAUAGUAGUAAAAGUGAACUGAGAAGUGCAAAAAUGUAAUGCUGUCUAUCCACACAAUUUUCUACUCAAAUCUGGAAAUUAUCAUCAAAUGCAUCAACAUGAUAGCCAAAACCCAAUGAAUGAGUGCAUCAAACUGAUGGCCACAAGAACUUGCUGUGUUCCUGUCCUUGGAACAUUGAGCUACAGACGCAUAUUCUUCCUAAAUUCUGAUAAAAUCAACUAUCAAGUCCCUGUUUCUUAAAAAGAGACAUUAAUGACUCAUUGCUCUUAGUAAAUGGCAUAAACUUGCCAAUGUUAUCCUCUUAUAAGUUUUUUGUCCUCUCAUUCCACAAAUCACUUAAAGGUAAGGGAUAAAGUAGGGUCAACCUAACGACAGACAUUUCACCGUCAUGCAUUACUUUACUCAGAUGAAGAUUUGUGGCAGACUUGGCCUCUUCUAUAUCAGCCUUAGUAGUAUUCCAUGUAUCAAGAAAAGGUUUACUGCUUUAGUUUGCCUUGCCUUCUGUUCCUGGAACAUGUGACAUAGUUAAACCUUCUAAAUGUACAUUGCCACAAGAAUAUGUGGCUUCCCUUACCAUUUGUUCCCUGUUACUCUGCUCUUCAUAUAAAGCAGAAUUUAAACUUUUGAUGAUAGACAAAUCUUUUCUUGGAAGCUCUGGAAUGGAACUUAAAUUUGUAUCAGCCCUGGGCGGAACAUGAAACUUCUCUUGGUACUUUUUAUCUGAUGUACAACCUUGUUGAUCGGAUUCUUGAGCGCACGUGCUGUUUGUCCUAUCCAAAGAAGAUCGUUCUAGGAUUGAAUUUCUACAAGCUGCAGAUAAAGUUAGACAUAGAGUUGAAGUUACAGAAAUCUCUACCUAAACUUAUGAUGUUACUCACACAAUGUGUUGAUUCAUCAUUAUCAAUGACAGCUUUAUCUUCACAGUCUGGAAUUGCCUCAGGAAGGAGACUUUUCGAGCCCUGGUGCUCAUCCAUCUCUGUAAAUCUCCCUUUGCUUCCUAUGACCUUCUUCCCACCUUGUUCUCCCUCAGUCAUGGAUGAAUCAAGAUUAGAGCCGUCCAACGUGGAUAGCACAAUGACUGCUAAGGUCCUAAAUGCAAACACGAGUCAUGAAAUUUGUUUUGAGUGUAUCCGUUUUUUUUUUUUUUUGUAUGAUAUUGUUUCCUCUUAUAAAUAGAUCCUUUCUUGUACUUUAAUCUCAACAAAUGCAGUUAAAACCUACAUAUAGGACUUUUAUCAGUAUUUUUCAAGGAACUUAGAACACCUAUUUAUUUUCUUGUGCAUGGUAUUCAUUAACAAAUAGGUCAAACACUCUGGACACUAGUUGAUAUGUAUAACUAAUUGGUUUGACUGCAUAAUCUCAAUCAUUUCUUUCCUUUUCUGAAACUUUCAUGGAAGAUUGGUUGCGAUUUUGUUGUUCAGGAAUCACACUUUGAUAGGACUACAUGUUUUGGAUGCUUGUGAAGUUUGGAAGACAAGUCAUGCAACAAUGGUUAGCUUGCAGGGAUCGAGCUAGCAUAUUUCUAAGAAUGAUUUCAAAUUCCAAGACAUCAAGUUAGGAGGCAGGUGAGACCUCAUUUUGAGAGAGUUACUAUUCUUCAAAUGACAUUUAAAAGAUUCUCUGUCAGGAUUGAUGCAAAUCUUUUCUGUUGGUUUUGACAACUCAUUCAAAUUGCCUGUCUUGCUUGGAGAACUGCAAAAGUUUAGUACGAGCAGAUUAAUCAUAUGCAGAAUAAUGUUGUGUCAAUGGACUUAUCCAAUAUAUGAAUUCUACUUAUAAGUGUUGGCAAUGUCUCUAAGACGGGAUAUGACAUAACAGAAACAUCAUUAUACAUAAAACAAAUACAACAUGACAUUGAUACAUCUUUUCUGUAAUCAUUAGUUAUUUUGGUCUUAAAAGUUACUAUAUCUCAAAGAAUAUCGCUCUCCCAUUUCAUUCGACUCAAAAGGUACAACUCAAACAUGAAUAUGUCAGGCUAGCACAGACUGGGCAUCCUGCUUCCAGUCUUGUAGUCCACGGGUAGUUACUUCAGUCACACGUUACCAGAGACAGAGAUGUCACAUCAAAAGAUUCUUAGCAAGUAUAAACAUUUGUGUUGAUCAAACUACUAAUGUAUGGCAAUUAGCAAAUCAUCCAAUGUCUCAAUGCAAACUAUCAUACACAAUCGAACAAAAAGUAUCUCAUUUUACCCUUGUUGAAAGUCCAUCGGGUAGCAGAGUUGUCAUAACCUGGGCACCUUCAUAGGGGAAGAAGAUAAAAAAAAUUUCCUUUUUUUCCCUCUAGGGGGAGGGCAUGGUGGUGGGAAGUACAUAACUGGCACAUCGAUGACCCACUGUCAACUACUUUUAAGUGAAGUACAUGGAAAAAAAAGUGGUAGAAUUUGAACAAAAUCUCAUUUUGCUCUAAUAUUUAAAUUUGAUUGGGUACAGAUGCUUCACCUCGGUAGAGAAGUGGUGCUCACACUGAUAUGGCUUGUUGUCAAAGGAGAUUGGCUGUUCGCGUGCUUCCUCACGAGAGAAUUUAGACCAACAAGCUUUCUCCAAGUUGAUGGCUCUUGAGAAGACCGACUCUUAAUUUCCUCUGAUCUCUUCAAAAACUUAGAGUGGGCUUGUCAAGGCUGUCUACAGGUAAAGAAAGAGGACAAUAUACAAGCUGCAAGCUUUCUUCCAAUAGCAUUCGAUGUAUCAAUAAAAGGUUUAUUGCUUUCAUUUGCCUUCUGUUCCAGGAAUAUGUGGCACAGUUAAACCUUCCGAGCCCUUACCAUAUCUUCCCUGUUACUCUGCUCUUCACCCAAAGUGGAAUUCAAACUUUUGACAAUAAACAAAUCGUUUCUCGGAAUCUCUGGAAUGGUACUUAAAUUUGUAUCAACCCUGGGCUGCACAUUUACUUCUUCUGGUUCUCUUUGAUCUGAUGAAUAACCUUGUUGAUCAGACUCCUGAUUACACAUGCCAUUUGACCUAUCCAAAGAAGAUCGUUCUCGGAUUGGAUUUCUACAGGCUGUAGACUUUGGCACCCGAUCACUUUUUUUUCUUGGGUUGGGCAUAGAAGUUAAAGUUACAGAAGUUUUCUCCCUGAAUCUCCGGUGUACCCACACAGCGUGUAGACUGAACAUUGUCAAUGAUAGCAUUAUCCUCACAGUCUGUAAUUGCCUCGCCAAGGUGAGUUUUUGAGCCCUGGUGCUCAUUCAUCUCUAAAGAUCUCCCUUUGCUUCCUAUAACAUUCUUCCCACAUUGUUCUCACUCAGGCAUGGAUGAAUCAAAGAUUAAAGCCAUCCAACGUGGGUAAUUUAAACAUCAGAAACUAUACCAUUAUGUUGUAGCAAAUAAAUUUAUGACUGUAUUAUGAGUCCUCCCAUCCCACUCAGAUCAUCCACUUUCCAGCACAAUGAAGCUCAAUUAAGAUGAAUGACAUGUAACAUGUACAUUAGAACAGCCACUUAUCAUGGUAUCAUUUUUCUGAAGAGAGAUGCCAUGAAAUAGCAUUAUCUUUGAGCAAAAUAUGUGCCCUGAGUGGCGAAAAUCUCCAAUUCAUACCUCAGAAAUCAAGACAGAGAGCAGGUAAAUGCUGUAAGUCAUAGCGAUUUUCUCUACAUAAGCGCUUACAUUGCGGUGAAACUGCAAGGAGCCAUAGACUACCAGUAAUAGGCUCACAGCAAUUAUGAAGAUACAUAUUUAUAGACUUGUUUCACGGGAAACAACACUUCCCAGUUUCUGAAGUCAAAUGCACCAGAAUACUGAGAUAAACAUUAUAAUUCAGAAAGAAAUCCUUCCCUGUGCCUAAUUUGUAAUGUCAAAGAAGAUGCUCAAAUGAACUCCAUAAAGCCAGUCAACCUCGAUCACAAAGAGGUCUUUUGAAACCAAAUGAACCAAUGAAACAAACGGCAAAAGCCAUUCGGAAACUCGACCCGCUCAUGAAUUACCUCUGUUUUACGCUAUGAAACAAAUAGCAAACACUGACAUUUCACAAUUACGAGCAACGAAAAUUCGUUAGAUUGAGACAAGCAUAGGAUCUCCAGAGAGCAAGGUCGAGCGCGGGAGAGAGAGAUGGACUAGGUCUGAAUAGAGAAGAGAGAGGAGUAAUCUUGUUCUUAUAAGGUUUUUGAAAGGCGACCACCUUUAUAUAUAUAUAUAUAUAAUAGACCUAAGUAAGUCCUUAAAAGAUUUUAUCUCGGUAUCCGUUUGGAAUUCGGGAUCACUGAAAUAUGAAACAACAAGAGAGUAUUCCUUUCAUCUAAGAAAGACAAAGAUACCAAGGGGAUUAGAGGUGCGAAACAUACGAACCCUAAUGCGUUCAAAUAAUGAACCAAUCUGUGGAGCCCGCUGCUGUCCAACAAGCUGCAGAGGCUCUUCUAGGAGCUCAAGCUCCCUUCCUUUGAUGAAGUUACUCAUAAUCAAACACCAAUAAUUCAAUAAUAAAUAUUAGCUAUUAUAUAAAACCUCAGAAGUCCUAUUUCACCCCUUCAAUGGAACCAUUUUUCGCCAAAUUGCCUCGAAAUUGUUUAAUUUGUUUCAAUACUCCCACCCCCCCCCCCCCCCCCCCGGGCGCAAGACACAUGGGUAAGAUGGUAAUUUCAUAAAAAUAAUAAUAACUCACCAACAAACCCACCUCGAAAAAUCAUCCCGUCUUUUUCUUUUACCAACAAUUCUUGAAUGCUUUCAAAAAAAAAAUUUAAAUCAAAUUUAUUGGAAAAAAUAAAAAAAGAAUAUCUCAUGACAUGGAAGUAUAGAAUCGUGGCUCCGUUCCCUCCUCCCCAUAACAUUCAUUUGACUUUUAGGAUUUAUGGCAUGAAAUGCUCCACGUGUCACAUCCACCAAACUUAACACCCUUGAAAAUCCCAACCACACCUUUAUCUUACGCACCGUUCGUUUCACGGAAAAUAACUUCUCGGAAAAUGUUUUCCGGAUUUUCCGAUGUUCGUUUCACGGAAAACCAACUACUCAAAGAAAAUAUUUUCCAUCAAUGGAAAAAACUACCUUCAAAGAUAAGGAAAAUGUUUUCCACUUUUGAAAAGUGGAAAACAUUUUCUAUAACUUCUUCCACCUUUUAUCUUUUUAUUAACACAUUUUUAUUUUAUUUUUAUGCUUUUCUUUUCUUUUCUUUUCUUUCUUUCCUUUUCAUCUUUCUUCCUUAGCUUGGCCGGUGGCCAGCCCCGACGGCGGCCGGCGACCAGCCGCGACCAGCGACCGGUCGCGGCCACGAGCCAGCUCAAGCUCCGCCCCAGGCCGGCGAGGCUCCGCCUAGCCUAAUCUGGUGAGGCCCGAGCUCGCCCGAGCCCGGCGAGCUCGGGCUCGCCUGGAUCAGGAGCCCAAGCUCCGCCACCAGAUCCGGCGAGCUCGCGGCUCACCAGAGCUCAACGAACCUCUGGCGAGCUCGGGCGAGAUCAGCCGAGCCUCGAGCUCGCCGGAUCUGGCAACCGGAUCUUGGUCGGCUGCCGGGCAGUCAGCCAUUGUCAGGCAUGCGGCGGCGGAGGAAGGAGGAAGGAGGAGGAAGAAGGAGGAGGAAGGAGGAGGAAAAGAAAUGGAAAAAAUAAAAAGAAAAAGAAAGAAAAAAUAAUAAAUAAUAAAAAUUUUGAUUUUUUAAAAUAUAAAUAAUUAAAAUUUUAUUUUUAAAAAUUAUAAAAAAAUAAAACUAAUGAACGGUGGAAAAUAAUAAAAAUUGUAUUUUUUAAAAAUACAAAUAUUUUUUGGUCAAUUAAAAAUAUUAAAAUUCAAAUUUUUGAUAAUUUUUCAUAAACAAUUAAAUUAGUUAACGAACGGUGGAAAAUGUUUUCCACUCAAAAUUUAAGUUUCAGUCGAACACCGGAAAAUAUAGCCAUUUUCCUGGAAAAUGACUUCUGGGAAAAUAUUUUCCGGAGAUGGCCCAUUUUCCGCGAAACGAAUGGACAGAAAAACAAAAAGUUCCAUGGCAUCGACAAUGAUGCGGACCACCUAUAAAUUAUAAAUCCCCAACAAAUAAAGUCAUAACUCUCCCAAAAAUGAAACCCUAACCUUUCCGAAUUUCAUGUGCCAGAAGCCAACCGAUCGACAAAAUGCAAGUCCAAAUCCUUGAAACCAAACUUAUCCAACCCUCUACACCACCCUUUCUCGAUCAAGAACAGGUCCUCCCUCUCUCGCACCUCGACACCGAUCCUAAUCUCAACAUCACGUUCCGUUACCUCCGUGUGUAUGUAAAUGCCGACCAAACGAAGCGCGCCCACGAUACACCGUACCAUGUCAUUGCUAGAGCGUUCUCUGGUGCACUUUGUUACUACUACCCUCUAUGCGGCACGCUUCGUCCUGGCGAUCAUCACCGCCUCAAGCUACAUUGUGUUGCCGGCCAAGGCGUGCCGCUUGUUCACGCCACCGCCAAUUGCACUCUCCAUGCGGUUAAAAACCUUGAUGACGCGGACUCGGGUUUCUUGGAGUAGCUGAUACCCAACCCGGAUCCGGAGGAGAGUUUGGCCAACCCGUGUGUGCUCCAAGUCACAAUGUUCGAAUGCGGGGGGUUCAGCUUAGGUACCGCCAUACACCACGCCAUGUGCGACGGGCUCGGGGCGACCCUAUUCUUUGGGGCAGCGGCGGAGCUAGCUCGUGGGGCGGAGCGAGUUUCCAUCGAGCCGGUGUGGGACCGAGACAUCUUGUUGGGGCCAAGGAGUCCGGCUCGGGUCGAGGCGCUAGUUGGGGAUUACCUAUGCGAGAAGGGUCGGAACCCGUACGAUGAUGAAGAGAAUUGCAAGUUUGGUCGGGAGUUCUUCCACGUGAAAGAGGAGUGGUUGGACCGAUUUAAGGCAUUGAUGCUGGAAAAGUGCGGCCAGAAGUUCACCACGUUCGAAGCUUUAGGUGCAUUCAUUUGGCGCGCAAAGUAAGUCAUUUAAGUACACCAACCAUUUCGAGAUUAUCUUAGGAUUAUCCUUCUGAUUACACUGUUAAUUUAGAGAUUUGCACAUAUGUAAAUAUCCGGCCGCAACGUCUUGACUUCAAUUGAUUCACAAAUUCCUGAAAUAGGGUCAAAGUAUCGGACAUUCCAGGCGAUGAGACGGUGAAAUUCUCAUACUCAUCGAACAUCCGCAAGGUGCUGAAACCGCCAUUGCCGGUCGGCUACCGGGGCAACGGAUGUGUCCCGAUAUACGUCCAACUAAAGGCGAAAGACUUGCUGGAAAAGCCAAUUUGGGAAGUCGCGGAGCUGAUCAGGAAGAGCAAGCGCAACGCAAGCGAUGAGUACGUGCGAUCGUACAUCGACUUUCAAGAAGCACAUCGAAGAGAAGGCGUCUCGGCAGGUCAGAAGGAGAAGGCUUUUGUUUUUUUGUUUUUUAAUUUUUUGAAAGAUUUACGUUGCAUAGCAGGCAUUGACAUUGUCCACGAAAUAGUAUAUAUUUAUCUAUUAUUGCCUUAUGAUUAUGGGGAGACAAGACAAUCAAUUUUCAAUGAAUUGAGUGCAUGUUAAGGAAAUAUACUCUUUUAUUUCAAUUUCUCAGGAAAAAAAUUUAUCGGCUUGUAAUAUCACAUGCUUAGGACAUUUUGUAUAAGGAUGCAAAAGAUACUUUAUGGUCAAAAAGAGCCAAGUGUCUGUAUAUUAUGAUUUACAUGUCUAUUAUCACACUUACAAUUUUUAAUAUCUUGAGGUCUUCACUAGGAGUACAAUAUUGUAAUUUCUCAAAUUUAGACCACAUGCAAUGAGUUGGGAGUCUACAACAUCUAGUAGAAUUAAUCAGAUGUUCGAAGAAUCUCGGAUAUCCAAUUUGAAAUACAAGAUUGAUAGUUGACUAGCGUAUUGCGGCCAUUUAUCGAAUUUAAUCUAACACAAAUUCUCCUUUGGCAUAUUUCAACGCAUUUUCACAGUAGAACUAGCUACAACAUCAUCUGUAAAAUGAGCUCACUCGAUGAUUUUUGUUUUCAGGAAAAAAUGUGAGCGGAUUCACGGAUUGGAGGCAUUUGGGCCACUCGGCGGUGGAUUUUGGGUGGGGAGGCCCGGCCAACGUGCUGCCCCUCUCGAGGAAGCUCUUGGGGAGCAACGAGGCUUGCUUCUUCUUGCCUUGUUCCGAGGUCGGAGUCGGAGAUCCGAGCGAUGGCUUUAGGGUUUUGGUGAAUCUGAAGGACAGGUGGUUGUGUGGUUUUAGGGAGGAGAUGGAGAAGCUUGGGAAGAUGGAGUUUGGCUUUACUUAAUGUCAAGGCAAGAUGCUUGAGUGGCUUUUCAUUGUAAGCUGUGGAAGUUGGUUUUGUAAUUUGGAGCAAGUUCCUAUGGGGGACUUUUCAUUUCCCCCCUCCAAGUUUGAUCUAAUUCUCUUUCUUCUUUUUUUUCGAGAAUUCAUUGUGAUCACUACGCUACUUAUGUGAUAUGAUGGGCGAUCAUAUUUUGAACAUAAGUGAGAAUAUUACAUGUUAAAAUCAACAUUCGUACGUGAAAUUCAAAAUAAAAAUCGAUGGAAGAAUUCUAUAGUCAUGAAUGAAGAGGUUUGCCACUAACGUUUUUCUUAAUCAUAUCACGACCAUAGCAAGUGAAAGCCUAGAAUUCCGAAUGAGUGUAUUUAUCAACGCAUUUCCGGAUCUAUCACUUAUCAAAAACUUGAUUUGGCAAUUUAGCUAGCUAAAUUAAUGAAGUGGGAGUAAAACCUAGCUAAGUAUGUAGGCCGAUUAAGAUGAGAAAAACUAGCGAAGUUGCUAGUCCCAUGAUAAACUCUAACGAUUGGCCUUACCACAUCAUCAGGAGCCUUUGACAUGUCAGUCAUUAUCUCAAUCAACCACCUUACCCCAUUCUUCUUUUGAUGAAAUGCAACUGUUUCUUUGACUAUAUUACACAGACUAAAUUAAUUGUCCCAAAUUAAUCACACAAUUCAAGAAUUUAACAGACCCAUAAUGAAUCUCACAAAAAAAAAACUUAUAUUAUGAUUAGCUUUAUCUAACACGCUAUAACCCCCAAAUAAACUUUGUACAAAAUUUGAUAGUAAGAAAGAGUGUCUAAACAAAAUUUGAUUGAUGAAGGAUAAUUUCCUAGGUCUAGACAGAUAACGCCUUGACCUAAAUUAGCUAAAUAAGGAAAUCAAGAUAAGAAAAGGAAAUCACAGGGAAUACACGCCAAUGCAAAUAACAAAAGUUAAUCCCUCCCACAACGCUCGCAAAAUGUGUUUAAAAAUAUUAUAUAAAAUCAGUCGAUUUGCUACACCAAUUGCUCAAGUUGUUAGGAAUACGAGUCAAUAACAGAUGUCAAGCAUAUUCCUGUUAAUUUCCAUAUGUAACGUAUUUGAUAUGCAUUAGUUGGCUCUCCAUUCUAACAUCUUUAGCUUUUCUAACAUUUCAUCAUCACAUAAGUAUCUAAGCAAAUCUUAAAAAGCUUUAUCUUGUUUCUCAUCUAGAUUUUAGGAUCGUCAAGAUGUAAAAUAACUAGAGUUUAUUCCUUCCUAUUGGGGAAAUGAAAAAUAUAAGGAGAAUCGGGCGAAGAAAACGAAUGGAAGUUAACAUCAUACCGUUUUUUUUUUUAAACAGACAUAUAUGUAACGACCACAACGAGCUGGACCGGAAGGAUGAAAAAAGUCCAGUAGUGAGAAUCCUGAAGGCUUUGCUGAAAUCUAUCACCUUAUCCUCAAAGUGACUAACCAAUAGGAGUUUUCCUCUAAAAAUAAAAUAAAUCGACCGAAAGUCUAUGUGAAGCCUGUGAGAGGAGCUAGCUCUGCGACACGAAGAAGCCAUGGCGUCUCUCCUGGGAACUUCUUCCACAGCAAUCUUGGCCUCACGGCGCCUCUCCUCACUUUCAGGUGCACUUUCCUGCACAUGUUUCAAGCGUUUGGGGGAUAGUCCGAAUGACCCAUCUCAGUUCUGGUCCUCGACUUUCUCGAAUUCGACUCUUUCAAGCGCGGGGUUUAUGAGGUUUUUAAUGGGUCUGUGGAAUUUGCCUUUGUUGUUGAAUUUUCUUGUUUGCAGUGCAGAAUCAUGGCAAGAAAUGCUAUGGAGGGAUUGAAUUUCAGACCAGGAAAGGAAGGUGUCCGUGGCAUCUUGCCGUCACCAAUGUUGCGACUGACAUCAAUUCUGUCGAGCAGGUAUCGAUUCUUUCCUUUGCCUUUUCUUUUAUUAGCUCUAUGCAUUUCUGGGAAGUUGCAGCAAGAGACUGAUGUAGAUUGAUGCUGCUUCAAAUUUUUUUAAUUGCUGAGUUUUUUUAGUGAAAGUAGACUGAAAAUUGGGCUGCUUCCAUUGCAUUUAAUGAUAAAGUGAGGAUUUCUUAGGCUGAGGCAUUACGCUAAUUGAAGUCGAAUGGGAAAAAGAAAAUGCUUUGCAGUUGAUGGUUGUUUGUGGGUGGUCUUGUUGAGUGAAGUGAGAAUUGUUUGGGGGAGAAUUAGCAUGGAUUGCUUGUGUAGGAUUUUGUGAGCUGGAUUGGAUGGAUUUUUUUCAUUUUUCAGGCUCAGAGGCUUGCGUCUAAGGAGAGUCAGAGGCCGGUCUAUCCUUUUGCCGCUAUAGUUGGGCAAGAUGAGAUGAAGCUAUGCCUCUUACUAAAUGUCAUUGAUCCGAAGAUUGGUGGUGUCAUGAUUAUGGGAGAUAGGGGCACCGGGAAAUCCACUACCGUCCGGUCAUUGGUCGAUUUACUCCCUGAGAUUUCGGUGAAACCGCAAGGUUCUAUGGACUUCCAGCAACCGGGUUACGGCAAUUCUGAACGCAAAUUUAUCCACAAGCUUAUGCCACCCAGUUUCUGAAGCCAAAUGCGCUGGAAUACUCACGGAGGCAUAUCGGAGAGAUAAACGGAGCAAUUAAGAAGAAAUCCUUCGCUGUGCCUAACCUACAAAAUCAUGGACGAUGCAUACUGCCAAUCUACAUAGAGCACAAAGAGGUCUUCUGAAAUCAAACGGACCUACUGCGACAGGAGGGUGGGAGACGCAAAAUGCACGCGAAACAGCGAGAGACAAGGCACAACAAAGGCGAGAGUCUGAAGGAACUCCUCAUCGGAAAAGUUCACAUCUCAUCAGGUUUCUCCAUCGGAAAAACUAAGUGCGCUUGUGCAAAGCCCCUCCGCUUGACAGUACCUUCCUUGCGAUCGCGACAGGAAGUGAGCUCGAGCGUGGGAGAGGGAGGUGUUGGAAGAUAUGCUCGAAUCUGAUCUUGGGAGAUAUGCUCAUAAUCUCAGUUGAUCUUAAUUGUACAUAAAUUAGUUAGGAUCUUUAGAUUGAGAUUGGAUUCGAUUUCAUAAAUAUUUGUUUGCCUUUUAUUAUUUCAUCUCUGUACUAUAAUUACAGAAGAAAUGUACAUCAGGAUACAUACGAAAUAUACAAGAAUUACAGAUCUCUAGUCUUCUUCACUUUCUUACAUGGUAUCAGAGCUUUGGCUUCUGAUUGUUCUUCGCUUCCGCUCCUGAUUGCCCACCAAAGGAGAUCUGAAUCACACAACAGAUCUACCAUCUUGGUAUAGGAAUCACUCUCAAAGAAGACAAGAGCUACUGGUUUCUUACCUCCAAUGGCUAACAACCAAUCCAACCCAGAAGCCUCACCACCGGCGUAGAUCCAAAAUUUACCUGCAACAACACAACAACAAACAAUCCAGGCACACCCUGUUCAAUGGAGACCUACACAGGCUCAGUUUGGUCUAGGGCAACCCUUUGCGGGUCAACCGUUCCAGUGGGUACCUUACCCAUUUUAUCUCGGGACAAACCCGAAUACAUCAUCGCCCGUUUAUGUAGGACACCAGGGAGCCCACGUCCAAUCCGAGGCAAGCUCACCAGCCAUAAACGGGGCAAGCUCGACCCUAGGACUAGAGCCGGUAAGCGGAUUUGGAGAACCAGGUAUGGGAACGAAUCCCUACCUGGGGUUUUCAAAUGCGGAUUACCAAUUGGGCCAAGGGACAAAGACCUACCCGAACCUUGUGCUCGGAUUCAUGCCAUUCCCCGUCGCUGCGGUCACCGGGCGUCCGGAGCCUGGUGAUCCCCUACAUGUCUCAACAACCGAUGGCCCUGAGCUGAAACUGAUCAACCUUCAGUUAACCGGACCAGAGAAUUACACCAGGUGGUCCCGAGACUUCCGGCAUGCCCUUGUGACGAAGGACAAGGAUGGAUUCCUCGACGGGGCGGUUCCGAUUCCUGCCGAUGAGCGACUAGCCCAAUUCUGGAGGAAAUGCAAUCAACUCGUGAGGACGUGGAUUAGCAACUGCAUCUCCCCAGAGGUCGCGGCUGGUCUCCCACCAACAGAAGACUCGAAAGCCAUAUGGGAAAACAUCAAACAAAUGUAUGGCAAAUUAGAUCGGGCACGAAUUCUUUCCCUUUUGCAGGAACUCAGUGAGUUAAAACAGGGGAACAUGACCAUCACGGCCUGUUACAACAAACUGUCAUCCCUGUGGAACGAUCUCAAAGCAGUAGAAGAGAAGCUCGAGGGACCAGAGGAGACACUCGCACAAUACCAGUCGAUCAAAGAAAGGGAAAAGGCGACCCGAUUCCUUUUAAUCUUGAACGAUUCUUACCUGACGUUUCGCUCGCAGAUUUUGGCCAUGGAACCGAUGCCCCCUCUUGGCCGGAUCUUUCAAUUAGCAGUCCAAGAAGAAAGCCAGAGGCUUGCUUCAUCAGAAUCGGCGAAAGGAGGAGAGAGUUUUGCCCUGGCCAGUCAUGGUGAGCGAAGAAAUUGGGGAUCGAAAACCCUAGUGCUCGAAAUAGGGGUGCUAGGAGGAGAGCUAGGGUUUCAGUCGCCCGGAUCUGAGGAUUCCCACCUCCUUAAAAGAGGAGGACUGGACGGCUCGAAUUCAGCUUGCAGAUCGGAUGGUCUAAAGGGACCCAUCUAUUCGACCGGAUCUAAUGGUGGAGAUGGAGCGACUAGGAAGACAUCCGACGGUGGUGGUUUUUUUUCUGCAUCUAACGGCAGAGGAAUUUUUUCGGCAUCUACAAAAAGUUUUAAUCAAAAAAUGGGUAAAUUAUAUUGUGAAUUUUGUAGAAGGCCACAUCAUACAGUGGAAAAUUGCUGGAAAUUACACGGUAAACCCGGAGAAAAAGGAAAAAAAGAAGGAAAUUUCUACGGCCUACCGGGUUGGUGGUUCUAAUGUUGAUCAGUCCAUAACAAAUGAUCAAUACCAACAACUGAUGCAGGCAAUACAGAAAUUGGACAUCUCAAGCAAGGGAGGAAAUUUUUCAGGUGUUUCUCGCUGCCUGAUUAAUAAUAUUUCCAAGAAAUCCUAGAUAAUUGAUUAUGGGGCAAGUGAUCACAUUGUCUGUGAAAGAGCAUUAUUUUCAGAUAUACAUGAGAACUUGGAAUUUCCUAUUACUAUCCAAUUACCAAAUGGCAAUGUUACUCAUGUCAAAAUCACUAGAUCAGUCAAACUCAGCCCAGAAAUCAUACUCCAAAAUGUCCUUUACCUUCCAAAAUUUCGAUUCAAUCUUAUUUCUGUGUCCAAAGUCUGUAGAGAAAAUUCUUGUCAUGUAUUGUUUGAUUCUAACACUUGCUUCUUUCAGGCCCUUUCGACUGGCAUAGUGAUGGGCUUGGGUAGUCUUUCUGAAGGAUUGUUUCUAUGGAAAAAUUCUCCAAGUAAUUUUGAUUUAUCCUCAUUUCCUUCAAAUAAAAUAUUAUUGUGUAACACGACUACCAAUGAUAAAUACUAUCUUUUACAUUCACGAUUGGGUCAUAGUGUUUCAUUUCCUUAUUCUAAGUGUCAAAUAUGUCCCCUUGCAAAGCAAUCACUCAUUCCUUUUGCCCUUAGUAAAAAUCGUGCAACGCACAUUUUCUCUUUAAUUCACAUGGAUGUUUGGGGUCCUUACCAUACCCAACAUUAUGAUGGAUCGCGCUAUUUCUUGACAAUUGUGGACGAUUAUUCUCGUGCCACUUGAGUUUUUCUGAUGCAAUCAAAGGGACAAGUCUUCUCACAUUUGAAAACAUUUAUUGCUCUAUCCAAGAACCAAUUUGGAAGAUCUAUCCAACGAGUUAGGACAGACAAUGGGAAGGAGUUCUUCAACAAUGACUGCAAUUUUCUUCUGCCAUCUCAUGGGAUUCUCCAUGAAAGUUCUUGCAUCUAUACUCCACAACAGAAUGGAGUAGUGGAGCGUAAGCAUCGUCACCUAUUGGAAGUUGCACGUGCAUUAAAAUUUCAGGCGUCUAUUCCAGAAAAUUAUUGGGGCGAAUGUAUAAUUACUACAUCAUAUAUGCCAACUCAGAUACUCAAUGGAAAAACCCCAUUUGAGUUACUCUUCAAGAAGAAACCGGAAUUGGGGCAUUUAAGGAUAUUCGGAUGUCAGUGCUUCACUACUGUUUUGGGCCCUCGAGACAAAAUGGGCCCUCGAACUCGAUGGUGCAUCUUCAUGGGUUAUCCGAAUUUACAAAAGGGGUAUCGAGUCCUAGAUCAAUCAACAUUGGAAUUCUUCAUCAGCAGAGAUGUUAUUUUUCGCGAAGAUAUUUUUCCUUUCAAAGAAAAGGACUCUUCAACGGAGAUGCCAAACAAUUCUGGUAAGCCACUAUCUAUGGAGGAUUUUUCAAAUACCGAAUAUUUUGUGACAGGAACUCCAGAACCACUUAUGAUAACCCCAGUCACUCUUGAGAUUUCCGCACCAACAAUUGUCGAAAAUGGUGCUCAAGAAAAUUCCUCAAUGGCGGAAGAAUCCUCUAAUGAAAUUGGCAAUACAGAAUUAUCUUCAACUCUAGCUCAAGCGAAUCCUCCUCGACGAUCUGGUCGUUCUACAUGACCGCCAGCUUGGAUAGAAGACUAUGUUUGUGCAUCACCCAACUCACCAGUUAUUAACUACCCAAUAUCAUCUUAUGUUUCGUUCCAUAGACUUUCACCAGAACAUAGAUGUUGUGUGAGUCAAAUAUCAAAGGACAUCGAACCAUCUACUUAUGAAGAAGCAGCUAAAGACCCAAGAUGGCAGGAACCUAUGGGAGCUGAAUUGCAGGCACUAACUGCAAACAAGACCUGGGAUUUAGUCCAUCUACCACCAAAUAGGAAACCCAUUGGAUGCAUAUGGGUAUACAGGAUUAAAUACCGUGCUGAUGGGUUUAUUGAGCGUUACAAAGCUCGAUUGGUGGCCAAAGGAUUUAUUCAACGGGAAGGCUUUUUGACUACCAUGAAACCUUUUCCCCCGUUGCCAAAGACGUAACAGUAAGAUCCUUCUUAUCUAUUGCAGCUAUCAAUGAUUAGCCUUUACACCAAAUGGAUGUACAUAACGCUUUUCUGCAUGGAGACUUAGAUGAGGAAAUCUACAUGGAUAUUCCUCAAAGAUUACGGAGACAGGGGGAGAAUAGAGUAUGUCGUCUCCGUAAAUCUCUCUAUGGUCUCAAGCAAGCUUCCAGGCAAUGGUAUGCAAAAUUUGCCGAUGCUCUCACUUCUGCAGGUUUCAAACAGUCUGGAUAUGAUUACGCCUUGUUCACAUGGACUCAAGGUACGUCAUCUAUUUAUCUGAAGGUAUAUGUUGACAAUAUCCUCAUCAUGGGAAAUAAUAAAACUGCAAUAGAGAGAUUCAAGAAGUAUCUGCAUUUUACUUUUCAAAUUAAAGACUUGGGAGCACCCAAAUACUUUCUUGGAAUCGAGAUUGCUCGAUCUGAUCGUGAGAUUUCUCUUAGUCAACGGAAGUUUAUGCUGGAAAUUAUAUCAGAGGCAGGACUAUCGGGAUGCAAACCAUCGGUUAUUCCAAUUGAGCAGAAUAUAAAGUUGACCACCAAGGAUUAUGAUGCUGGGACAUCUGAGAAUCAUGAUCAUGUUCUCAAUGAUCCUUCAGGUUAUAAGCUUGUUGGGAAGCUCAUAUAUUUAACUAUGACCAAAUCUGAUAUAUCAUACACAGUGCAGACUCUCAGCCAAUUCAUUCACAGUCCCAAGUUAUGUCACUUGAAUGCUGCAUUAAAGGUCGUGAAGUACUUGAAGAAGUGCCCGGGACUAGGGAUUCUUUUAUCCAUGGAAUGCAAUAUGAAAAUGUCGGCAUACUAUGAUGCAGAUUAUGCGACUUGUCCUAUGAGUCGACGAUCCAUUACAGGUUUUUGCAUUAAACUUGGAGAUUCUCUUCUUUCAUGAAAAACCAAGAAGCAGGCAACUGUAUCAUUGUCUUCAGCCGAAGCAGAAUAUCGGGCUAUGGCAAAAACUACCUGUGAGAUCAUAGGGAUAUGGGGACUACUUGGGGAUCUUGGGAUAAAUUUGAAGAGUCCGACUAGGUUGUUCUAUGACAACAAUGUGGCGCUCAAACUUGCAGCAAAUCCCAUAGUACAUGAAAGAACGAAGCAUAUAGAAGUGGAUUGUCACUUCACUCGAGAAAAGAUUCAAGAAGGGAUAAUUGAGACUCGAGGAAUUGGAAUGGCGGAGCAACUAGCCGAUAUCUUCACUAAGCCCCUAUGUCAAAGACAGCAUGCAUAUCUAUUGAGCAAGCUAGGCAUCUUGGAUAUCUAUCAGCCACCAGCUUGAGGGGGAGUGUUGGAAGAUAUGCUUGAAUAUGAUCUUGGGAGAUAUGCUCGGAAUCUCAAUUGAUCUUAAUUGUACAUAAAUUAGUUAGGAUCUUUAGAUUGAGAUUGGAUUUGAUUUCAUAAAUAUUUGUUUGCCUUUUAUUAUUUAAUCUCUGUACUAUAAUUACAGAAGAAAUGUACAUCAGAAUACAUACAAAAUAUACAAGAAUUCCAGAUCUCUAUAGUCUUCUUCACUUUCUUACAGGAGGGACAGAGAUCGGCUGGAUUAGAAUGGAGAUGAGAGAGAAGCACUCUGGUUUUUUUUGCAGGUUUUUGAAUGGCGACUCUUUAUAGAGAGAGAGAGAGAGAGAGAGAGAGUAGCUCUGAAAGAGGCAGGACCAGAAAGUGGCGGAAAACCGACGGAGGUUCGUCUGAGCGACUCGUCAUGCGCUCGCCGGGAGUUCUCCCGAGGGGACAAUAAAAUCCCGAUUCUGCCCCUCUAGGGGAACCAAUUCACGUAUUGCUCCGGUAUUGCCUUUAUUUUGUCUACUUUGGACCCAAAUCAUCGGAUCUAAAUAGAUUUUAAUCGUCGAUCGCAUGGAUUCAGACACUUGGGAACCAUGAUACCAACGGCAUUGAUGGAUUUAGCGCAUGUAGAGUUGAGUUUAGACAAGCAUUUACCCUCACAUUAAUAAAAUGUGUACAGGACUCAAGGAGCUAUUCGUCGGUUUGCUACCAAAGCCCAUCUCAUGUGCUUUACACCAAGAAGAGGGCACUUUUGCUCAAGAAAAAUUUCAAGCUGGCAUUAGUAAGAACUAAAGAAAUUGACAGGAGAAUUAAUAUCUUAUUGUCAUAUAAAGGAGUACUUUAAAGUUGUGUCGUAUUGAACUUUGUCCCACCUAUUACACUAUUGAAAUGUUAUGUUUAAUAUACCAAUAAAGUAUCAAUCGCUAGUUGAGCAAGUUUAUCACCACAACCCCAUUAAAUAUGAGUAGGGAAUUCUAAGAUUAAUGAUAGACCAAAGCCCAAGUUCGUCUUUCACAGAUUAACCAAAAAAAGAAAAGCAAACUAUUUAUGUUACUUUAGGGGUCUACCGUACACUUUGCUUCACAGAAUUGAAUGGAUUGUCUGAGCCCCUUGACCAUUUUGUUGGAUGUUCUAAGUUUUGCUUUACUAUUUACACUCCCUAUGUAUAUAAGUUUACAAAAAAAAAAAAAAAAAAAUUCUCCGUUACUCUAUCGGAUUAAUAAAGAUAGGAAAACAUUUAUGAUUAUUCUAGCAAAAAAAUGACCUUUGAUAGAAAUAACCUUUUUAUUUUAAGUGAAAUGCGUACUAUAUAUUAGUAAUUAGCAUUUGGCGUGUUUAAAAAAGAUGAAACUUCAAAAAUUAAAUUUGAGAUACACCGCUAACUAAUUUUGUUUCAAAAAGGCUUUUAAGUAAUUUUUCCUCAAUCCAAAAUAGUAAAACUUUUCGUUAUCUAACUUUACUAAUUUAUUAGGCAAUCAUCUUUCCUACGUGUAAUGAAAGUACACAUUAAUUAAAGUUUUAAAUCAAGUAUGUUGAACAUUUCGCCCCUCGAAUUAGAUUCUGGCCAUUUAGUUCUCGGAAAAAUGAACUCUGUCGUUUAGACAAUCACGCCUUUGCAAAGCUGGUGUUUCCAAUGCGUAAAGAGAGUUACAAGCAACUGAGUUGAUGGCGAUGGAAAGAGGUUACAAACCGAGUUUUGACAAGAGCUUGGCCGACGCGUGUGGUAUUACACGGUGAGCCUGAGUCCCUCUUCGACAGUCCGGCCAUUUUUUGUUCGUUUUGAGAUGGCCGACGUACCUCAACUUCGGCAUCCUGGUCACGAUGGCCCUCAACUUCGGCAUCCCGGUCAUCCUUAUAUUCUCGGCCUUAUAGAGCUGAGUGGAACAUUUCGACCGUGUCCUACGCUGUCAGGCACGCCGACCUCCGAUCCACAGUUCCACGUUCGUGUAUUGCUGCGGAGGAUGCGAAGUUUUGCACCACAAGUUAUACGCUAAGGAUCUACUAUGGCCCCAGAUACAACACCCUUGGCAGGUUGGCCUUCCGCUGCGAUUCGUGCAAUGUCCAGUUAUAUUUCUGCCUCGCGAUUAAGCCGGACAAGGGACAUUCCAACUCAAGGCAAGAAGUUUCGAGUCAUGAAUGCACAUUGACCUAACGCUAUGGCGAGUUUAGCUGCAGCCUGUGCAGGGAUAUGAUAUCGGAAGCAGAUUGUUAUGUCUCUUUUGGACCGUGCUGUCUUUUAGCAGAAGAGACCAAGCUGCUCGGAUUCUCCUCAGUUGAUCGUCAUUGCCGCCAUAUCUGCGAGCUGCUCGGACUCUGUCAAGUGCUUCCAUUACUAUUGCCGGACAUGGCACCUACUAUCUAGAGCAAGAUUUUCUACUCAAAACUCUCGCAUAUCAUCAGCUAGGAGUGAAUGUGACAAUAAUGAGGAUGAUGCAUGUGGUACACCCAACAAAGAAUUGAGUUGAUACAUUGUGAUAAGAUUCAAAGGUUGCCGACACUCCCAACAAGUUUAACCUAUCUAUUAGUGUCAUCUUCAUCGUUGUGGGUAGUCCUAGAUCUCUCGAACUUGACUAAUUUGGUUGAGCUGAAACUACAGCAACACGGACAAGUAGGAGAUAAACUUUGUAUCGGUCAAUUAUGGUGGAUUGAGAGGUUAUCCAAACUGACUGUUUUAAGGGUCAAACUUCACAAAGUCCCUAUUCCUAUUGAGUUGGGUUCCCUUCCUCUGCUAACGUUACUUGACUUGUCUAAAUUGGACAUGCAAACCUUUCAGCCACUUCCCUUGUCUCUGCAGAGGCUAAGCCUUGAGAAUUUCAAUUCAAUUGGGUCACUCUCUCGGGACUUGAGAAAUUUGUCAUUUUUAAAGCUCCAUGGGUCUCCAAUGCAAGAAGUUCAACUCGAUGGGCUUCAACUUCCACAACUAAAGGUGUUGCAUGUGGAGUACUGGACACCCUUAAGAGGUUGAGGCUAUCAAGAAUGAGGAAGCUGAAAGAUAUUAAGGCGGUAAAUUGUCAAGCUGGUUGAGAUCCAAUUGUCUUGGGUGUUCGAAUCACUGGAGGCACUGUCUAUUGAACGUUGCAAGUCCUUGGAAAGGCUAGUUUAUGAGACUCUCGAUGAGUUGAUUACUUGUGAAGGGAGACUAAUUUUUCCAUCAAGAGUCUUAAGUAAGUUGCAUGCUCUCACACUGUAUCAUUGCCCUAAGAUACUCCACAUUCAAGAUGUGGAUACGUCGGAAUUGUGGGAGUACUUUCGCCUUUGGAGUUGGCCUCAUCUGCAAAAUCUCGUUGGUUUGUCAAACUUUUAAGAACCUGAAGACUUUAAAUAUCCAGAACUGCGAAAGCCUACGACUUGUUGUGGGCGUCAACGAGUUUUUGGGCCAAUUAAUUCUUUGUAGCUGCGCGUCGUUGGAAAGGGUGAUUUAUGUAUCAACCACCAAACUGCCAAUCGAUCGCCACUUAUUUAUCUUCGGUUGCGAGAAAUUACGAGGGACUGAGAAUGAGUCAAGGGCUUCCAGAAGGAAUAUGGGGCUUCAAAGCAUUAUAAAGUGAGUCCGAAUCAUUCUCUCUUUUUUUUCUUUUCGAUUUUCUUAAUGGAACUAUCACAAACAUCACUUUAGCUUUUAGGUAGAUUUGUAAUAAUUGCGGGAAAUCAAAAAACAAUCCAACGAGCAUGAAUUAUAUUUGCUUUUACUCAUUUUAAAACUCACUCCAUAUAAAUUGUUUUAUUUUCCGCUUGCGUUUUCUCAUAUUCUUUUCUUUUUAUGUAUACGAGAAAGUCCUAUUUGUACGGGGCUAGUUUUUAUCGUAAAUGAUUCUAGAAACUUCAAUGUCUGGAAAAAAAAUGCACACUAGCUCAGAGUCUCUGACAAAACUAUUAAUCUUGUUUUGCAUGGAGUGAGUUGUUCGGCUUAGCAAUAUUUUUAUGUAAGAUACUCUACUCUAUUGUCAUUUCUUACUUAAUAUAUUUAUUAUGGAGAUGAGUUUGGUGAUUUUCGAUUUUUACGGUGAAGAUGGAACUUUAAAAGACUUUGGUUCACAUUGAUGGAUUGAGAGUUGCUUGAAUUAGCAUGUGGUUGGGGUUGGCCAAUUAGGAUGUGUGUUCCCAAAAGCAUCUAAAAAUAUAUUAUUUAAGAUUUUGCAUUCUAAAGGGAACAAUGAAAAAUCUGAUUGCUGGAUAAUGUAUUUUCACAUCAAAGCACAAGGAUUGUUUCUUUCUGCGUACUUGAACACUUGCUAAGGGAGUAUAGGCAUAGUGUAAAAUAAGCAAAAAGUAAGAAGAUUCCUAAUUCUCGUCUUCUUAAUCUUUUCGGAAUGAUUGAAUCAAGUUUUUAGAUGAUUUUGAUCUGCUUCCUAAAAAAAAGUUUAAUGUUGGUUUAUAGCUAAACCCAUCAUUUGAUACAAAAGAUUUAAGUAACGUCUUUUUAAUAUUUUUAUUAGUGUUUUAUUUUUCAUAUUCAACGGCAUAUCUUUUUUAUUGGUUGUUUCCUUUUUUUCUAUUUUGCUCCAUCGACUAAAAAAGCAGAAAGCACAUAUUUUUUUCAAUCUCAACGAUUGCAAUUAAAACUUAUAUAAACAGAUAGAAACUGUUUUAAAUUCCUCAAAAGAUACUGAUGAAAGUCAUAAAUAGAUUAAACACGGUGGUUGAUUUGAUCGCAUGAUUUUGAUCAUUGUCGAAACUUUCAUGGAAGACUGGUUAUGAUUUUAUUUUGCAGGAAUCGUGCUUUGAUUGGAUCUGGACAUGUUUUGAAGGCUUGUGAUCACGUGAUAAUUGUUAGCACGCAGGGACGGACAAAGUCAACAUUUUAGGUGAUAAACUCUCUCGAGUCUUGACACUCCUUGCACCUGCUUACGCCGCAAAUUCUCGAACUCCUCUUCACGGUUGUGGCCAAAGAUAUUUGGUCGACUCCUUGCGGCUGCUGAGUCCCAUUGUCGUCACGACCGAGCGGAACUGAAGAAGCCAGGUCUCUUUGACGCCUCUUGAUGGACCACGGCCAUUGCGCCUCACCAUCUGCCGCCAUGUAUACUCGGAGCCUCUCCAAGGCGUUCUCUCUAGUUUUCGCCAUCGCCAUUUCCAUUUCUCUAGCUUGCUUCGGUUCUCUUUGCUCUUCUUCCUGCGGGUCUCCUCCUGUCUGUGGAGCAAUGCAGGAGGACACGUCUUUACUCUGUGUGACGGCCCGAGGCAGAGGAUUAUAUGUACUCGACUGGCUUUUUCCGGUCCUGCGCCCUAUUACUAAUGUUAGACUCGAAUCCACUACCCGUUAUGUUCGUCCUUCUUCAUGUAAAUUAACUAAAUUAAAAACAAAAACAAAAACAAAAACAAAACAAAACAAAACAAAACACAGAAGAAAACAACAGAAGAAGGCAUAACGGUCGGCCCCCGCUGCUGCCCCACCAUCAUCGAAAAGGGCCAAUGAUGGUGGGGGAUGGCAAGCCCUGAAGCCAGUGGCUGGCGAGGAUCCCCGAACCUCCACAGUGGCCAAUGACCAUCGCCAGCCGGCCAUCCCCCACCACCACCGGCCCCCUCCGGCGGGAGCAAGGGCCCUCGCGAUUUUGCCUUCUUCCUUUUUUUUAUCAUUUAAAUUUAGCUUAUUUUUUAGUUUGAUUUAAAUAAAAUUUGUAAUAAAAAUCAGAUAUAGAUAUAUUCCAUAUUUUUGCCAUAUCAUUGCCACAAGAAGAAAUAAAAUAUUAAAAAAACCCAAGUCAGUGUUUUCGAUUACCUAAGUUAGACAAAAUUAGUGGAAAAACUUGAUUGCAUAAAUUUGACAAGUUUUAAACUUUAAUGGCAUUUUCUGUAAGUUUUAAGAUUUAAUUACACUUUCAUUAUAAGUUUUAGGAUUUCUAGAUUACUUAUCCCUAAUUUGUAUUUUACCACAUUAUGAACUUAAGCUAUCACAACCAACUACUGCAAACUCCGUCUAAGUUUUGAUAUUGGAUCACAUGAUCUUGAAUUCGAUCAUUCACUCUUUUCACCUUCAAUAAUUUUGGAAAGGUAUUAUGUCUGCAUAUUUCAUACUUUCACUCUUCUAUCUACCAGCGUUAGCAUAAAGAGGUAUUCAGAUAUAAAACUUAGUGGACUCUUUAUUAGCUCAAACCUUUGGAACUACUUAUCGCGCACGCCGACUAUAAGGAAAGCAAUGUCAUUCAUGCUCUUCUUUAGUACAUUUCCAGGAGCACGUCUAAUCGUACCCUAUAUCCUGGAGAACUUUUGACAGCAAUUUUGGACCUUUUGGUUUCUAUCGGUCUUUGCAUAGAGGUGGUCAAUAUGAUAAAUGAAGAUAAAGAAGAUAAGAUUUGCGACCGUAAGACUGAUAAUCGCAUAGGUCGGGCAUCAUGUGACAGUUCAAAUGUCGCACGAUCUAAAGUUUUAUGUUAGCACUGCCCUGGCUUUCCCGCUGCUAAGAAAACCCACUAAGUUGAGACGCCGAGGUGUCUUCUAUAAUGACCUCCAGUAGGAAACCGAGUACUCUCAAGUCAAAGGAAAUAACAAGCCGAGAUUGAACAAUUAUGAAUUGUUAAGUUUGAGAAGUGGGUCCCAUAUUUGAAACAUUGAAAACUUGACGGCAUCUCAUGAACAACGAGGGAAGAAAAAUAGUCUUGAUUCAGCGAGGCACCAAGAAAUGUCCUCGGGAUUUCAUCCCGAACCGACAGGACACAAAAAUAGACAGUCCCUGAAUAGAUGCAGGAAGCCAGUAUGCUUCCACAAUCCAGAAGUCUGAGAAAUAAGCAUGCGUACGCUUUCCUGAUUCAUCAUUGCACCCAUGUUCAGAAGAAUGUCUGAGCAAGUAGGCAUUUCCCAUGUUUGUAUAGGCACAUGCAUCCAUGAUCUCCUGUGAUUCUAUUUGGGCGUGACUUGUGCACACUCGUGUCUAAGAGAGAGGGAGAGAUAUCUCGUUUGAUGCAACUUCAAGUGUGAAUCUCCUUGGACAUGAGCUGUGAUGCAAAUUUAUGUACCCUACGGAUGUUUUAUCUGGUGAAGGAAUUGCAAAGAAAUGCCAGGGGUAAAAGAUAUAUAUAUAUAUAUCAUGGACAACCCGAAGGACAUCCUGUGAAAUCAUUGAUAACCAGAAGCAUAUCUGCUCUUCGUAGAUGGGAUGAUUAAGCAUUAACAGAUUGUUGUUGGUCACAAGUGCUCGAACAAGCAAUUCUUUAGCUUCUUCCUGCUUCUUUAGCAUGUUGCAGAUCUGCAAGACAAUUCCCCUAGGCAGCCAAUGUAUUACUAGCAGAAGGAUCACAAAGAUGGUAGAGUAGACAAGAUUCAAUGCCAGUCUCUGUUCCAAUCGCUUUCUGAAAACUCAAUUGCUAAUGUUAGACCUUUAAUUAUAAAAAAUAGCUAUAAGGUACGAUAGAUUCAUCCUCAAGGAUAAUUAGGUUGGACUGUAGAAGAAAUCAGAAUUUCUGUAUUAGGGAGAUUCUCUUCAUCAAUUGAUUUCUAGUUGUACAAGUUCAAUAAAUAAAGAUGCUUAAUGUCAAUGAAUCCAUAACAAAAUUAUCAGAAGUGAGCAAACAUCCAGUAGUGUCUCUCUAUUAGAAUCUCCAUGGUUUCUGACUAUAGUCUACAACAUGCAUAUAACUGAUCACCAAAGCCAAAAAGUGCAUAAGCAACUCAUUUAUAGCAAAAAUAGUCGCAAUUCACUUACAUCUUCAAGUUCCUUUGUAUAAGCUUCAGCCUUUUUGACAUUUUCAUCAGUUUCCAUGACCAAUGGACUUCCAACUUCAGUGGAACUCGCCUUAGGAGAAAUCUUAACAUGAAAUUUAGGAUGGUCACCAGACACUCUGUUGGUUUUGCUUUGUUCGGUGUCCUCAUGAUUGCAAACCUGAUACGUAUGAUCUAAGAAACCAGCAAGAAACGAGUUUCGACUCUCUGUUGAAAUAGAAAAACUUAAGAAGGUUCUGUCCAUUUACCGGUUCGGUGACAACAGCUUCGGAGGAUUCGCUGAAACUUCUGAAGUGUCAAGGGUAAGAACAUUACUUCCACAAACAAAACCCAGUCACAGGAGCGAAGGCAGUGGAAUUAUUAGCACUCUUCACCUUUUUCCACCUGGAGACUCAGAGGGCGAUUCCAGUGGACUAGAUGACAUCCCCUGCAAAAUAGACACUCACCAAUUCUAAUGCAUUACAAAAUAGCAUCCCCAUAAUUGUAUUUGCAACACCCUAUUGAAGAGGUCUAAGGUAUUACUUGGAAGUGAAGAGCAAACAAUAGAAAGGAACCUCAGAUGAUUUCCCUUAUGAAUUGAGAAGUGGCUGGUUUUAUUGGUUUACCUGUUCUGUGACAACAGUUUCUGAGGAUUCUCUGAAACUUCUAAAGUGUCAAGAGUAAGAACGUUACUUUCCACAAACAACCCAGUCACAGGAGCAAGUAUAAUGGCGCUAUUAACACUCUUCACCUUUUCUCACUUGGAGACUGAAAGAGCCGUUUCGAUGGACUAAAUGGCAUUAAAUUGGCAUCUGAUCCCUGCAAUAUACACUCAUGGCUUCUAAUGCAUUACAAAGUAGCAUCCCCAUAAGUAUAUUAGAGCAAACAACAGAAAGGAACCUCAUAUGAUUUCCGUUUCAAGGAUGAAUUGGGAAGUGACUGGUUUUCGGUGCUUUUGCUACAAUGAGCUAAUGAAUGUGCUGCAUCACCUCGCAUUGCUGUAAUUUGCUCAGAGUCUCUCAUGGAACUGAUUUCCUCUGUAGGACUAAAACCAAGUUGAUCUUCUUUGGUUCUCGUGGCCCUGCGCACAUUGACAUCAUGAUCUCUUGAGAGUAUCUAUGGUUUCAAAUACCAGGACAUCAAGUCAGGAUGCAGGUUAGACCUCUUCGUUCUCAAGCUAGAAAGAUAAAAAGCCCUCUUGGCAGAAUUAAGAGGGUUACUGUUCUUCACAUCAACAUUUCUGACCCUUGAAUCCUUAAAAGAUUCCUUGCUUGAAUCACUGAUUUCAGGAUUCACACAUAUCUUAACAAUAGGUGUCAACAACUCAUUUAUACUGCCCAUCUUGCAGAGGGAACUGCAAAAGUUUAGCGCAAGCAGAUUAAGCAUAUGCAAAUUAAUGCUGUGUCAAAGGUCUAGUCCACUAUAUGCAAUCUACUUGCUAGCGUUGGCAAUGUCUAAGACGGGACAUGACAUAACAUGAACAGAAUCAAACAUAAAAUUGAUAUGACAUGACAUUGGCGUAUCCUUUCUGUCAUGCGGGGUUAUUUCAGUCUUGAAAGUAUAUAUCAUUUAAAGGAAUAUCACUCUCCCAUGCCAUGUGACCCAAAGGUUCAAACUGAACAUGAACAUAUCAUGCUACGGCAGAUUUUGAACCCCACUUCCAGGCUUGUAGUCUUCUAGCAGAUAAUUUAGUCAUGUUUUACCAGAGACAAAGAUGCCAAUAUCUACUUCAAAGAAUAGUACGAAAAAUUUAAUGAGCUUUCCUGGCCAAUAAUAAAGGGAGACUUAGACUUGAGAGACAAUUGCAAGUAAAGGUUUAUAAUUUCGGCUGAAAGGGCUUUAAUUUCAUCAACAGCAAGCAAAUAAUCAAGAACAUAUCUACAUGUGUUGAUCAAACUAGAAAUAUACAGCAAUUAGGAAAGUGUCCAAUGUCUCAACGCAAACUAUGAUAUACAAUUAAAAUAAAUAAAAAAUCUCAUUUUACCCUAGUUGAAAGUCCGACGGAACAGAAGAGUAAUAACCAGGGCAUCUUUAUAUCGGGAACAAAUAAACUUUCCCUUUUUUUAUUUUGAGUUAGUGUGUGGGUGGGGGAGUGGCAGCAGGGAGGAGAUAACUUAAACAUUACUUGUUAGAUACUGUUAAAUGAAGUACAUGGGAAAAAUAAAAUGCUAGAAUUUGAACAAAAUUUCAAACAGCUCAACAAUUACAACUCGAUUGGGUACGGAUGCCUCACCUCAGAUGAGAAGUGGGUCUCACACUGAUAUGGCUUCCAGUCAGAGGAGGUUGACUUUUUGUUUGCUCCCUUGCUGGUGAAUUUAGACCAAAAAGCAACUUUCCCCCAACUUGAGAAUCCUUGGCAUUGUUUCCCAACCUGUUGCACAUUGCAUGAACCAUGUGAAGGUAUAAAGCAUAUCAAAGAAACUAAAAUCAAAAAGAAAAUCUUCACCUAGUGUCAUUUAGAUGUACAGAAGCAAGUCUUUUGCUGCUAAAUUGAGUAAGCUUUCUCCCAGUUGAUGGUUCUCGAGAAGACUGACUCUUAAUUUCCUCUGAUCUCUUGGAAAACUUUGAAUGGGCUUGUCCAGGCUCUCUACCAGUAAAGAAAGAGGACGAUAUUUAAGUGCAGGUUCUCCGCUUGGGACAUUUACAUGUUACUAAAAGUGAGCUAAGAAGUGCAAAAACAUUAUGCUGUUGACCCAACAAUCUUUAUACUGAACUCUGGAAGUCACCAUAAAAUGCAUCAACAUGAUAGCAAAAACUCAAUGAAUGAGUGCAUCAGACUGAAAUCACAACAACUUGCAUUCCCCUCCUUAAAAAUUAAGCUACGAUGCAUAAGCUUUCUAAAUUUUCACAAAAUCAACCAUCAAGAGUCCAUGUUUCUUAAAAGGAGCCAUUAAUGGCGCAUUGCUCUAAUUUGGCAUGGCAGAAACUUGCCAAUAUCAUCCUAAUAUAGAUUCCCCCUCAUUCCUCUAAUCACUUAAAGGUAAGGGAUAAAUGGGACAACCUGAAAACAGCCAUUUCACUGUCAUGCACUACUUUGCUUGGGAUAAUACAGGCUGUAUCAUUAAGACUUGUCUCAGGCUUGGCCUCUUCAUCGUGAGCCUUAGUAGCAUUCAAUGAAUCAAGAAUAGGUUUAUUGCUUCCAUUUGCCUUGCCUUCUGCUCCUGGCACAUGUGGCACACUUGAACCUUCUGACUGCAUGUUGCCAUGAGAAUAUGUAGCUUCCCCUAUAAUUUCUUUCCUGUUACUCUGCUCUUCACCCAAAGUGGAAUUUAAACUUUUGAAGAUAGACAAAUCUUUUCUUGGAUGCUCUGGGAUGGUACUUAAAUUUUUGUCAACCCCGGGCUGAAUAUGUACCUCUAUUGGGGCUGUUUUGUCUGACAAAUAAUCUUGUUGGUCAGAUCCUUGAGAACACGUGCUGUUUGUCUUUCGAAAGAAGAUUGUUGUGGAAUUGAAAUUCUACAUGCUGCGGACUUUGGCACCCAAUCAUCCAUUCUUGGGUUUGGCAUAGAAGUUGAAGUUACAGAAGUUCCUACUUGAAUCUCUGAUGUACCCACACAGCACGUUGAUUGAAUAUUAUCAAUCAUAGUGUUAUCCUCACAGGAAUUGCCUCAGGAAGGCGUGUUUCCGAGCCCUGUUGCUCAUUCAUCUCCGAUGAUCUCCCUUUGCUUCCUAUAACCUUCUUCCCACCUUGUUCUUCCUUAGUCAUGGGUGAAUCAAGAUUAAAGCCAUCCAACCUGGAUAGCACAAAUGGCUGCUAAGUUCAUAGAUUGCAAUCACAAGUCAUGACAUUUCCCUUCACUUGAAAAUAUAACCUUAUGUAUCAAACAAUAUGCCAUAAUGUAUAAAUUGUGAAGCUGUCUUACCCAUUAAAAUCAAAGGAGAAAGAAAAUCUUUUCUUAAAAUUUCCUUCAUCAGGUGAUUCUGCUUCAUUUCUGUCCUUGUUUGGAGAUUUCUUAGAUAGGCAGGAGAAAUCAAGAUCCGGCAUGUCCACUUUGAAUGAUGAAAACUUGUUAAAGUCAGCAUCCACGUUAAAAUCGACAUCCCUGAAAAAGGUUAUUUAACAAUCAAUCCACAGAAAACAGAGAUAUAUCCCACUCUCAUAACAAAUAAGAUUGUAACUAGCUUCCAUGCAUGUUCACCAUCAUCCAUCAUUUUAAUAAUUUUUGAAGUGGCUGAAUGAUAUGUAAAGCAUGGCUCACUCGAUCACCACGGGCAGUAUUCUCCACAAAGAGGUAAUUGUACACGGGUGAAUAUACGUAACCAACUCAAGUAUGAAGAUAGAAUAUUAAAGUUACAUUCCACAUCCAUACUGGUUUAUUAUCUAGCUGCCCAUACUUUAUGUUUCACUUACAGUUUAUCAAAGUUGAAUUUCUGUGUUUUGCCUUUGCCAACAGUAUCAACGCUAAAAUCCACUGUGUCAUCUUCUGCCACAGACAACGACUUCCAAGAGGUAAGGAACUCCUUUCCAAAUUCGGCAUCUGUUGAAAUCAGAUUUAACAUUGAGCUAUGACCUACAUAUCUGACCUUCAUAAGACAUGGCCAGAAAUGUGUACAAGCAAUCAUCCUAAUCAAUGACAAGGAUGAAAACCAAUUUUAACAUUAAGAAAGCUUUAAUUUGUUUUCAAGUAGAUGAAAAGUAUGCUGCACUAAUUAUUGACCACAAUAUCCAAAAGAGUCAUGUGUCAGGCCAUAUUACAAAAAUAACCUAAACAGAUUAUAUAGGUUUAGGAUUGAGAAAUAUGCAUCCUUGUGGUACCAUUCCACCUCUGAAGCAAAUUUACUGUAUUUUGAGAUUUGUCAAGCUUAUACAGAGUACCUAGUAAUGAUUUAUCCUCUUUCUGAUUCACCACUGCAGUUUCCUUAGGUGAAUCUGCCAUCUGCAAGGGAAAGAGUGAGGAAAGCAUAAGAAAAAAGAGAAUUCCAAUGGCCCUUAGAAUUUACAAAAGACAAGGGAGAUUUUAAUUGCAAACCCAUUAGGUUGGCUAUACUACACAGCAACCUCCUCUCUUCGUAAAAGCAACAUCUCUUUGUUAAACAAUUGCAUCCAUAACAUUUUUGCACUUAUCUUAUGCAGAAGCAUCUAUAAACUAACCUAGGAGGGACCUUAGCCAGUCCAUUAAAGUGAAAAACCCACACAUGACAUGUAGACAGUUCAUAAAGGAGCAGCAUCAUUGACUUAUACAAAGUGGUUAGGUGGAGAGUUGCAAGCUCUAAAUUUAAAACCGUGGGGCCAAAAACACCCAUAUAUACGUGCCACUAUCAUAUAUCUGUGAAGAUUCAUUUUUCAUCCUUCCACAAAUGCAAAGGUAAAGGAUCUCCAAUCCGACAGCAUUGAUAAGAUGGACACCUAAUCAGUACAAUAAAGUAACGAUCAUUUCAAGAAUUCUCUGCCUUGGUUCAAAGGGACAUAAGUCUCUCAUACAUUUGAUAUGAAAUGUCUGAAGGAGUUCAACUAGACUGCAAGUGGAAACCACUAUAGCUAUUGCAAAGGAUGAACAAAUGCAGUAUUAAUAAGUUCAUACGGGGGCAAAGCACAGGGCUAAUCCAGUAUAAUCUAUCCCAAGAAAAGAACGCAGAUGCUAUUUUAACAUGAGAAACCAUAGCAUUGAGUCUUAGCCAAUGAAUUAAUGGCUGUCUUAUGACUGCCUAAAAUAUAUAGGUCCUCCUAUCACAUUCAGAUCAUCUGUUUUCCAGUACAGAGAAGUUCAAUUAAAACGAAUGUAAUUGAAAAAAAAAAAUACAUCAGAACAGCUACUUAUCAUGGCAUCAUUUCUACGAAAGCAGAUGCCAAGUAAUAGCAUUGUCUUUGUAUGUAAAUGCUGUAAGUCAUAGUGAUUUCCUCUAGAUAAGCGUCUACAUUGCGCUCAAACUGCAAGGAGCUAUAUACUUCCAGCAAAAGGCUUACAGCAAUUCUGAACGCUAACUUAUCCAGAGGCUUGUUCCACCCAGUUUCUGAAGCCAAAUGCGCCAGAAUAGUCACGGAGGUAUAUCAGAGAGAGAUAAACGCAGCAAUCAAGAAGAAAUACUUUGCUGCGCCUAACCUACAAAAUCAUAGAUGGUGCUCCAACGAACUCGAUAAAGCCAAUCUACAUUGAUCACAAAGAGGUCUUCCGAAAUCAAACGGACCUACUGUGACGGGAGGGUGGGAGACGCAAAACGAACGAACGCGAAACGGCGAGAGACAACUGAACGCGGAAUCAAAGAGGUGAGAGAGUCCGAAGGAACUCCUCAUCAAAUCCACCAUCGGAAAACUAAGCGCGCUCGCGAAGUACCUCCGCUCAACACUACGAAACAAUCAGCGAAAGCCCAUGGUUCAGAGGCACGGAGCAACGAGACACUGAAGAAGCCACGGCCAGAAGAAGAAAUCGACGGAUUGCGAAAGCUCGAGAUCGAUUCGCAUGUCAACAGUACCUUCCUUGCGAUCGCGACAGGGAGCGAGCUCGAGCGUGGGAGAGAGAUAGAGAGAGAGAUCGAUCGACUGAAUUCGAAUGGAGAUGAGAGAGAAGUAAUCUGGUUUUUCUACAGGUUUUUGAAUGGCGACUCUUUAUAUAUAGAGCGAGACGGAGAGUAGCUUUGAAAGAGGCGGGACCGGAAAAGCGACGGAAAUUGGGCGGAGGUUCACUCCAGCGUCGUGUGUUCGCCGAGAGUUUUCUCGACGGGACUGAGAAAAUCCCGAUUUUGCCCCCUAGGGGAAACAUUUUCACUUAACUCCGUUCAUUUCAAGAGAAAAAAAAACUUUAAAAAAUAUUUUUAUAAGAGUAAUCACUUCAAUUGUUUACAAAAAUUCAUAAAAUAUUCACUAAUUAUUUCAAAUGAUAACAAAUGAUUGUUUUUAGAAAAAUAUAAUUGAAACAAUCCAAUUCUGUAAAUUAAAUGAAAUUUGUCUUGAAAAAAAUCCAAUGAACCUACAUAUCUGAAUCCAAAUAAAUCUUGACCGUCGAUCACGUCAAUCCACACUUGGGAACCACAUGAUCAAUCACCUUGAUGGAUUCAGGGCAUGUAAGCUCAAGUCCAGAUAAGCAUCUACCCUCAUAUUGAAAUUCAAUGUGCUAUUGGUUGAUUACCGUGGAAGCUCAUCUCACAUUCCAAGUGUCACAAAAAAAAUUGGGCAUUUCCUCCAGGGGCAACUUAAAAGUUGGAUUGAGCAGGACUUAGAGAAAUUGACAAGAAGAUGAAUAUCUUAUUAUGUUAUAAAAGAGGAUUUCUUUUUUUUAAGUUGUAUAGUGUUGACAUUUGUCGUACCUCAUCUGCUAUAGGAAUGUUGGGCUUAAAGUACCAACAAAAUACCAACAGCCCAUUGAGCUAGUCUAUCACCGGAGUCCUAUCAAAUACGAGUGGGAAAUUCAAAGCCGCCAGUACACUUAAGCCCAAGCCCGUCCUUUGCGAAUUGAUUUAUUACACAAUUGUCUUUUUUAUGUGUAAUGACAAAAACUAUUAGUUAAACUUUUAAAUAAUAAUUAUUUUUCUUAUGGGGACAAUUUUUUUUUUUUUUUUGUCGACAGUCAAGCAUGGUUUUUUCGUCGGAUUUUGUAAAGCUCGUGUCUCUAAUGUGUAAUUAGAGCUAUAAACGAUUGAGUUGAUUGGCCAUGGAAAUAGGUGAUGACCGAGUUCUGACGAGCUCGGGCGAACGUGUUUGGUAUUGCAUAGUGAGUCGGAUUACCUCUUCAACAAUCCCCCCUCUUUUCUUUCGUUUCGAGAUAGUCUACAACCCUCGACUCCGGCAUUUCUGUCAUCCUGAUGUUCUAGGCCUUAAGAGAGCUGAGCGGACAUUUCGACCGUGUCUUAUGCUGCUAGGCAUCGACCGUGCGAAGGAAGGAGUAGAAGCAAUGAAGGUGAAUUUGAAGGAGGAGCGUGAACUGGAGGAACUAGAGGAAUUGGACAGAGAAUCUCAAAGUAAUCAUGAUAACAUGGAAUAACUGAUAUGGAUGUAGAUUCAGCGCAAUUCCAUUUCUUUAGGAAGCUAGGAGUAUUGAAGAGUCUUCACGUUACUCUAAAUAUGCUUGUAAACAGAGAUUUUCACUGGGUACCUAAGUGUCAGACUAUUGAAAUUGCUCACAAAUUUCAUGAUUGCCAAUGUACAAUAGUCUCAAGCUAGAUUAGUAUCAGACUUUGAAGCACUUUUGUAGCAACUUUCAAAUGAAAACUUUUCAUUCUUCAUCAGGAUUUCAUGGGACUGCCAACAUUUUGGCCACCAUUUAUUUCUCCAUGUUGGAAACGCUAGAACUGCGGAAAGAGAAUGAAUCGGGUGUGGCAGUGAGAACAACAGUUUCAACAUCAAUAACGACAAUGACGGCAGCAUCGACAAACGAAGGCUUCGCGAAAGAUGAUCGGGCUCUGCCUACAUCUUUCUCGUGAUCUCAAUCGGUCUAAAAUUAAUCUAUUCUGAGCAUGAAAACAUUUUGAAAACUUGUCUUCAGUAGUUGUUGAAAAAAGCUACGUCAAACUUCGAAGCUUUCUUGGAAGGAUAUUGCAGGGUUCAGGGAAGGUUCCCAGAAGCAUCUCCUUGCCCAAAAGAAACAAAACAAGAACUGAUAUCAUACCAAAAAAAUGGAGACUUCCUUUUCUUUUUUCGACAGGUAAAGUUACUUUUAUUAUUCCGAACAUGGGACCUGCAACUUGCACGCGCAUUUGAACAAGUACUUAGCCACCAAGUUUGAGCAUUCGAUCUAAUAGUCUUCCAUUGUUAAAAAAAAAAAAAAAAAACCGACUUUCGGUUUCAACCAUUUUGCAAGUUCAGGGAAGGUUUCCAGAAGCAUCUCCUAAUCCAAAAGAAACAAAACAAGAAGUGAUUUCGUAUAUAAAGGGCCCGUUUGGUUCGGCUUUGGGGGAAUGCCAUUUGGAGAAUGCAAAUAUCUUUGAGAGAAAGAGGCUUUCGGAAAUGUUAGACCGUUUGGUAAAUUUUAGCAUUGAAAUGCAACUUGGCAAAAACACCGUUUGGCAAACUUUGCAUUUGGAAUUAGCUUUUGGUAUUUUUUAAUUUCUUUAAAAUCUGAAAUCAAAUCCGGCGGCCGGCCACUGCCGGCCAACCGCCGGCGACCGCCGGACGGCCAGAUCUGGCCGUCGCCGGACCACCAGAUCUGGCCGCCGGAGGUCGCGGAGGCCAGAUCUGGCCUCAAGACCGCCAGAUCUGGCCGCCGAACGGCCAGAUCUGGCCUCGCCUGGUCGCCUGGCUCGCGCGAGACCAGGCGACGCCGGCCGAGGUCGGGCGACCUCAGGCGGCGUCGCUGGCUCGCGCGAGACCAGGCGACGCCGGCCGAGGUUGGGCGACCUCAGGCGGCGUCGCUGGCUCGCGCGAGACCAGGCGACGCCGGCCGAGGUCGGGCGACCUCAGGCGGCGUCGCGUGGCUCGCGCGAGACCAGGCGACCGAAUCUGGUCGGGUGCUCCGAGCACUGCUCAGCCCGUUGCGUGGGUCGCGCGACCCAGGCGACGCCGCCUGAGGCCGCGACCCACGCGACGGCGGUGCGUGGCGACGGCGGUGCGUGGGCGACCAGCUCCAGCUGGUUGAGCUCCGCCGGCUAAAGCUUCGAUCUUGAAGAAACGAUGAAGACGAGGAAGACGAUGAACAGUUACUUUUGAGGGUAAAAGAAGAAAACUAAAUUAUCAAUGAGGGCAAAAGUGGAAGAAAAAAAAAAUCAUUAAACCCCUUCAGCAUGCCGAAAAUGCUGAAUGCCCAAAGCAGGUCCCCACCUGCUUUGGGCUUUCAGCAUUCCAAAGGCAAACAUUUUGCCAAGUAGCCUUUGAAAGCCGAACCAAACACCCUAAAAUUUUUCCCAAGGGGCUUUGGGGGCUCAAAGCCCCUUGGGAAAGCCGAACCAAACGCCCCCAAAAUGGAGACGACUUUUUUUAUUCUUUUUUUUUUUCCGAUAGGUAAGAUACUUUUAUUAGCCCGAUAUAAGGAAAGGGUGGAUCAAAGAGAAUAAAUAAAAUAUUGUGUGCAAAAAAGCAAAGAAAAUAAAAAAGUAAUAAUACUUGGAAUGAGGUAAAUUAAUGCAUAAUGAAAGUUUAAUUCCUUGAUUUCCACGUAUGUUAUGCCAUAAUCACUUUCUUCCGAACUGUUGCACAUGGGGCCUGCAACUGCACGCGCGACAAGCCAGCCAGCUGUGAACGUCCUCAGUUGGCUUCUGCUAAUGGGGCCUUCAACUGCGUGACUGCUUUCACAAGUGUGUCGACCACAACUUUAGUUUUUUAUUUUUUAUCAUCGACCAAUAGCAUUCGAUCUUAUGGUCUUCGUCGUAAAAAAUUGCUACAUCCUGUUUCCACCAUCUUUUCAUAGACCCAUAGAAUUCUCCUGUAACUACAUUAUUUGCUCAUAACGUGUUGACGCGGAAUAUUUUCUGUUUCCACCAUCUUUUCUUAGACCCAUAGAAUUCUCCUAUAACUACAUUAUUUGCUCUUAACGUGUUGACGCGGAAUAUUUCUUUGCUGAAGAUCAUCGAGUGAGAGAGGGAGAGAGGGAAAGAGAGGUCUGCUUAGCUGAGCAAAUUACUGCUAUGGCAAGCUCAGAUGCUGGAACAUCAUUGGGAAGCAAGUACCAAGUGUUUUUUGAGUUUUAGAGGACCCGACACUCGAACUGGAUUUACUGAUGUCCUCUUUCAUAGCUUGUUUGACGCUGGAAUCGACGUGUUUCGAGAUGAUGAAGAACUCCGUGUCGGUGAAAGAAUCGAUGAAUCACUGCUGCAAGCGAUCAACAACUCCAGGAUCUACAUACCGGUCUUCUCUCAGAACUAUGCUUCGAGCCAAUGGUGCCUUUGCGAGCUCGCACAGAUCGUGGCAAACACCUUGAAAUCUGAAGGUAAUAAAGAGAUCCUACCUAUUUUCUUUGACGUGGAACCUAAUGAUGUUAAAUUGAAGACCCCACUAUAUCACAAUGCCAUACUCAAUUUGGAGCACGAGAAGAAGUUGAGCAAUGAGCAAGUAAAUGUUUGGAGAGAGGCCCUCAUGGAGGUUGAUGCCAUAAAGGGGUGGGAGGUGAAGAAAUACAAAGGGUAAGCUAGCUAUUUUCAAGACACUUGUUUCCCCAAUUUUCCUUAACACUUAAUAAUAGAUCUCAAAAUUCUAGUAUGAUUGAGGUGGGAGUUUUAUUAUAGUAAUACUAAAUGAUGAAUCUUUACGUCUGCAAAACAAAAUGUGAAGACAUAAUAUUCAACUUCUACAGUUGUUGCUUGACAAUUGCAUAAAUUUUUAUACAACAAUUUUGCUCGAAAAUCCCAAGAUUGCUACUCUCAUGUUGAAAUCAAGUUGAAUUUCGGGUCAUGACAUAGCAUCAACGUUGUCAAGGGCCUAAAAGUAUGUUUUGGAGAGACCUUAAUCUCCAAUAUGGACUUUUAGAAUAUCACUCCUAGAUUUAAGGUCCCAUUACUUAUCAGAUCAUUGUGUAGUUUAUCCAGUGUUUGAAUGACAUCACUUCUAGUUAGGUAAUCGUGAAUUUUCUCACUAAAAUGGAUUUUCAUUGUGGCAGCCACGGAGAACUAAUCAAAUUGGUAGUUGCAAAGGUCGUGGAAUGUUUGAAGUCAAAACAUAGAUUGGUGACUAAAUAUUUAGUUGGAAUUGACAAUCAAGUAGUAGCAGUAAGCAAAUUAUUAGAUGUCAAUUCCGAUGGUGUGAGACUCGUUAAAAUUUAUGGCAUGGGAGGUAUUGGAAAAACUACACUUGCCAAGGUCAUCUUCAACCUACUUUCUUCUCAUUUUGGAAAGUGUUGUUGUUUCCUUGAAGACGUUCGAGAGAAGUCAUCAAGAACCGAUGGCUUAGUUGACUUGCAAAAAAGGUUACUAUCCGAAAUCGGUCAUCCUGUAGGAACAAAGAGCAUUGAUGAAAUUGAUUAUGGAAUUAAGAGGAUUGAAGAAAUACUUCGUAAUAAGAAAGUCCUUAUUGUACUCGAUGAUGUUGAUAACAACAAACAAGUGGAGAAAUUAGUUGGAAACAGUACUUUAUUUUCUGGAUCCAGGAUAUUGAUUACAACUAGAAAUAAAGAUAUCUUGCAAGUCAAUAGACAAAAGUAUCAGAUUUUGGAUUAUGAAAUGGAGAUGAUGAGUGCUGGACAUGCACUUGAGCUUUUCAGUAGUCAUGCAUUUAACACAGACUUUCCUUCAGAUGAUUACGAUUAUCUUUCAAGGGAGAUUGUAUUUGCUACUGGGAGACUUCCGUUGGCUCUUGAGGUGAUUGGUUCGUUCCUCUGCCACAAAUCGCAAGAACAAUGGAAAGAGACAUUGCAUAAGUUAAGAAGAGCACCUCAUGAGGAUGUUUUUGGAAAGUUGAAGAUUAGCUAUGAUGCCUUAAAUUUCGAGCAACAACAAAUUUUUCUCGAUAUUGCAUGCUUUUUCAUUGAUGAAGAUAAGGCAAAUGCAAUCUACCUAUGGAAAGGUUGUAAGCUUUCCCCAAAUACAGGAGUUGCUGCCCUCAUUGACAUGUCUUUGGUAAAGAUUGUGGAGAAUGAUAAGUUUUGGGUGCACGAUCAACUUAGAGAUAUGGGAAGAAAAAUUGUUCUCCUAGAAGAUCCAGAAAAUCCUGAGGAGCGGAGUAGGAUAUGGAUUUGUGAGCAAGCUCUUAAUGCAAUAAGACCAAAGCAGGUAAAGCACUUAUGGAGAGAUCUAACUAGUUUUUCCAAUAUAUUCCACUCCACUGUACCUUCUUGGGUUUUUUUUUUUUCCUUUCCUUUUUAUAAUCCUUUGGCUCUAUGAGAUAGAAUAUUGAUAUCGCUCAUUUCCUAUUCUCAUUUGUAGAUAAACAAGAAAGUUCAAGCACUAUCUCUUUAUUCAUCUAGACAAAGUAUGUGUGAUGUCUUUGUUUGAAUUAAAUGGAUUGGAAGGUUGGAACAUCUAAGAUUCCUUAAAUUAUCUCACUUAGCCCUUGUUGGAGAUGCAACAUAUCGCCUUCCCAAUUCAACAUUGAUUUCUUUGAGUUAUUUUCUGCAAAAAUGGACCAACACGUGCCUAAAGAAUUUAGUCGUUCUUGAAUUUGUCAACGUUACUUUCCUUGGUAAUUCGGAAAUCUCAAUCAAGGUGCGUAAUAUUCUUAUUCCUAUUUUAUUUUCUUGGAAAGUAAUAUUCGAUUGUUCAUCUAUUGAGUAUUGCUUUCAUUUUGACAGAUGGCAACAAAAUUGAAAGUUCUUUCUUUCAAAUAUUGUCAAAACAUAUUCAAAACACCUGACUUCUCUAGAUGCCCGAAUUUAGAGAAGCUUACUUUCGAACGUUGUGACAAUUUGAGGAAAAUCAAUGGCUCUAUUGGGAAGUUGAAGCGUCUGAUUGAUUUCAAGAUUGGUAGCUGCAAUUCUCUUAAACAUUUGCCUGAAGAAAUCGGUGACCUAGUGAAUCUACAGUAUUUCUUUGUACGCUGUAAUGAAAUGAAGAAACUCCCAAAUUCCAUGUGGAAGUUGAAAUUAUUACGUGAGUUGUUCUUUCAAGGUUGCACUUCUCGUAAUUUAGAUUCAGCAAAUUCAUGGGAAUUACCUUGUGUUAUUGGAAAGCUCCAGAAUCUGGAAGUGCUUCAAGUCAUUAGUUCCUCUUUAAAAGGUCGAAUUCCUUCUGAAAUUGGAAGUUUGCCCUUUCUAAGAAUCUUGAAUCUAUCAAGAACUCAUGUAUGUGAACUUCCAGAGACCAUCAGCAUGCUUCCUUGCCUACAAAGAAUUGAGUUGAUGGAAUGCACUAAUAUUCAAGAGUUGCCGACCCUCCCAACAAGUUUAACCCAUCUAAAAGUGUCAUCUCAACUGUUGCGGGUAGUCUCGGAUCUUUCGAACUUGACUAAUUUGGUUGAGUUGUAUCUAGUUGAUGAUGGAAUAGUAAGAGAUAAACUUUGUAUCGAUGAGUUACAGUGGAUUGGGAAGUUAUCCAAACUGACCAAAUUGAGCUUUGGAUUUCACAAUGUCCCUAUUCCUAUUGAGAUGGCUUCCCUUCCUGUGCUGAACGAACUUUAUUUGGAUGGAUUCAACCUACAAACCUUUCCGCAACUACCACUAUCUCUGGAAAAGCUAACGCUUAGAAAUUUCAAUUCAAUUGUGCCACUCUCUCUGAACCUAAGAAAUUUGUUAUAUUUAGAGCUGUAUGAUUCUCCAAUGCAAGAAAUACAACUUGAUGGGCUUCAACUUCCACAGCUAAAGAAGUUGUGGGUGGAAGGCUGGCAACACCUAGAAAGGUUGAGGCUAUCAAGAAUGAGGAAGCUGAACAAUGUCAAGGUGAAAUUGUGUUAUGAAGUUAGUUGAGAUCCAAUUUUCUUGGGUGUUCGAAUCACUGGAGGUAUUGACUAUUACCAAUAGCGAGUCCUUGGAAAGGAUAGUUUACGAUAAUGAAUUGAUUAGUUGUGAAGAGAGGCUAAUUUUUUCAUCGACGGUCUUAAAUAAGUUGCGUUUUCUCUACAUGUGGAUGUGCCCUAAGAUACUCGACGUUCAAGUUGUGGGUACGUCGGAAUUGUGGGAAAACUUAAUCAUUGAGGAUUGUCAUUACUUGCAACGUCUCGGUGGUUUGUCAAACUUAAAGAACCUAAAGUGUUUAUCAAUCAAGGGCUGCGAGAGGCUACGGGAUGUCGAGGGCGUCGACGAGUUGGAGUUUUUGAACCGUUUAAUACUUGAUGAUUGCAUAUCGUUGGAAAGGUUGAUUGAUGUGUCAACCACCAAACUGCCAAAUGAUUGCCAGGUAGAUAUCGUUAGGGGCAAGAGAUUACCUGGGGUUAAGAAAGGAUUAAGCUGCUUCACCCAGUCCUUCAAGCAUUAUAUGGCGAGUCUUGGAUCAUUCACUCUAUUUCUUUUUUAUAAUUUCUUGACGCAACCGUCCACGAACACCAAUUCAACUCUAAGGUAGAUUUGUAAUAAUGGUGAAAAAUUAAAAAAUAAACAAAAAUCAAUUAAUAUUUGAUCUGACUUAUUUUAAAACCCACUCGAUAUAAGUUUGUUUUAUUUUCAGCUCACGUUUUCUCACUUUCUUUUCUUUUCUUUUCUUUUUUAUGAGAAAGUUCUAUAGUGCAGCAAAUCUAUGGGACAAGGUCAGCUUUUAUCAAAAGUCAUUGGAAAAUUUGCAAUUUUUAGAAAAAAAAAUAUAAAUUAACUCUGAAUAUCUCAUUAAAAUGUUAUUUUCACUUUAUAUGAAAUGAAUUGAUUAUUUAGUAAUUUUUAUGGAAUACACUCCACUUUAGUGUCCUUUCUUACUUAAUACUAUUCAUUAUGGAGAUGAGUUUAGUGAUUUGCAAUUUCCACAAUGAAAAUAGAACACUAAAAGAAUCCUAUACUCAUUGCACAACUUCAAUAAGAAUUUUUUGAGGGAAUUCUUUCAAGAACACAACUUAAAUGGUCCACGGAUCCACAAAUCGACUGACUUAUGUUAUUGAUGGAGUUUAGGAUGCAUGUUCCAAAAGCAUCUGGAAAUAUUUAUUAAGAUUUUUCAUUCUAAAAAAAACAAUGAAAAUCUAAUUUUUGAAAGUCUGCAUCCUCCCCGGUUUUUGACCGUCUUUGUUAAUGGCCACUUUAAACAUCGUUCAGACAUUUAUUUGUUCAGUUGUGAGGCAUUUCAUUUCAUUUCAUUGACCUGCUUCCACUACACUAGAUAGAGAAGGGGAAAAUGAGGAGGAAAUGCUUCGUCUACUAAAUAAAUAAAUAAAUAAAAAACAUAAUGUCGUACUAAUGUCAUGGACAUAGGUAGCAUACGAGUCAAAGACAGAUGGCUGUGAUGUAAAAUUGUUUACAUUUGGUGAAAUGGAAAAUCAAAUUUGUUUGAUGUGCAUAAUCCACAUGUACAAUUUCGUUCUAAUCCUACAUGAUUUACGACAUUUUCUUGUGCGAUAUUGUUUCCUCUUCUAUAUUGAUCCUUUUCUCAUAUUUCAAUCUCAACAAAUAUAGCCAAGACUUGUAUGUAUGACUUUCAUCAGUAUCUUUUGAGGAUUUUAAAGCAACUCCUAUCUAUUUGAUUGCAUUAUUUUAAUCAUGUCAUUCCUUUUUCGAAAGCUUUCUCCUAAAAUUUAUUAUGAUUUUUAUUUUUCAGGAAUCAGGCUUUGAUUUGACAACAUAUUUCGGACGCUUGUGAAGUUCUGAAGGCAACCCGCACGAUAAUUGUUAGAAUGCAGGGACGGAAUUAGCAUAAUAUCUCAUCGGGGUCAAUGCACUGAAGAGUCCAUAGGUUUCCAAUAAUGAUUUCCAGUACCGGGGCAUCAACUUAGGAUGCAGGUGUGACCUCAUCAUUUUCAAGCUAGAAAGAUGAUUUACCCUCGUGGCAGAAUUAAGAGAGUUGAUGUUCUUCACAUCAACAUUUCUUCGAAUCCUCACAGGAUUCCUCGCUUGAAUUAAUUAUUUCAGGAUUGUCCCAUCUCUUUUCGAUUGGUCUUAGACAACUCAUUCAAAUUGCCUGUUUUGCAUGAAGAAUUGCAAAAAGUUUAGCAUAGGCAGAUUAAGCAUAUGCAGAAUAAUGUUAUGUGAAAGGCCUCAUCCAAUAUAUGAAAUCUACUUGUUAAAGCUAGCAAUCUCUCCAAGACGAGAUAUGACAUAACAUGAACAUCAUCAUAUGUAGAACAAAAAUGGCAUGGCAUUGAUACAUCAUACUCUCUCAUUUCACGUGACCCAACAUGAAUAUGUCAAGCAACAGCACAGUGUGAGCCCUAUUUCCAGGCUUGUAUCUUCUAGUAGCUAAUUUAGUCAUACGUAACCAGGGACAAAGAUGUCACUAUCCUCUUUAGAGCAUAUUAUGGUGAAUUUAAUAUAAGCUUUCGUGGCAAAUAAUAAUGGAAGACUUAGACUUGAGAUACAAUUGCAAGUGAAAGUUUACAAUUUCAAUAGUUGAUAUGUAUAUCUAUUUUCUUUACAUAAUAUACAUUGCCAAAAUAAUUAAUCACGGUAGACAGUAGAUGAUAUGUAUUGUUGGUUGAAACGUUAACGCAAGAUUGGCUGUGAUUUUAUUUCUUCAGGAAUCACGUUUUGAUCAGAUUUGGACAUGUUUUGGAGGCUUGUGCAAUUUUGAAGACGACUCGGAUGAGGAUCUUUAGCAUGCAGGGACGGACUGGCAUAUCAGUUUAGUGGGGUCAAUGUACUGAAGAGUCAAAGUUUCUAAGAAUGGUUUCAAAAACCGGGACAUCAAGUUCGGAUGCAGGUGAGACCUCAUCAAUUUCAAGCUCGAUAGAUGAAUUGCCCUCGCGGCUGAUUCAAGGGAAAUGCUGUUCUUCACAUAACAUUUCUGAUACUUGAAUCCUUGUAAGAUUUGUCGCUUGAACUAGUUACUUCUGGAUCAUCGCAUAUAUUUUCGACUAGUUCUAACAACUCAUUCAAAUUGCCCGUCUUGCAUGAAGAGCUGCAAAAAUUUAGUACAAGCAGAUUAAGCAUUUGCAAUAUAAUGUUGUCCAAAAGGUCUAAUCCAACAAAUGAAAAUUACUUGUUAGAGUUGGCAAUGUUUCUAAGACAGUGAUGAUACAACAUGAACAGCAUUAUACAUAGAACAUAUGUGACAUGACAUCGAUACCUCUUUUCAAUAACUAGGAGUUAUUUCAAUCUUAAAAGUAAAUGUUAUUUGAAGGACUAUCCCUCUCCCAUUUUAUGUGACUUAGAAGGUUCAACUCAAAGUUAAAUGAAUCUUACUACAGCAGAUGAUGAACCCUACUUCCAAGCUCGUAGUCUUCCAUUAGAUAAUCCAGUCACAUGUUACCAAAGACAAAGAUGUCAAUAUCCUCCUUAUAGCAUAUUAUGAUGAAUUUAAUAUGAGCUUUCUUGGCAAAUAAUAAUAGAAGACUUAGACUUGAGAUGCAACAGCAAGUAAAACUUAAUGAUUUCAGCUGAAAAGGCUCUAAUUUCACCUAGCAACCAAAUGAUGAGAGAACAUCAAAAGAUUUUUUUACACAUAUCUACAUGGGUUGAUCAAAUAGUAAUAUAAAGCAAUUGGGUGAGUCUCAAAUGUCUCAAUGGAAACUAUGAUAUACAGUCAAACAAAAAGUAUCUCAUUUUACCCUAGAUGUCCAUUCAAUAGCAGAAGAGCGAUAACCAGGGCAACUUUUUAUGGGGAGGAGGUAAAAUCCUUCCAGUCAUCACCUCUGAGGGGCGGGGGUGGCAGCGGGAAGAAGAUAACUUACACAUUACUGACUCACUGUCAGCUACUGUUAAGUACAUGGGGAGAAAGAAAUCAGUAGAAUUUGAGCAAAAUUUCAUUCAGAUCUAAGGUUACAAUUUGAUUGGGUAUAGAUACAUGACCCCAGGUUGAGAAGUGCUUUUCACACUGACAUGGCUUCCUGUCAAAGGAGAUUGACUUUUUGUGUGCUCCCUUGCAAGCGAAUUUAGAUUAACAAGCGACUUUCUCUCAACUUCAGAAUCUUUGGCUUUGUCUCCCAACCUGUUUAACAUUGCGUAAACCAUGUGAUGUUAUAAAGCACUCCAUGUCCAAUCAAAGAAACUGGAACAAAAUAGAAAAAUUUCAUCCUUUCUCAUUUAGAUGCACAGAAGCAAGUCUUUUACUAAUAACUUGAGUAAGCUUUCUCCCGGUGAUAGUUCUAGAGAAGACUAACUCUUGAUUUCCUCUGAUCCAUUGAAUAAAUUUGAGUGGGUUUGUCUAGGCAUCCUACAGGAAAAGAAAGAGCACAAUGCAUGAGCUGCAGGCUCUCUGCUUGGGACAUCAACAUGGUAGUAAAAGUGAACUGAGAAGUGCAAAAAUGUAAUGCAAUCAAUCCACACAAUUUUCUACUCAAAUCUGGAAAUUAUCAUCAAAUGCAUUAACAUGAUAGCCAAAACCCAAUGAAUGAGUGCAUCAAACUGAUGACCACAAGAACUUGUUGUGUUCCUGUCCUUGGAACAUUGAGCUACAGAUGCAUAUUCUUCCUAAAUUUUCAUAAAAUCAACUAUCAAGUCCAUGUUUCUUAAAAAGAGACAUUAAUGACUCAUUGCUCUUAGUAAAUGGCAUAAACUUGCCAAUGUUAUCCUCUUAUAAGUUUUCUGCCCUCUCAUUCCACAAAUCAGUUAAAGGUAAGGGAUAAAGUAGGGUCAACCUGACGACAGCCAUUUCACCGUCAUGCAUUACUUUACUCAGAUGAAGAUUUGUGGCAGGCUUGGCCUCUUCUAUAUCAGCCUUUGUAGCAUUCCAUGUAUCAAGAAAAGGUUUACCGCUUUAGUUUGCCUCACCUUCUGUUCCUGGAACAUGUGACAUACUUAAACCUUCUGAACGUACGUUGCCACAAGAAUAUGUGGCUUCCCCUACCAUUUGUUCCAUGUUACUCUACUCUUCAUAUAAAGCAGAAUUUAAACUUUUGAUGAUAGACAAAUCUUUUCUCAGAAGCUCUAGAAUGGUACUUAAAUUUGUAUCAGCCCUGGGGCUGGAUGUGAAACUUCUCUUGGUACUGUUUUAUCUGAUGUACAACCUUGUUGAUCGGAUUCUUGAGCGCACGUACUGUUUGUCCUAUCCAAAGAAGAUCGUUCUAAGAUUGAAUUUCUACAGACUGCAGAUAAAGUUAGACAUAGAGUUGAAGUUACAGAAAUCUCUACCUAGACUUCUGAUGUUACUCACACAACGUGUUGAUUCAUCAUUUUCAAUGACAGCUUUAUUUUACGGUCUGGAAUUGCCUCAGGAAGGAGACUUUUCAAGCCCUGGUGCUCAUUCAUCUCUGAAAAUCUCCCUUUGCAUCCUAUGACCAUCUUCCCAACUUGUUCUCCCUCAGUCAUGGAUGAAUCAAGAUUAGAGCAGUCCAACGUGGAUAGCACAAAUGACUACUAAGGUCCUAAAUGCAAACACGAGUCAUGAAAUUUGUUUCGAAUGUUUCCUUUUUUUUUGGUAUGAUAUUGUUUCCCCUUUUAAAUAGAUCCCUUCUCGUACUUCAAUCUCAACAAAUGCAGUUAAAACCUACAUAUAUGACUUUUAUCGGUAUUUUUCAAGGAAUUUAGAACAGCUUCUAUCUAUUUUCUUGUGCAUGGUAUUCAUUAACAAAUAGGUCAAACACUGGAUAUUAGUUGAUAUGUAUAACUAAUUGGUUUGACUGCAUAAUCUCAAUCAUUUCUUUCCUUUUCUGAAACUUUCAUGGAAGUGGUUGCGAUUUUAUUGUUCAGGAAUCACACUUUGAUUGGACUACAUGUUUUGGACCCUUGUGAAGUUUGGAAGACAAGUCGUGCAAUGGUUAGCUUGCGGGGAUCGAGCUAGCAUAUUUCUAAGAAUGAUUUCAAAUUCCAAGACAUCAAGUUAGGAGGCAGGUGAGACCUCAUUUUGAGGGAGUACUGUUCUUCAAAUGACAUUUAAAAGAUUCUUUACUUGAAUUAGUGACUUCAGAAUUGAUGCAAAUCUUUUUUGUUGGUUUUGACAACUCAUUCAAAUUGCCUGUCUUGCUUGGAGAAUUGCAAAAGUUUAGUACAAGCAGAUUAAGCAUAUGCAGAAUAAUGUUGUGUCAAUGGACUAAUCCAAUAUACGAAUUCUACUUAUUAGUACUGGCAAUGUCUCUCAAACAUGAAUAUGUCAGGCAUCCUGCUUCUAGCCUUGUAGUCCACUGGUAGUUACUUCAGUCACACUUUACCGUUGCUGUCGGCCCAACCACCACUGACGCCAAGAAGAGGAAAGGAAACUCAGAGGGUUGCGAAGAAGAGGAAAAUAAGAAGAGAGCCUAGAAGUGUGAUUAGUUCCAGUGCGGUCGGUUGUGUCUGCAGCUCGUCGUCACCCAACCACCACCGUUGCCGAGAAGAGGAAAGGAAGCUCAGGCGGUUGUGGAGAAGAGGAAAGGAAGAAGAGGGCCUGGAAGUGUGAUUGGUUCCAGUGCAGCCGAUUGUGUCUGCAGCUCGUCAUUCCGUCAUUCGCCGUCGCUGGGCCUAGUUGGCCGACUCGCCGUCAAAAACAAGGUGAGCCUCACUCCCCCACCCCGCGCUUGCUUGCUUCUCGUACCCUGUAUUUACUUCUACGAACUUAAAAUAGCUAUUUUCGACGUGCGGGUACUUCCCGAUUUCGGCUUUGCAGGCAGGUGGUGAUCGGCAGCAUCAUUCGGGCCUAUCGUUCGCUUAUUGGUUUUGGUGGGGUUUGGCGGUGUUCGAUUUGAACGAAUCUUUGCGAGGUUACCAAAUCGAUGUAAGUGUCUUCACGAAUCUUCGAUUCAUUUUUUUUUUCUGUCUUUUGUUUGGGGGGUGGGGGGUUGGUAGUGAUGGCAGGAGCGCUCUCUGGUCGUCCGAUUAGAUCUGGUCUACAAUGCUAGUCCUUUUGCUGAAGUGAUUUUUCUGAUCGAUUCUCUAAUGUACUGAUGUUGAAGUUUAUUGCAAAUCGAUUUUGCUGGCUUUGUUGCUCCGGUAUAUUCUCCCCCUGUUUCUCUCUAUUGCUAAUAGAUUGCUACUUGUUGAUAGGAGAAAUUCGAAUUAUUUUGAGUACUUGUUGUCCUUCUGUCUAUUACCCCUUAGAAAGAGAGAGAAUAAUAGUAGAUUACAUGUGGUUAACCCAAAUGGUUGUUUAUGUGUCAACAUAUAUUGUAAGUUGGGACAAUACCUUUCAAGUGUACCUAAGUUUACGAGAACCCAUUGUGAUCUUGCAGUUUAAUAAUGCAACAGAAUGUGUCACUUGGGGGCUUAUGUACUUGCAGCAUGUAAUAUGGUUGAAGUACUAACUUUUAGUUGUGAAUGCUGAGAUCUUUCAUCAUGUAAUCUCAAUUUUUUAGUGCUUUGAAGUCUAGACUUGAUAUUACUUACUUUUAGGCUUUUAGGAUACCUAUUACUUACUCAUAGUUUGUCAUACUAUUUUAUUUUAAUUUUAUGAAAUUUACUCAUUCCUAUAUAAAUUAAUUAACUUCAUAUGCAUUACAUCACAAUGAACUUUUGAGACCUUUAGUUUAAUAUCGUCAAAGAGAGAUAUCUGAAAUACUUUUAUUGUCACGAGAAGAAGGACAAGAUCUAUAGUGUGGGAACACUAUAAAUAGACUCUUAAUCAACAAAAAGAUGAAUGUAUACAUUGUGGGCCUUUAUUGUCCAGGGACCGGUUCAAUGCAUCGUCAUCUAGCCAGAUGCAAGCACUUUCCAUACGCAAAAGUCGAGAAAAGGCAAUAGAGUGCAUUGGGUCAGGUUGUUGGGGUCAGUAGUUCUUCUAGUCCAUGGAAAUUUGACCAAGAAUCUAAUAGAAAAGAAUUAGCAAUUAUAUUUAUUCUUGAUGAAUUGCCUUUCAAGUUGGUAGAGUGUGAGGGUUUUCGGUGAUUUGUUAAUAAAAUCCAACUAAACUUCAUAAUCGCCUCGAGUAACACUUUGAGGCGUACAGGGAAGAAAGAAGUAAAUUGAAGAAAUAUUUAAUUGAGACAUCUCCUAGAGUAUGCCUUACAACUGACACUUGGACCUCGUGUUUUAUCUUUGUCCACUUGAGCUUUUGCAAAUGUGCUUUGGAAUUUCAAGGAUGAGCUUACCCGAUUUGUACUGGUUGUUUGAGAACCUCAUUGGAACAAAAUCAGAUCGUGCGAUUUCCCCUUUUUUGGCCAACACUGAGUUUGAUUUAUUAGGAUGCUUGUCAUGCUAUUUAGAUAUAGUAGAGCUACCCAAUGUCAGGACAUAUGCACGGGUUGAUAAUUGUUAAUGUUCAGAGCUAAGCUUGUGCUAAAGUUUAUGCGUAAGCAAUGUAAUCCACAAAAAAAAACCCCCAAAAACCAAAAGCCCAACUCGGUCUAGUUUUUUUGUUUAGGGUCUUAUGUGUUUUAGGUCGGGUCAGAGUGUGCCCCUCAUGAUGGGUCGGAUAACAUCAAAAUCCAACCUGACCCGACCUGACCCAUUGACACCCUUAUUCUACGUAGUUGAACACUAGUCAAGGAAGUAUAUGCAUCGUGUAAAACAAACAAAAAAUGGGAAGAUUCCCAAUGCUCAUCUUCCCAACCUUUUUGGAACGACUAGCUAAUUAUGAGAUGAUUUGGUCUGCUUACCAAGAAAAAGUUAUAAUUAUUGUUUGGUGGUACUACAAUCAUCAUUUGAUACCAAAAAUUGAAGCAACCUCUUUUUUAUAUUUUUAUUAGUAUUAUCUUUUUAAUAUUCAGCAACAUAUCUUUUUCAUUGAUUAUUUUUUUCCUUCCAUUUUCCAUAGAAUGGAAAAGCAAAAAGCACGUAUCUUUUUCAAUCUCAACAAAUUCCGUUAAAACCUACAUAAAUAAAUAGAAACUAUACUAGAGUCCUGGAAAGACAAUAUAUAGAUUAAACACGGUGCUUGAUUUGUUUGCGUAAUUUUAAUCAUUUCAUUCCUCUUUUGAAACUUUCAUGAAAGAUUGGUUGUGAUUUUAUUUUUCAGGAAACAUGCUUCGAUUGGACCUAAACUUGUUUUGGAAGGCUUGGGGUCGAGUGAUGAUUGUCAGCAUGCAGGGACUGACAAGCAUUUUAUAUCAACAUUUUGGGUGACAGGACUCUCUCAAGUCUCGACACUUCUUGCAGUUGCACUUGCUUACCCCGUGAAUUCUUGAACUUUUGUUCAUGGUGGCGGUCGAAGACACCUGGUCGACUCGUUGUGGCUGCUGAGUCCGGUUGGUGUCACAACCGAGUGGAAUUGAAGAAGCCGGUCUCUUUGACGCCUCUUGACUCAUUAGGGCCAUGCUGCAUUUCCAGUUUUCGCCAUCGCCAUUUCUAUUUCCCACGCUUGUUUCAGUUCUCUUUGCUCUUCUUCCUGUGGGUCUCUUCCUGUCUGCGAUUUGCUUGACCAGAAUUCCAUGGACAAGAUAGAAUGGUUUGUUGGGGUUCUAAGUCGUUUCUUUAAUUAUGGAUUGCUUUUUAGCUGUCACAACUGUUUUUGGAACGAGAUCAUUACGGAGCAAUGCAGGACAAGGACUUCGUCUUCACUCUGUCUAACGGCAUGAGACAGAGGAUCUUAUCAUUCCAUGGUUUAUUGGAUUUGAUAUUGGAAUGAGAAUUUAAAUUUCUUUUGCGAUCCUGACUUUAUUCUCUCAACGGUGAAGAGUCUGAAUGUCUGCUAAGAAUGACUGACUUCAAAUACCAGAUUACCAGGACAUCAAGUUAGGAUGCAGGGGAGACCUCAUCAUUUUCAAGCUAGAUAUAUGAAUUGCCCUUGUGGCUGAUUAAAGAGAGGUACUCUUCUUCACAUCAACAUUUCUGAUCCUAAUAUACUCAUUAAUUCCUUGCUUAAAUCAGUUACUUCAGGAUCAAUGUGUAUCUUUUCAAUUGGUUUCGACAGUUCAUUCAAAUUGCCCAUCUUGGAUGGAGAACUGCAAAAGUUUAGUACAAGCAGAUUAAGCAUUUAUGCUGCGUCAAAGGCCUAAUCCAAUGCACGAAAUCUACUAGUUAUAGCCAGGAAUGUCUCAAAGACGGGAUAGGACAUGACAUGAACAGCAUCAUACGUAGAACAGAUACGAUAUGACAAUUGAUACAUCUUUUCUAUAAUCAUAAGUUUUUUGGGCCUUAUAAGUGACCAUUGUCUCAAAGAAUAUCACUCUCCCUUUUCAUUUGACUCAAAAGGUUCAACUCAAACAUGAAUAUCUCAGGCUAGCUAGAGCAGAUUGUGAACCCUACUUCCAGGCUUGUUGUCUUCUAGGAGCUGAUCUAGUCAUAUGUUACCAGAGACAAAGAUGUCAAUAUCCUCUUUAAAGCGUACUAUGGUGAAUUUAAUUGAGCUUUUCUGGAAAGUUAUAAUGGAAGAACUUAUACUUCAGAUACAAUUGCAAGUAAAAAUUAGUAGUUUCAGCUGAAAUGCUAUCAUUUCACCAAUGGCAAGAAAAUGACCAUGGACGUUGGAAGAUUUUUCACAUAUGUAAACAUAUGCAAUUAGGAGAGUGUCUGAUGUCUCAAUGCAAACUACGACAUACAAUUGAACAGAAAAUAUCUCCUUUUACCCUAGUUGGAAGUCCAUUGGAUAGCAGAAGAGUGAUAACCAGAGCACCUUUAUAUGGGAAGGAGGUAAUAUUUUUCCCUUUUUUUCCCCUCUGUAACUAAACAUGAUCAAUGAUAGGAUUAUUCUCACAGUCAGGAAUUGUCUCAGGAAGACGAGAUCUUGAGCCCCAGUGCUGGUUUAUCUCUAAAUAUCAUCCUUUGCUUCCUAUAACCUUCUUUCCACUUUGUUCUCCCUCAGUCAUGGGUGAAUCAAGAUUAAAGCCAUCCAACCUGGAAAGCCUAAAUGACUGCUAAGAUCCUAAAUUGCAAUUGCGAUUCAAGUUUGACCACCAAAAAAAAAAUCACGGGUCAAGACAUCUGUUUCAAAUGUUUCCCUUCAGUCGAAAAUAUAAUCUUAUGUAUUGAAGAAUAAUCCCAUAUGGAUGCAUUUUGAAGCUGUCUUGCUCAUUAGACAAAGAAAAGCUUUUAUUGGAAUUUCCUUCACUAGGUGAUUCUGCUUCAUUUCAGUCUUCGUUGUUUGAAGAUUUCUUAGAUGGGAAGGAAAAAUCAAGAUCUGGCACGUCCACUUUGUGUUGGAGAAAUCUUUCCAGAAGAUUUUGAAGCUGACAAAACAUUUCUAUCAGUCUAGUCUUGAUAUCAUUGGUUUAAAGUCUCAAGACUUUGUAAUCUAAAGUCUCAAGACUCAAGACUCAAGACUCAAUAUUAUUCUCACUGACAGUCUUUUUAAUCCAGUGGCGUAGGAUAUCCGAAGCCGAAGUAUAUGGUUGGGGAUUUGAUCCAAUCCUCUGGAAUAGAUACCUUGGUUGGAUAAUCAUUUUUUAUUCUUUUGAUUCUUAUCUAAGAUCAAUUGAAGAUCUGAUGGUCGACGAAACAUUCUUGGAAUGUUCUAUUCUUGGAAACCAAAAUCCUGAUUGUAUGGGCGAACAGGAUUGAUGGGCUAUCAUCAGAUUCCUUAAAUAGCUCGGAUGAUCUUCUUAAUUGAUUCCGUCCAACGGGUAGAUUGGAGGAAUUCCUUUGGUAAGUGCCAACGGCUAUGAUGGCAUAAAGGAGUAUAAAAGGAAGACGUUCUAGUUGUUCUAAGUGUGUGAUCGAUAGAUAAAUUCCAGAGUCUGAAGAACCUUGAUUGUUAGUCGAGACAGUUCGAGCGAAAUUGUAUACACAGAGAGUGGUUGUACUUGGUGAUACCUUGAGCGAGUGUAGUAGAUCAUCUACAUCGAGAAAUCAAGGAAGAUCAACACUGUAACAUCUCUUUGUUCAUAGUGGAAUCCAGCCAAUCGGCUGUCAGUGCAGAAGAGUGGACGUAGGCUUGAAUCAAGCCGAACCACUAUAAACCUCGUGUUUAAUUCUCUCUUUCCUUUACUCAGUCUUACGAUUGUUUUUAAUCCUUCAUCUGUUUAAGUAUUGCGCAAACUGCAAGAAAAUAUUCAUAAACCUAUUCACCCCCCUCUAGGUACUCGUACUAGCAUUAUCACUUUGAACAAUGACAAUUUGUCAUAAUCAGUAUCCAGGUAAAAUGGACAUCACUGAAAUAGGUUUUUUCAUAUUUAAUCCACAGAAAGCUGAGAUAUAACCCUCUCUCAUAAUAAUGGAGCUUGCAAACAAGCAUUCAUGCAUCUUCAGUGUCCUCCAUCGUUUGGAUGAUAUUUGAAGUGGUGGGAUGUAUGUAAGGCAUGGCUCACUUAAUCACCAUGGGCAUUAUUCUCCACAAAGAAGUAAUUGUACGGGGAAUAUACGUAAUCAACACUAGUUUGAACAUAAGAAUAUCCAAUUUAGAUUCCACAUCCAUACUAGUUUACUAUCUAACAACAUAUACUUUAAUUUUCACUUACAGUUUAUUAAAGUCAAAUUCCUUCAUCCUGCCUUUGCCAACUAUAUCAGAGCUAAAAUCUAUUGUGUCAUCUACUGCCAUGGACGACGACCUCCAGGAGAAAAGGAACUCCAGUCCAAAUUCAGCAUCUGUUGAUUUAUGACCAACAUAUCAGAUUGUCAUAUGACAUGGCCAGAAAUAUGUAUAUACAAUCUUCCUUUUAAAAUUAAGAACGCUUUGAUUUGAUUUUCGAGUAGAUACAAAGCAUGAUGCACUAAGAGAAAGGAGAAUCCCAGUGGCCCCGGAAUUUGCUAAAGAAAGGAAAGAACAAAAUUGGGAACCCCUUUGAGUUGGCUAUAGUACACAGCACCUCCUCUCUUUGUGAAGACAGCAUCUCUUUGUCAAAACAUUGCAGCUAUAACAUUCUUGCACUUAUCUCUUUUGCAGAAGCAUAUGUGAACUAGCCUUUAAGGGACCUCAGCCAGUCUAUUAAAGUUAAGAGCCCAAAAGUUGACAUAUAAACAGUUCAUACAGGAGCAGCACUUACUGAUACAACGUUGUCAGGGGGAGUGUCGCAAGCUUUAAAUUUAAGAUUGAGCGACCAAAAACAUAAACAUUUACAUGCCAUGGUCAUAUGUUUCUGAAGAUUCACUUCUCAUCAAUCCAUAAAUGCAAAUGUAAAGUAUCUUCGAUUUGACAGCAGUAAUUAAAUGGCCAUCUAACCACCCCGACAAUAGUGACGAUCAUUUCAAGAUUUCUUUGCCUUGAUUCAAGUGGGACAUUAGUCUCUCAUACUUCUAAUAAGAAAUGUCUGAAGAGGUUCAACUAUACUGCAAGGGGAUCCACUAUAGCUAUUGCAAAAGAUGAACAAUUGAUGUAUUGAACAGUUCAUAGAGGGGCAAAGCCGAGGGCUAAUCCAAUAUAAUCUAUGCCAAGCAAAGAGCAAAGAUGCUAAUUUAACAUGAGAAAUGAUAGCAUUGAGCUUUAGCAAUAAACUAAGGGCCGUUUUAUGACAGCCUGAAAAAACAUAGGUCCUAUCACAUUCAGAUCAUCCACUUUCCAGCACAAUUAAAUUCAAUUAAAAUGAAUGACUUGUAAAAAUAGAUAUCAGAACAGCUUCUUAUGAUGUCAUCUUUUCUUGGAAAAGAGAUGCUGUGAAAUAGCAUACUCUGUGUAAAAUGUGUGCCCUGAGUAGCGAAAAUUUACUGUCAUACCUCAGAAGUUCAGACUGUGAGCAGGAAAAUGCUGUAAGUCAUAGUGGUUUUGUCUACACAAGCGUUUACAUUACGGUGAAACUGCAAGGGACUAUAGACUUCCAGCAAUGGGCUUAUAGCAAUUCUGAAUAUAAAUUUACAUAUAAGCUUGUUUCAUAGGAAACUACACGACGCAGUUUUGGACGUCAAAUGCGCCAAUACCCAGAGACAUAUUCGAGAGUAAACAUAAUAAUUUAAAAUAUAGAAAUUUUCACUUUGCCCAACCUACAAAAUCAUAGAAGAUGCUCACGAAUGAACACGAUAAAGCAAACCAACACAGAUCACAAAGAGGGCAUUCCUAAAUCAAACUGACCCACUGUGAUGGAGGAUGGACGCGAAAUGAACGUGACAGUGAGAGAGAAGGCACGACAAAGCGAGAGUCCAUCGGAACUCUUCAUUUUGUAUCUCAUCACAUUCACCACCGCAAAACUUUGCGCCCUCACGAAUGACCUCUGUUUUUAACACUACGAAACAAGCAGCGAACACCAAUAUCUCAGAGCUGCGAGCAACGAAGAUGCAACGGAACUCCUAAGAAGCCUCAUAACCGAAGGACAUCGUUCGACAGAUUGAAAAAGCUCAAGAUCAAUGUGCAGGUCAACACAGAAUGAAUUACUAGACUGAGACAAGCAUAGGAUCCACGGGUACCUUACUUGCCAUUGUGACAGCAGGCGAGGUCGAGCGAGGCAGAGAGAGAUCACCUGCAUUCGAGUCGAGAAUUGAUGCUGAACUGAGACGAAACGUGAAUGGAAAUUGAGAUCACUUUUCCCGGACGAGAGAGGAGCGAACUGGUUUUCUGAGGCUUUGAAUGGCAACCGUAUAUAUAGAGUAGCUUCGAAUAAAUUUCCGACUUUGCCCUUCGGUGGGGGUCAUUUUUCACGAAGUUGCCCCCGAUAAUGCUCUAAUAUGUCUCAAAUAGGCCUCACGAUUAAGUCUUGCAUGGGCCUGGAUCCUUUUGAUCCAAACAAAUAUUGGUAGUAGCCACGUGGGCCCACAUUGGCCCCAACAUGAUCAACGGCCCUGACAGAAUUGAGACACGUGGACACGGGAGUAGGGAUCGGAGAAAGCCAAAAGGAAAACAACUUAAUCUACUUUUCUAAUUUUUAAAUAUUUAGCUCAUAUGACCAAACUAACAUUGUCUUCUUUGCCAAUGUAAUCGCAGUUUAAAUGAUAGGACUCUUACAAUUUCAGUGACCAAACUAACAUUGUCUUAUUUGCCAAUGUAAUCGAAGCUUAUAUGAUAGGACUCCCCUCUCCCCAAACAUGGAUUGAUUAAGAAUCAAGGGAUAAUCAAAGUUCUUAUCCUAAGCACCUUCACAAUUUAACACUUGAAAUCAUUGAAAGUAGUUUGAAUUAUGCAUAAAUGUAGUAUCUUGAAGGAUUGCUUCCAUUACAUGUAAAGUUGACAUUUAUCUUCUUAAUCUAGGGCCACAUAGCACAUCAUCCAACCAAUUGCAAGUUGACACGUGAUGUAAUAAAUAUUCAGAAACUACUAAAAUGCACAUGAUUAUGAAUUAAAUUAGCAAUGUAGACUGUAGAAAAUGCAUGAAAAAUAUAACUUGAAGAAGUAUUAUAGAAUCCAAACAGAUUUUGACUGUUGAUUACCUUGGAUCUGUACUUGGAAACCACAUGAUCAAAUGAUCUUGAUGGAUUCGAGAUAUGUAGACUUGCGUCUGGACAAGCAUUUAUCCUCAUGUUGAUAAAAUGUGUGUUGAGCUCGUCGAUUGCUAUUCAAGCCCAUCUCACACGCCUAUUGUCGCACCAAGAAGAGGGCACUUUUGUCUGAGAGUAACUUAAAGCUGGUUUGAGUAGGAAUUAAAAAAAUUCACAAGAAAAAUGUACGUCGUAUCAUUAUAUAAGGAGGAUUUGUUAAAAGUUGUGUUGUAUCACUAUUGGAACAAUGGUUUUAACGUCCCACUAAAGCAUUACCUAUUUGCUGAGCAAGCCCAUCACCGCGGCUUCAGUAGAUAUGACCAAGCCGACGAUUCACCUGAACCAAAGCUUGUCCUGCGUAGAGAGACUAACUAAAAAAAAAAGCUAAGUAAUUAUGUUUAUUUGAGGCUCUGGCGUAUACUUUGCUCCACAAAAUUGAAUGGGUUGUUUUUUUUUUUUUUUUUUUGGCCCCCUUUUUGGUCAUAGAAUGGGUUGGUCGUGCCUCUUGAAUUUUAUGUUGAAUGUCUUACAUUUGUUUUUCUCUGAUUAUUUUUACUACCUCGAAGUUAUUAUGUUUUUGCGAGCUUUAUGAAUAUUUUUAGCAAGCCAUACGUUCGGGUAGGUAAAGAAUGCAUAUAUGCGCGACAAACUUUUCUUCUAGUCAACAAGGAGUUGCGAACGUUUUUAGACGAGACUGGACGAGAAGGGGGGGCAAAGCCCUGCCCUCAUAAAACUACGCGUAGAAAUUGAUCAUGCAAAGGAAGAAGUAGAAGCAAUGAAGAUGAAUUUGAAGGAUAGGGAGCGCGAAAUGGUGGGAACUAGAGGAGACUGCUAACACCUUCACCACCAUUUAUUACUGCGGAAUGGAAAAUUUGCAACCGCAAAAGAGGAUGGACAUCGGUGCAGCAGCGAGUUCAACGGCAUCAACAUCCAUGGCAACAAUGACAAUAGCAUCCAAAAACGAAGGCUUUGAAAAAGUUGAUGAUGGGGGUUUACAUCUUUUGCCCAAAUGGUUUAAGAUUAAUCUGUUCUAAGUCGCACUUAGAUGCUUUCUUAGAAGGACAUGGAGGUUCAGGGAAGAUUCCCAGUAGCAUCUCCUACUUCAAAUGAAACGAAACAAAGAACUAAUUUUGUCCGAUACAAAGACAAAAAACAAGGAACAGCACUAGAAUCAACAGGUGGAGCUACGCCUAGACAUCAUUAAUGAAACAACGAACGACUAAUGAUCAAUUCUCCAAGUCAAUCAUGGUGUCUUAUCAGACGGUACAGACACAAAUUCCCUCCCCCUCAAGAAUAGAGGUGUUAAACGGGUGGAUCAGGUCGGGUUUGAAUCGGGUCAUUAAUGAGUCGAUCCAAAUUAACCCAUUAACCCAUUUAUGACCCAUUUAAGUUUAAUGUAAAUUUUCUGACCCAUACCCAAUCCGACUCAUACCCGACUUGACCCAUAUUAAUAAAAUAUUUUCAUUUUAACCAAAUUUAGAAAAACUUAUUCUUAUAUAUUUUUUAAGAUUAUAUUACUAAAAUAUUUCCAAGCUUAUUUCUUAUAUAUAUUAUUUUUAAAAAUGGUAUUGCUAAAAUAGUUUUAUACAACAAAAAUUUAAUGGACAAUUUUUAUAAUUUUUAAAAUAAUUAUUUUUAAAAAUAUAAUUUUAAUUAUUUUUUAUUUUUUUAAAAAUAAAUUUGUUAUUAUUUUAUUUAUAAAAUAUACUUUUUCUUUUUCUUUUUCUUUUUUCUUUUUCUGUGGCCGACCGUUGGCCACAAGCGAGUCUCGAGCUCGCUCAACGCCGGCGAGCUCGAGGCUCACCAGAUCGGCGAAGCUCGAGCCUCGCCCAACAACGGCGAGCUCGAGUCUUGCCAGAUUGGCAAGGCUCGAGCCUCGCCAGCGUCAGGUGAGCCCGAGCUCGCCCCUCACCGGAUCUGGUGAGGUUCGAGCCUCAUCGGACAUCGGUGAGGCCUUUGCCUUGCCAGAUAUGGCAAGCUCGAGGCUCGCCGGUGUCGGGUGAGCUUGAGCUCACCCCUUGCCAAGCGUCGGGGCCUCACCAGAUCUUGCGAGGGGCGAGCUUGAGGCUUGCCUAACCGGUCGCCGGCCAUCGCCAUGCCGGCGACUAGAGGAAGAAGAAAGAAAAAAAAAAAGGAAAGAAAAAAGAAAAAAUAAUUAUAAUGUCGGUUUUUAUAAAUAAAAAAAAAAUUGCAAAGUUAAAGAGAGAAGAGAAAGGUUGUGACUUGUGAGGUUUUGAGUGAAAAUAAAUGGAUUCAUUUUUAAUGGGUUGAUAAAUAGAUCUUAAAUGGAUCAGAGAGCUGACCCAUAUGAGUCUGACUCAUAUAUCUCAUUCUUGACCCAUAAAACCCAUUAUGGGUGCUUUAGGAAAUAAACCUUGACCCAUUAACGACCCAUUUAAACAUAAAUGGGUCCAUAAAUGGGUUAAUGACCCAUUUUGACACCGAAGCAUAAUCAUCUUGAUUCUCAGGCAGUAAAGAACAUAACGCAGAUCUCUGCUCGUCUUCUUCUGGUGGGCUUUACAUACGUUGCGGUUUGUGGAUGGCAGCAGAGAAUGAUCUCCAUGACUGAAAAACGGAGUCUGUUUCUCUAUUAUUCUUAUAUGCUUUGUUGGGACAUUCUUGUUGCAUUACUUGAAAUUGUAUAGGGUACUUGACCGGCUUUCACUGGUCCUGCGGCCGAUAACCAACGUUAGACAAAGAAUCCACUAACCGCCAUGUUCAUCCUUCUUCAUGUAAAAAAUCUUGUGAAAUAAGAUCAAAUCUUUGUAAAAAUUUGUAACCCAACUUUUCUUUUUGGUCGCACUUUUUGCUUGUCAUCUAGUCUUAUCUUAAAUUCUUGAUAUCACUUUUGCACGAAUUACUUAUUUCGUUCGGAGCAUUACCUAUUGUGUUCGCGUAAAUUAGCAAUAAGGACAAAACUGAUGAUAUUAACUGCAGCACAUUUUAUAUAUUCAAUUAUCAAUUAUCAUAACUUAUAAAUUAACUUGAUUAAUUGAGUAAUAUGUUGAGGAAAAAGCCAUUGCCCACGCAGCACAAUAUGAGUAAUUUCGGGCUUUUUGGUUAACCAAAAUUACUUUUUUGACCCUAAUACUCUUUGUUGGCAAUAUAGGGCUCGAAUGAUAACCAUUUGGCUAGAAAUUAAUUUCUAGAAGAGAAAUAGAUUUUUCUAUUUUUAUUCUUGGAUGAAUUUCCAAGCAAAAAUACGUGUUUAAUAAUGAUAUAAAAUUUCUAUUUCCAAAAUAGAAAUUCGCUUUAUAAAAAUACAAAAUUUCUUCCGCCUAAGUGGUGGUGGACAGCAGACAGAGGCAAAUGUCGGUCGACGACCAGUGGCAGCGGUUGGUGGUUAGCAGAUGAUAAUUGGUGGCUGGCGAUCGAUGGAUGAAGAGUGGUAGCAAACAACGACGACAGCAGUUGAUAGACAACGAUUGAGCAGACGAUAGACAACGGCCAGUAGUGAUGGAUGGGCUACUGGAUAGAAGUAAAGACGAACGAUAAGAAAAAAUUUUAUUUCUCAUUUUUGUUCUAGAAAUAGAGAAGUAAAAAAUUCUGAUUUCUGUUCCAAAUCUAAUUCUAGAGUUAAAAUUUAUUAUAAAAAUAGAAAAAUGAAAUAAUUUUAUCAAAUAGAUUUUUAUUUCAGAAACAUAUUCAGAAUAGAAAAAUAGUUUAGUAUUAGAAAUAUAAUAGUUAUCAUAUACUUUGCUUUUUCUUGCACUUUGCUUUUUGGUCUUCCGAGGAGUCAUCAUGAUUUCAACUUUUAGAAAAGAGGAGAGCCUCUGUUCUUCUUUUCAUACAUUGUGUUUGAUCAUUGACAUGGAUACUCGUUUAGCAAGUAAUUUUUUAAUAAGUUACUACAGUCUUCUCGAAAGUAUCAACUCGUAUUUACACUUCAAAAUUUACUAUAUGCUUUCAUAACCUACCAAGUUUAUCAAACUAGUGUUGAAAACGCUUAGAUUAAAAGCAAAUAAUUUUGAUAUCCAAACUAAUCGUCAUUGUGAUGGCACAGAUUGUUUUCUUCACUCUGUGCCCAGUGGUCGACCUCCAUUAUCAGAACCAGAGCCUCGUUCAGUUGAAACAACUUUGACAAUUGAAGCAUUUUCAUAGCUGAAAACACAUAGGACAUCGUUGAGAAGAUAUAUACCAGUCCAAAAAAAAGUGCACAAGUAAAAUAUCUAUGAAAGGAUGCAAGGGGGAUCAUCGAUCACCUCCAACGAGGUAUGGAACACAUUAUAACAAGAUAUUCAAACCAUGUUCAGACAUCACGCAACAUGCUCGGAAUAUCACGAAAUUAGAUAAAAGAGUGGUGUUCAAAUAAUGAUCCAGUUUCCUAAAGUAGUCCACCACAUUCGUUGUUUUAUCUCCGGCACCAUCAAGCACAUUGUGUGGGUUAGUUGCAUCGGGCGAUGGAUAUUUAAUUAGUAAAAGAAAUAUCAGUCGCUAUCUUUGAAAGUUGCAGAAUCCUAAUAGACUAAAAUUUCAACUCGACAACUAUCAAUGGGAAAGAAUGACCAUAAAAGUUCUAAAUCUAUUAUAAUUAUGCAAAUUCAAUCAUAAUUUUUUUAAUCAAUUAAGUCAUAAACAUUUUCCAAUUAUGCUAGUUUAGUCAAUCUGGCCAAAUUUUACUAGCUAAUGCUUACGUGAUAAUUUUUUAAUAUUUUUUAAAAAUUUUGUAUUAAUUUUUUUUUCCUUUUUCUCUUCUCCCUCCUUUGGCUUCAUUUCUUCGCAAUGGCUGGCGAGGCUCUAGUGAGGCUCACCGACCAUUGAGCAAGGGCUUAGCUUGCCAAUGCCUCAUAGGCCACUACAAGUAAAAGAAGCCAAAGAGGAAGAAGGGAAAAAGGAAAAUGAAAAAGUAAAAAAAUAAAAAUAAAUAAAUAAAUAAAUAAAAUUAAUAAAAAAAUCGAAAAAAAUACUAAAAAAAUGAUUUAAAAAUUUCCAUGUCAGUAUGGAUCGAAAUUGUCGGCUAGCAUCUACCUCAAUGGUGCCCAGCCAAAUUUGGUCGAAUUGACUCAAUUUGUAGAAUUAUAAAAUGUUUAUGAUUAAAUUGGCCUAAAAAAAAAAAUUAUGUCCAUCCAAACUUUUAGUCCAAUCUACUCAAUAAUCUUUUCAGAUCCAGUUUUUGUCGAUAUUCAACUUUGCUUUGAGGCUUCCAUUAUCGGCCUUCUCUUGUUGGAUUGACGUCCUCACCGAAUGUCCUUUUUUUUUUUUUUUUUUUGCUUUUAGCCCGCAAGUGAAAAUGUCCCUUUCUUGGAUUCUUAACAAAUGAUCCACUUAGCAAUCUUUGCAACUUUUUGAUAUAUAAUAUAUAACAGAUAUGUGCAUUUAAGGUCUUAAAACUUGUCACAAAAUUGUAAUUAAGUGCUGAAACUUUACAAAAAGUGCAGUCGAGUCUUAAAAUUUACUAAAUUGGUAUAAUCAAUAUUAAAGGCGUAAGUCAUAGUUCAAUGUUAAAUCCAAACUCAACAGAUGCUGAAUUUGGAAAGGAGUUCCUUACCUACCGAAAGUCGUUGUCUGUGGCAGAAGAUGACGCAGUGGAUUUUAGUUUUGAUACAGUUGGCAAAGGCAAGAUAAAGAAAUUCAACCUUGAUAGACUAUACAUGAACCUUAAAGUAUAGGUAGCUAGUUAAUAAGCCAGUAUGGAUGUGAAAUCUACAUUUAAUAUUAUAUCUUCAUACUUGUGUUGGUUACAUAUACUCACCGGGAGAAUUACCAAAAAAGUCAUAAACCUAUUGCAAUUGUGCCAAUUCAAUCCUAAACUUUUUUUUUGUCCAAUUAGUCCUAAACCUUUUAUAAUUGUGUAAAUUUAGUCCAUCCGGCCAAAAUUGGCCGGCCGACACUGACGUGGACGUCGGCGGGGGACAGCUGGCUGGCGAGGUAAUUUUUUAAUAUUUUUUAAUAUUUUUUUUUUCGAAUUUAUAUAUAUAUUUUUAAUUUUUUUUUUUUUUGCCUUCUUCUCCAUCCUCUGGCCGGACGCCGGCCAGAGGUGAGGGCCGGCGAGGUCAGCCUCGCCGGCCACUGGCAGAGGCGAGCCUCGCCCAGCGACGACGAGGCGGCCGUCGCCAGAUCUAGCGACGCUCAACCUCGCCAUGGUUGGGCGAGGCCGAGCCUCGCCAGCUCUGGCGACGGCCACCUCGCCGGCCACUGGUGAGGGCGAGGGUCGACCUCGCCUAGUGGCCGGCAAGGCUGCCGUCGCCAUCGCCACCUCCACCGCCUCCCCCGUCCCCCCGAUCGUCGGCACGAUCUCCCCCUCCGAGCUCAAGCGGCCCUCCCCGGCCGUGACCGUUGCCAAAACCCUGUUCCAACGCCUCUGGACCGACGAGGACGAGAUCGAGCUCCUCCGUGGGUUCCUCGACUACACCACACAGCGCGGCAGGGCCUUGCCCUUGCCAGUGGCCGGCGAGGGCCGAGCUCGUCGGAUCUGGCGAGGCCGCCGUCACCAGAUCUGGUGAGGCUCGGUCUCAGCCCAGCCAUGGCGAGGUCAAGCCUCGCUAGAUCUAGCAACGGCCGCCUCGCCGUCGCUGGGCGAGGCUCGCCUCCGCUGGGCGAGGCUCGCCUCCGCCAGUGGCCGGAGAGGUCAGCCUCGCCAGCCCUCACCUCUGGCCGGCGUCCGACCAGAGGAAGGAGAAGAAGGCCAAAAAAUAUAUAUAUUUAAAAUAUUUAAAAAUUCGAAAAAAAUAUUAAAGAUAUUAAAAAAUAUUUAAAAAAAUUACCUCGCCGGCCGGCUCCCCACCGGCGUCCACGUCAGUGCCGGCAGGCCAAUUUUGGCCGGAUGGACUGAAUUGGCACAAUUGCAAUAGAUUUAUGACUUUUUUUGGUAAUUCUCCCUAUAUUCACCCCUGUACAAUUACCUCUUUGUGUAAAAUAAUGUCCGUGGUGAUUAAGUGAGGCAUGCUUCACAUACUAUUCAACCACUUCAAAAAUCAUCAAAACGAUGGAUGAUGGUGAAGUUGCAUCAAAGCUUGUUACAAUCUCACUUUUAUGAGAGUGGGAUAUAUCUCUGCUUUCUGUCGAUUGAUUGUUAGAAAACCCUUUUCAGGGAUGUCGAUUUUAACCUGGACGCUGACUUUGACAAGUUUUUAUCUUUCAAAGUGGACAUGCGAGAUCUUGAUUUAUCCUGUCCAUCUAAGAAAUCUCCAAACAAGGAUAGAAGUGAAGUAGAAUCACCCGAUGAAGGAAAUUCCAAGAAAAUAUUUUAUUUGUGCUUUGAUUUUAACGAGUCAGACAGCUUCACAAUGUAUACAUUAGGGCUUAUUCUUUGAUACAUAAGGUUAUAUUUUCAUAAGGUUAUAUUUUCAAGUGAAGGGAAAUUUCAUGACUUGUGAUUUCAAUCUAGGAACUUAGCAAUCAUUUGUGCUAUCCAACUAAUUUCUCCACUUGUUCUUUAUCAUCAACAUCAUCAAGUAUAAUGACAACUUUCUUAUUGCAAAGUACUUGUUGAAUGCUCUUCAUUCUAGAAUCAAUUUCAUUAAUGGUCCUGGUUCUCGCAGGAUGGCUAAUUUUGGAUAAUAACCUUUUAUUGCAAGUCAACUAAGCCAUCCGUUUUCAAUGACUUCGCUCACAUGUCUUCAAGGAAACAACAAUACUUUCCAAAAUGAAAAGAGAGUUGGUUGAAAAUGACUUUGGCUAGAGUAGUUUUACGGAUACCACCCAUGCCAUAUAUUUUAAUGAGUCUCACACCAUUGGAGUCAAUGUCUAAUAAGUUGCUUACUGCUAGUAUUUGCUUGUCAAUUCCAACUAAAUGCUCAGUCACCAAUCUAUGUUUUGUCUUCAAUUUUUUCAGGACCACUUCAGCUACCAAUUCAAUUAGCUCCCCGUGGCUGUUGUGACCAUAGAAACCCAUCUUACCUGGUGAAAAAUGCAAAAUCGUGAUUACCAAGCAAGAAGUGAUGUUAUCCAAGCACUGAAUAAAAUACACAAUGAUCCGAUAAGUAACGGGACCUUAAUAAUCUAGAAGUGAUAUUCUAAAAUGUCGAUAAGAAGACCAUAGGAAAUAUGGGUCGUUGAGAAAGUGGCUGAAACUUGAACAAGGGAGUCAAGUAACUUUUCAUGACGAAGACCAUAAGCUCGAAUGCUAUUGGUCGAUGAGAAAGAGGGCCCGUCUUGAGAAAAUAAUUGUUCGGUGAAUAGGAAAAGAAAAACCAAAAUUGAUGAUGUGAAAUUUCAGCCAGAUUGGAUAUUCUUAGAAAAAUAUAGAAUUUUCUAUUUAUCUAUUUUUCUUUCUCAACUUCUUCUUUCCUUGUAACCACUGUUGAUAUAUAUUGGAUAUUUUUAGGAAAAUCUAAUUUUGUAAUACUCCAAGCAUGUUGCGUGAUGCCUCCGACAUGGCUUGAGUUUCUUCUUAUAAUGUGUUCCAUGCCUUUUUCAAGAUAUUCGAUGAUUCCUUGCAUCCUUCUGUAGAUGUUUUAUUCAUGCACCUUCUUGUGGACAAGCAUAUUUCUUCUCAACGAUGUCCUAUAUGUUUUUGGCUAUGAAAAUGCUUCAAUAGUCAAAGUUGUUUCAAUUGAAUGAGACUUUAGUUCUGAUUAAUGGAGGUCGACUAUUGGGCAUAGAGUGAACAAAAUGAUCCAGGCCAUCUUGGUGACGAUUAAUUUGGAUUUUAAAAUUAUUUGCUUUAAUUUAAGCAUUUUCGACAUUAGUUUGAUAAUAUUGGUAGGUUAUGGAAACAAUUCGUAAAUUUUGAAGUGCAAAUAGGAGUCGAUACUUUCUAAAAACUGUUAUAGUAACUUACUAAUAUAUUACUCGCUAAAUGAAUAUACAUGUCAAUGAUCAAACACCAUGUGUGAAAGGAAGGACAGUGGCUCUCUUCUUUUCUAAAAGUCAAAAUUAUGAUGAUGCCUUGGAAGACCAAGAGGCAAAGUGCUGGGAGUCGCUUAGAAAAAGCAUACUCCUAAAUGGCCGACAAAAAGGUAAAGUUGGUUACCAAAAAAGCCCAAAAUUACUCGGAUUGUGCUGCAUGGACAAUGGCUUUUUCCUGAACAUGUUACUCAAUUAUUCAAGUUAAUUAAUAAGUUAUGAUAAUUGAUAAUUGAAUAUACGAAACGUGCCGCAGUUGAUAUCAUGCUUUGAAAGGAGAACGUAAGUUUUCUUUUGAUUGCCAAUUUACACAAACACGACAGGUUAUAGUGAUAUAAUGAAUUUAGGAUAAGGUUAGCGUCCGACAAUAAUUAUGACAAAAAAGAAAAGUCAGUUGACAAAUUCUACCGAGAUCUGAUCUUAUUCCACGAGAUUUUUUUCACAUGAAGAAGGAUGAACAUAGCGGCUGAUGGAUUCAAAGUCUAAUAUUGGUUACAAGUCCCAGGACCGUGAAAGCCGCUCGAGUACCUAAUACAAUUUCAAGUAAUGAAACAAGAAUAUCCCAACAAAGCAUUGGAGGUCGUUCUCUGCCGCCAUCCACAACCCACAACAUACAUAAAGCACAUCAGAAGAAGACGAACAGAGUUCUGCAUUAUGUUCUUUACUGCAUGAUAAUCAAGAUGAUUAUUCUUCUUGAGGAAAGGGAAUUUGUGUCUGUAUCGUCCGAUAAGACAGCUUGCUUGUAAACAGAGAUUCACUGGGUACCUAGUCUUAAGCUAGAUUAGCAUCAGCCUGUGCAGCACUUUUGUAGCAAUUUUCAAAUGAAAACUUUCAUUCUUCAUCAGGAUAUCUUAGGACUGUCAACAUUUUCGCCCCCAUCUAUUUCUUCAUGUUGGAAACGUUAGAACUACGAAAAGAAAAUGGAAUUGGGCGUGGCCGUGGAGAACAACGGUUUCAAAAUCAAUGACGACAAUGAUGGCAGCAUCCAUGAAUGGAGGCUUUGCAAAAGAUGAUUGGGCUCUACCUACAUCUUUCUUGUGAUCUCAAUUUGUCUAAAAUCAAUCUGUUCUGAACAUGAAAACAUUUGUUUUGAGAACUUGUCUUCAGUAGUUGUUGAAAAAGGCAAUGUCACACUUUGAAGCUUUCUUGGAAGGAUAUUGCAGGGUUCAAGGAAGGUUCCCAGAAGCAUCUCCUUACUCAAAAGAAACAAAACAAGAACUGAUAUUGUACAUAAAACUGAGAUUUUCUUGUUUUUUUUUUUCGACAGGUAAAGUUACUUUUAUUUUUCCAAACAUGGGACCUGCAACUUGCAUGCGCAUUUGAAGAAGUAUUUAGCCACUAACUUUGGUUUUUUUAAUUAUCCGCCAAUAGCAUUCGAUCUAAUGGUCUUCCGUCGAAAAAAAAAAAAAAAAGAUCUUCUGUUUCAAUCAUUUUAUAGGUUCAGGGAAGGUUCCCAGAAGCAUCUCCUAAUUCAAAAGAAACAAAACAAGAACUGAUUUCAUACCUAAAACGGAGACUUUCUUGUUUUUUUUUUUUUUUUCCAACGGGUAAGAUACUUUUAUUAGCCCGAUAUAAGGAAAGGGUGGAUCAAAGAGAAUAAAUAAAAUAUUGUGUGCAAAAAAGCAAAGAAAAUAAAAAAACUAAUCAUACUUGAAAUGAGGUAAAUUAAUGCAUAAUGAAAGUUUAAUUCCUUGACUUCCACGUAUGUCAUGCCAUAAUCUCGUUCUUCCGAACUGUUGCACAUGGGGCCUGCAACUGCACGCGCGACAAGCCAGCUAGCUGUGACCGUCCUCAGAUGUAAACGUUCUCAGUUGGCUUUGGCUCCUGCUAAUGGGGCCUUCAACUGCAUUCACAAGUGUGUCGACCACAACUUUAGUUUUUAUUUUUAAUCAUCGACCAAUAGCAUUCGAUCUUAUGGUCUUCGUCGUAAAAAAUCGCUACAUCCUGUUUCCACCAUCUUUUCAUAGACCCAUAGAAUUCUCCUAUACCUACAUUAUUUGCUCAUAACGUGUUGACGCGGAAUAUUUUCUGUUUCCACCAUCUUUUCCUAGACCCAUAGAAUUCUCCUUACUACAUCAUUUGCUCUUAACGUGUUGACGCGGAAUAUUUCUCUACUGAAGAUCAUCGAGCGAGAGACGGAGAGAGGGAAAGAGAGGUCUGCUUAGCUGUGCAAAUUACUGCUAUGGCAAGCUCCAAUGCUAGAACAUCAUCGGGAAGCAAGUACCAAGUGUUCCUGAGUUUCAGAGGACCUGACACUCGGACUGGAUUUACCGAUGUCCUCUUUCAUAGUUUGACCGAUGCUGGAAUCCACGUGUUUCGAGAUGACGAAGAGCUCCGUGUCGGUGAAAGAAUCGAUGGAGCACUUCUGCAAGCGAUCAACAACUCCAGGAUCUAUAUGCCGGUCUUCUCUCGGAACUAUGCUUCGAGCCAAUGGUGUCUUUGUGAGCUCGCACAGAUCGUGGCAAACACCUCGAAAUCGGAAGGUAAUAAAGAGAUCCUACCUAUUUUCUUUGAUGUGGAACCUAACGAUGUUAAAUUGAAAACCCCACUAUAUCACAAUGCCAUACUCAAUUUGGAGCACAAGAAGAAGUUGAGCAACGAGCAAGUAAAUGUUUGGAGAGAGGCCCUCAUGGAGGUUGAUGCCAUAAAGGGGUGGGAGGUGAAGAAAUACAAAGGGUAAGCUAGCUAUUUUCAAGAUACUUGUUUCCCUAAUUUUCCUUAACACUUAAUAAUAGAUCUCAAAAUUCCAGAAUGAUUGAGGUGGGAUUUUUAUUAUAGUAAUACUAAAUGAUGAAUCUUUACGUCUACAAAACAAAAUAUGAAGACAUGAUAUUCAACUUCUACAGUUGUUGGUUGACAAUUGCACAAAUUUUUAUACAACAAUUUUGCUCGAAAAUCCCAAGAUUGCUACUCUCAUGUUGGAAUCAAGUUGAAUUUCGGGUCAUGACAUAGCAUCAACGUUGUCAAGGGCUUAAAAGUAUGUUUUGGAGAGACGUUAAUGUCCAAUAUGGACUUUUAGAAUAUCACUCCUAGGUUUAAGGUCCCAUUACUUAUCAGAUCAUUGUGUAGUUUAUCCAAUGCUUGAAUGACAUCACUUCUAGUUAGGUAAUCGUGAAUUUUCUCACUAAAAUGGAUUUUCAUUGUGGCAGCCACGGAGAACUAAUCAAAUUGGUAGUUGCGAAGGUUGUGGAAUGUUUGAAGUCAAAACAUAGAUUGGUGACUGAACAUUUAAUUGGAAUCGAUGAUCAAGUAGUAGCAGUAAGCAAAUUAUUAGAUGUCGAUUCCGAUGGUGUGCGACUUGUUAAAAUUUAUGGCAUGGGAGGUAUUGGAAAAACUACACUUGCCAAGGUCAUCUUCAACCGACUUUCUUCUCAUUUUGGAAAGUGUUGUUGUUUCCUUGAAGAUGUUCGAGAGAAGUCAUCAAGAACCGAUGGCUUAGUUCACUUGCAAGAAAGGUUACUAUCCGAAAUCGGUCAUCCUGUAGGAACAAAGAGCAUUGAUGAAAUUGAUUAUGGAAUUAAGAGGAUUGAAGAAAUACUUUGUAAUAAGAAAGUCCUUAUUGUACUCGAUGAUGUUGAUAACAACAAACAAGUGGAGAAAUUAGUUGGAAAUAUUACUUUAUAUUAUGGAUCCAAGAUAUUGAUUACAACUAGAAAUAAAGAUAUCUUGCAAGUCAAUAGACAAAAGUAUCAGAUUUUGGAUUAUGAAAUGGAGGUGAUGAGCGCUAGACAUGCGCUUGAGCUUUUCAGUAGGCAUGCAUUUAACACAGACUUUCCUUCAAAUGAUUAUGAUUAUCUUUCAAGGGAGAUUGUAUUUGCUACCGGGAGACUUCCAUUAGCUCUUGAGGUGAUUGGUUCGUUCCUCUACCACAAACCGCAAGAACUAUGGAAAGAGACAUUGCAUAAGUUAAGAAAAGCACCUCAUGAGGAUGUUUUUCAAAAGUUGAAGAUCAGCUAUGAUGCCUUAAAUUUCGAGCAACAACAAAUUUUUCUCGAUAUUGCAUGCUUUUUCAUCAAUAAAGAUAAGGCGAAUGCAUUCUACCUAUGGAAAGGUUGUGAGUUUUUCCCAAAUACAGGAGUUGCUGC
rnacentral:lncRNA from 1 species